AUGGCCUCUGCCUCUACAAGCAAUCCCUCUUUACAAUAUGCAUCCACCAGAAUAUUGAAGGUUUGAACAUUCGGCAUGACUUUGCUUUGCACCAUAUGACUCAGCAGUCUUUGGGACUCUUUCAAUUGGCCGGAAUUGCACACUCCUUGAAUGACAGAGGUAUAAGUAACGACGUUCGGUUCAAUUCCUGCCUCCAUCAUCUUCUCCAUCAAGACCGUAGCAUCUUUCCAUCGGCCUAGGUUGCAUAAGCAAUGAACCAAGGAGGUAUAAGUGAAUAUAUCGGGUCGGAUGCCUCUGCUCGUCAUCUCUUUCAACAAUAAGAGAGCAUCUUCCAUCUGGCCUACAUUGCACAGACCGUGGAUCAAGGAGGUAUAAGUAACAACAUCUGGUUCGAAACCUUUCUUACUCAUGCGUUCGUGAAGUCUCAAGGCCUCUGCGAUCAAUCCCUCCUUGCAAAGACUAUCUAUUACUAUGUUGUAUGCGAAGGAACCGAGCCUGCAGCUUCCCUCCUCCCAGUCCCUCAGCAAUUCAACGGCCAAUCUGGUGUUACCCGCCCUGCAUAACCCUUUCGCAAUUAUUGCAUACGUGGUCUCAUUAGGUUCUGGGCCUUUUCGUUGCAUAUCAUCGAGGAAACUCAACGCUCGAUCAGUUUCGCCCUUUAUAAGGAAACCAUCAAUUAGGGUGUUCGAUGCCACCACAUCGAUGUGAAACCCAAGCUUCAAGAUUCUGCCCAGGAUAGACAAACCAAAGUCAACCCGCUCUAACCGGCAGAAGCAAUUCAACGAAAUAUUCAGCCAAAAGUGAUUGUCUUCAAUCCCCAACGAAUGCAGCUGCUGGAUCAAGCGGAUGGCAAUCGAGUAGUGCUUCAUCCUCGCUAUAGCACCCAACAGAAGACUGAAAUCUCUGGGGGAAGGCAAAGGGUCGGUGUUGAUCAUUUUACCGAAGCAACGCAGGGCAUCGUCGACACUCGAAAACCCACCGCCACCAGCUCUGCAAAAUUUCCUCACGUAACUCAAGAGCUGGCUCGGGUCGUCUAAAUUAGGGUUAGGGAUCGAAGAAAACCUCCGGCGAUCGCGAAACGAGAAACGGGCACGCGAGAGAUGAGGGAGGGAGAUGGAGAGUGGAAUGGGAUGAUGAAUCGCUGGAGAUCGCAUCUUGAGCACGAAGGAGAAGAAAGACGGGAGCCCCAUGAACACACAAACCUAACCAAGGCGACUCCUAUCAGCUUACGGGUGCUUGAAAGACUCCUUUUCGAUUUCCUUUAAAACGAGUGAGUGAUAAGAAAAACAAAAUAAAUGCAUUAGAAGUUUUAAAAUUUAUCAUAAAAAUGUAAUUAAGUUUUAAAAUUUUUAAAAAGUAUAAUUAAAUCCUAAAGUUUAUUAAAAAAUAUAAUUAAGUCCUAAAAAUUUUAUAAAAUACAAUCAACUCCUAAAACUUAUCAAGGUGAUUCAAUUUAAGUCUUUUCAUUGAUUACUUUUUUUGAAAGUUUUGAGACUCGGUUACAUGUUCGAGACAAAUUUUAGGAUUUUAUUGAACUUUUUGAAAAUUUUAAGAUUUAAUUGAAUUUCCGUGACAAGUUUUAGGAUUUAAUUGUACUUUUUAAAAGUUUUAAGACCCAAUUACAUUUUCAUAAUAAGUUUUAAGACUUCUAAUAUACUUAUCCCUAAGAAAAACUAAGGUAGAAUCAUUUUAGUGAAAUUCAAAUUAUUACACACUUGUUUAAACAAAAAAUCUAUGCAUAAAUUGAUGAAAAAUAUUUCGCCCUUUAGAACAUCGAAAAUUAUUUUCCAAAGGAGUUACUAGACAUCUGCAUUUUGGAACAAAAACUCUACUUGUGCAUGAGAGAUCUAAGACUCAUUUCUAAAACCCUUGUUCAUGUGCUUAAUUUCUCAAAAGUCCAUACGCAAGUCAUUGGCACCCGAAUAGUGUAAAUGUAAUUAGGAAAAUCAAAUUAGAUCUUACUUUUCAAAUGACAAAAAAUAUGUUUCGAUUUUGUUUUUUCAAAUUCCACCCAAACUUAGAAAAUCGACUUCCUUGAAAUUAGAAAUGUAACAUUUUGCAUUAAACAAAUAGAGUAUUUGAGAAAAAUCUUAGUAAAUUGAUGACCAGAUUCUAUAGGUAGACUCGAGAACUUUUCAAUAAACAAAGAGGGUGGACAACCAUUGCAAUUACUUUUUAAUAUCUUUCAACUUAGAUCUUUUUUUUACCCCUAAAAAUUGAGCUAGGACACUUGUGGGUUCUAGGCCAACGAGUGGUUCGACCAACUUGGAGAAAGAGACAACUUUGAUGGUAAUGUCGUAUUCCUCAUCUCCACCAAAAAUGAAUGUUAAGGUGAUCAGGCUCCAAAAGUGUGCCAUCGCUUGUAUGAGACUCGCUUGACACUUAACCCGAAGAAGAGAUAUGAGGUAACCAAUACUUUUUUCCACAGCGUUGGUCUCCUUGGUCUAUAAUUUAUCCAUCAUGCCAAGAGGGUCCUUGGGAGCGAGAAUGAUUUAACUAUUCAAUCUUCCUAUUAUAUCUAAAUCACAAAAGACAUUUUACCCGAUCACCGUGGAUUACAAAUAUAAACUUUGAAAACUUAAGUUGAUGAAGUAGAAGAAUUUUAAAAAAGUAUGUAACAUACUUAUAGCGUCCGAUGAGAAGGGUUUUCAAUCAUAUAAGUACAUAGAUAUACUUGUGAGAUUCGACGCAUAAAGUUGGGAUAUACUAUAGAUUCAAGAAUCCCUUCCUAACGAAACACUAAAUAUAUCCUAAUCUCGCUAAUUGGAUGGGUUCAACUUUUCUCUUGUGAGAUGAGCAGGGUCAAGAAGGAUUUGAUUAUGCUAGUUAUCUAACUAGUACAUUUCAUUACCUACACUUGAUUAUUUGUCAAUUGAAGUGUCAACACGACCUUUCACCAAAAUAUGAAUUCUUAGGUUCUUAACCGUUAAAAGCACGAAUGAUAACAAUUAUGUUUUAGAAAUCAAUUUUUGUUCCACAAAUAGAUUUCUCUAAUUUUAUUUUUGGGACGAUUGUCUGAGUAAAAAUAGCGUUUGAUGACAACAUAAAAUUUCUAUUUCAAGAAUAUAAAUUCUUUUACUAAUGAUACAAAAUUUCUCCUUCUUGAGUUGCGGCGAUGGCAUCGACCAAUGGACGACUAGUGGCAAUGGCAGCAACCAAUGGAUGACUGGCAGUGGUGGUGAUUGGCAAACAACAAUGGUGGAUGGCAGGCGACAGCAAGUGGGCAGCCGACUAGUAGCGAGGGUGAGCGAGAAAAAGAGUUUUUAUUUAUUAUUUUUAUUACAAAAUAAAAAAGUAGAAAAUUUUAACUUCUCAUUAAUAUUCCAAGCCCAUUUCUAGACUAAAAAUUUGUUCUAAAAAUAGAAAAAAUAAAAUUGCAUUACAAAUGGAUUUCUAUUCUACACCUAUUCUUGGGAGUAGAAAAAUAGUUUUAGCUAGAAAUAAAAUGUUUAUCACGUGCGUCUAAGUGUCAAUGUAAUGUUUUUGUAUUUAUUUAUAAUCCCAAAGUGUAACCUAAACAUUCAACGAAAACAAACAAAUCAAAACUUAGAAAAAGCAACAUAGAAGGGACACAAUCAAUUGAUUUAAAAAAGUAAUGAAAGAACAAGUAAAAAGUAAAGUGCAAUAAAGUAAUCCAAUACAAGUUAGGCAAACAAUAUAACAUGGCCUUGUAACUUUCACCAAAUUAUUUAUUACAAUUUUUUAUUUUACUACCCUUUUUAUAUUUUUUUUUGUUCUAAUUUUUUUUUAUUAUUAUUUUUUUAUUCUAAUAAAAGGGGCACCGAGCUGCUCAAUCCGGACAUGGGCCAUACGUGGCCUCGCCAAUCUAGGCCGGAAACACCAAGGAGUUCAAUCCAGAUGUGGGUCUUACUAUGGCCUCGUGGACCUAGGUCGACAACAUCAAUGAGCCCUUAUAACAAAAAUUGGAAUCGGCUCAAAGUCACCUAAACUAAGCCUAGCCCAAACUUUCUAAAACCCAAAACACCCUAAUAUAUUAAAACUAAAUCAAGCCAAUUUUAAGCUCAUUUUAUUAUUUUCUUUUUUUCCCAAUAUUUUUUCGUCUUUUCUUUAUUCAUUAUUUUUGCUUUUCAUUUCUAUUCAUCCCUCUCAGUAUCUCCUUCGAUCUGCAAACCAAGAUCACAUAACCAAAUAUAGAAGUUCCAGCAAAUUGAAAGUCUUCAAUGGAGGUUAACUAAAUUUAUACUGCUUCCCCGGCAGUCUUCACCGGUGACCACCUCCAUUGGCCGCCAGACCACCACUAUCAGCCACAAUCAAAGAGUUGCAGAAAUUUAGAGUGUGGAUAGGAAAAAACAAAUUGAGAUGGAUGCUUCUGGAGAUCCACGCUUAAGCCAUCAACUCCCAAUCAUUUCUCUAGCAACUUAUGUCAGCCAACAUCAGGAGUUUAAUGCAGAAAACAGAGCAACACAACAAACGGCGAUGUUAUUCUCAAUUUCAUGUUCAAGUUUCGCAAAACAACAAUGAUAUAUAUGAAUCUAAAAUUUCUAUUGAUAUAUAAGCAUUAGUGAACCUUUCAGUCAACAGAUAUAAUCAACUCUCUCUCUCUCGAAUACAUUUUGCGGCUUCAUGGACACAUUUCAACAAAAAACUUUCAUGCAACGAAAUUACUAAGUCUAAUCAUGGCAUUGAAAUGGUUUCUCAUCUAAAAUCAGCAUUAGAACAACAACGCCUUCACACAUCGUUAAAAGAAGUCUCAGAUUAAUUCAAAUUCUUGAUGAUUUAUAUUCAAACAACAUGAAUACAUCUCAAUUUUGUGAAUCACUGAAACAGAGCAAUGAAAUUACCUGUUCACGAAACAAUAUGAAGCUACGAUUUCUGACUGAAUCAAGGAAGAAAACUAGAGAAAGUGGCACCAGCAUAAAGGCUUUAGGUAAAAUCCGAACUUUCCAGCAUCUCUAACCGGAGCAGAGCAAAGCAGGAUCAAUGGUAAUCAACUAUUGGCAUUGAUCAAUGGCAAUGAAUCGAAAGUAAAUGAUGCCAAAGGUCUAAAUUCAGCUCUCUCAGAUAGGUCACCACACAUACGACUUCAGAUCCUCCAUGAGCAUGUGUCCUGCGAUUGACCGCACAAGCAAGUGAUGGGUUGUGGCUAGAACAAAACACAAAUCAAAAUCACGACUGCACACUUCCAGAGCCCUGAUUAAAUAACCAGAUAUUCAAGCUCCGUCCAUAAGUAGAUAUAUACCGGUUUUUAUCUAUGUACGCCACCUUUUGGCUAUAUAUUAAGUAACCAGAUAUGGUUUUUUUUUUUUUUUUUUUCCAAUUUUCAAGGAAUACCUUGAUGCAUUGAAGAUAAGAAAAUUUCUUGUGAGCAUGUUUGCCAAGUAUUCAUCGAGAUAGUCAAUAACAUGAUCCUACGAAUAAAUCUUUUGACUAUUUCUUUAGAUAUCUCAUCUAUUUCGUGAGCUCCAGCAAGGGAUAUCAUGUUAUGCAUGUGAAUAUAACGGUUUACUUAAAUUUGUGAGUACUAGUCAAGCUAAGAUUGAAUAGGUCAAAUGUUAUCCAAUAGAGGAUGUAAAAAGAAUAAACAAGGAUUUAAAGAAUAAGCAAAGGAAUCAAGAAUCUUCUUGAUUAAAUUGUCUAGAAUUGUUGUAGUCAAUGAAUGAUAACUCUAGAGAAAUAGACGGGCCUUAAAUGAGAGUAUAAGAUGAAAAAAGACAAGAGCAACAUCAUCGACAUACAUUGAAUAUUGAGAGACAAUUAAAACCCUUAAUAAUUCCAAAAAAAGAAAAAUCAGGAUUACCAAUGAUUCGUGAAAGAGAGUGACAAAUUUGUGUAUGCUUAAAUCAUACAAUUGUGAGCAACUGUUGCCCAAGUACUAAAAACGGCACGUUAGACAAAAAAAAAGGACAAAUGCAAACUAAAGAAAUAUUUUGAAUUACUUAAACAGAUCAAAUUGCAUAUCUAGCCCACAGCAAAUAUAAAAUUGCAUUGUUUCCAUUCUAUAAACAAAUAGUUAGAAGCUUUUAAGAUUUUUUAUGCAUUGGUACCAUGGAAGAAAGGUUGAUAUGCUAAUCAUAGGAGAAAAUCUAUUGGGUACAACUGCUAUAAAUAGUCAGGACCUGAGUCUAUCAAGAUACAAAGUUGGGUUGAGUAAAAAAAUUAAGGCAUAUCACAUUAUGAAAAGUCCUUCAAGAGUUGCAAUUAUGCUAAUGUUGUCCCCCUUGAUGUUCAAUGUUGCCAAAGGUGCCACACACACCGGCAUAGUUUAUUGGGCUUGCAAUACCGGCUCCUAUUCGAGCGGUGAUCCUUAUGCAAACAGCUUGGCUUAUCUCCUUGAGCACAUGGUGACCGUGACAUCAAAUCACGCGAACUACAACUACUCCACCGCAUCUCCUUAUCCGACAGCAAUUGCCUAUGGUCACGUUAUUUGUAGCCAAGCACUUUCUUACAGUGAUUGUGGCAUAUGUAUGAGCUUUGUUAAAUCCCAAAUAUUGGCCAUCUGUCCGGACAGUCUGGGCGCUCAAGUCAAGCUUGAAGAUUGUAGAACGAGGUACAAAAACUACUCAUUUAGUGGUUAAGUGGUUUGGUGCCAAACAUGGAGAACCUUGUUCGAACGGUAACGGCACUGGGAUGUGCAUUGCUUAAAUGUGUUGAAGAAUAAAUGCCCUAGUCAUAUAUCCUAAUUUAUGUUGUGUGUGGAUGUUUCUGCCGUUCUUGUUGUCAUUUUUAUUGUGGGAAAUGAUAUGAUAUGUGGCUCCUAUACUUUUUUGUUAUUUUAAAGUUCUCAAAUUGCCUUUUUAUGCCCGAGAAAACCUAAGAAAGCAGCUCAAAGCAAUGAUUCACACGAAAAAUCAAACCUGUAUUGUCUAUCUAAGCUACACGCACGUCAUUGGGUUUGUUCCUAUGGUACUUAAGCAGGUCUUCAAGAGAUGGCAGUUGGGGACACGCAAAUAAGAGGUCGUGCAAGAGAGUUCAAAACCAAAAGCCGGAAUUUAUAGAAGGAAACGCUGCCUAAAGGCUAAAAGAAAUUGUUACAACCUUGCUAGAGCCGCUUGUGAAUUUAACUUAUACGUUGAACUUGAAGCACAACUCUCUGUUGAAAUUCGGAAAGAAAUAACAUUGACUUUGUCCCUAGUAUUUGCAUAAGGAUCACUACUUGAAAAUCAUUCAGGAGGUUGAGAACAUAUUUACAGCAUACAAGAUAAAUACCACGAGAGGGUUCAUUCAUUUUGUUUUCAAGAAAAUAUUUUGAAGAAGCCAAAUCAGCAAAACAGAAACUAUGUCAAAUCAGUUACUGGUCAUACCAUAUAAGAGUCAUCAGCAUAAACCAAAAGUAAUACAGAGGAAGAGCUAAUGCAUGAAACAAUUAAAUGGACUUAUCAGCAUAAGAUUGAACCAAACCAGCAUAUACUAUCGCAGUAGGGGAUACUUAAGAAACCAAUUUUCUCUGAAGAUUUUACCUUUCAUCGUAAAAGUGGCCUCGCUUCAGUUGAUAAGCCCAUGAACCUGCGUUGUUAAAUCAGGAAACGGACAAAAGAGACAGCCAAGGAGUUGAUCCUCUUGUGAUAUAUGCACAACUUCAAUUUGAACCUUUUGCUUGACAAAUUCUCUUUUCUGAGCUCAAUUGAUCAUAUCUGACGACGGUAUCCAUGCGUGAACUUAAAUCAAAGACUCAUCUCCGGAACUCUUGCACGCUACUAUGAUUGGGUCAGCAAACAAAGAGUAGAGGGCACGACGAGAGGCAGACUGUCCAGGCAAAUCUUCCUGUUGUGAGUGAGACUCUUAAAAACCCCGAGUCAGUAAUUAAGACAGAUAAAAAUGGCAAGGAAUGUACUUCCAUUGAGAGCCAACCCUAUUGAUCGGGAAAGUAAUUCAAUUGAUGCAGUGGAAAAGACGAUGGAAUUUACAUCAUCUGGGCCUGACUGCAAUGGAGUUGAUUGUUGUUCGCCCAAGACGGCUAACAUUGGGAAUGUUUGUCAACGGCAUUCAUGUUCACCCAUCAUCAGAUGCUUUUCGGAAAAUCCCUGGCAGUGCAAAAGGGAAGAUACUUCAAGUAGUUUCAUACAUUUGCAGCCACGUUCCUUAGUCAGCAAGCCGUCCCUCAAACCUCGCUGUUAUUUGCAUGUAAGAAGCAGAGCAAAUAAACCAAAUAUGUAAUCGACCUGUGGUAAUAAUCUGAGUACACAGCUCGAUCCAAAUAUACUCCACUACCGAUUCAAAUACCAUCCACUUCAAUGUAUGCCUCUUCUUUGAAGUGUCUAUGGUAAAUAGGACAUUAAAAGGAUCAGAUUGUCAAAAAAGAAAGUGUAUAACAGAAAACUAGGAUCUCUCUCUCAAAGCACAUACACAAUAGGCUAAUCAGGAUUUAUGACAUAAUAUACUUCAUUACAUAGUAAAGUUAUUGCUAUUAACAUCUAUUUAAUACGAUAUCAUCCUCAGACUGCUUGAUCAUUCGUAUGAAUUUCACCUGUUUGAACAACAUUAGGCACCAAAAGCACUAACAAAUGAGUACACAUAACAGUUCAAUACAGAGAUUUCGUACCGAACCUAGAUAUACGAGGAUCAAAAUCCACCUUAUACCCCUCCAAAAAUUUGCCGUCUUGGGCGGUUCGAUUCAGUGAAUAAUCUCUCCGAUUUAAAAAAACUUCAUCAAUGGGACAUGGGACACAAAGAGAAGACGUUUGGAAGAAAACUUGACAUAUAUCUGAUUUACUCUUCAUCACAUUUCAGAUGAAAAUGUGGACAGAUCUCAGAGACAAUGGAGAGUUCUCCUAGUAAAGGAAGAAGUUCCAUUUGUCACGAGAUAUUUGACCCACAAUUCCAUUGUCGCUACAUCUGCAGAAAAACCCCUUUCAACCAUUUCACCGACAAGUUGCGUGGCUCUAGUAUUUUCAUUAUUUCUUAGCAAUCCUUGGAUUAUUGUGUUAUAAGUGACCCCAUCUGGAAAGCAUCCAUUUCCUUCCAUCUCCUUUAGAAGCUGAUAUGCUUCCUCCGUACAUCCUCCUUUGCACAACCCAUGCAUGAGAAUGUUACAUGUCCACACAUCAGGUUGCAAGCCUCGAGCAUGCAAACAAUUAACCAGCCCCUUUGCAUCGUCGAGCUUUCCGGCAUUACACAUGCCAUUUAUUAGGAUAUUGUAAGUCACGAUGUUUGGGAUGAAUUUGGAAUCUUCCAUCUUUCGAAGCAAUAUCAUGGCCUUGUCAAUCUGCUGUGUUUUACACAAGCCAUCCAGGAAAGCAUUCAAGGUAUAAUGAUCUAGAAAGAGAUUGCGAGAUUGCAUCUCAUUAAUUAGCUCCACCGCAGCUUCAAGGUUCCCAACCUGGCAAAAUCCAUAUACUAGAGUGCUGUAUGUGAUGACGUUAGGAUUCAGGCCCCUUUCAAGCAUUUCUUGGAACAGUAUUUUUGAUUUGUCAACUCUUUUCCCUUUGCAGUAUCCAUUAAUCAAUGUGUUAUAAGAAAUGACAUUAGGUGAGCAGCCUCUUUCAACCAUCAAAUUAAGAACCGCCAUAGCAUCAUCCAUCCUAUUUUGGAAACAAUAACCAUUCAACAAGGCAUUAUAAGUGACACUAUCAGGCAUUUUACCUAAUUGAAUCAUCUGGUCGACUAAGGCCUCGGCCUCUACAAGCAUUCCCUCUUUGCAAUAUGCAUCCACCAGGACAGUGAAGGUUCGAACAUUCGGCAUUACUCUGCUUUGCACCAUAUGACUCUGCAGUCUUCGAGCCUCUGUCAAUUGGCCAGAAUUGCACACUCCUUGAAUGACCGAGGUAUAAGUAACGACGUCUGGUUCAAUUCCUGCCUUCGUCAUCUUCUCCAACAAGACCGUAGCAUCUUUCCAUUGGCCUAGGUUGCAUAAGCAAUGAACCAAGGAGUUAUAAGUGGCUAAAUCGGGUUGGAUUGCUCUGCUUGUCAUCUCUUUCAACAAUGUGAGAGCAUCUUCCAGCUGGCCUACAUUGCACAGACCAUGAAUCAAGGAGUUGUAAGUAACAACAUCUGGUUUGAUCACUUUCCUACUCAUACUUUCAUGGAGUCUCAACGCUUCUGCAAUCAAUCCCUCCUUGCAAAGACUAUCAAUCACUAUGUUGUAUGUGAAGGAACCAAGCCUGCAGCUUCUCUCUUCCCAGUCCCUCAGCAAUUCGAUCGCAAAUUUGGUGUUACCCGCCCUGCAUAACCCCUUCACAACUAUCGCAUACGUGGUCUCAUUAGGUUCGGGGCCGUUUCGUUGCAUAUCAUCGAGGAACCUCAAGGCUUGAUCAGUUUUGCCCUGAAUAAAGAGACCAUCAAUUAGGGUGUUCGAUGCCACCACAUCAAUGUGAAACCCAAGCUUGAAGAUUCUGCCCAGGAUAGACAAACCCAAAUCAACCCGCUUUAACCGGCAGAAGCAAUUCAUCCAAAUGGUCAGCAAGGCAACAUCACCCUCGAUCCCCAAAGAAGGCAGCCGCUCAAUCAACCGGAUCACAGUCGAGUAGUGCUUCAUCCUCACUAUAGCACCCAACAGUAGACUGAAAUCCCCGGAGGAAGGCAAAGGGCUCGCCUUUAUCAUUUUACCGAAGCAACACAGGGCAUCACCCACACUCGUAAACCCACCGCCGCCACCACCACCAGCUCUGCAAUUUCUCCUCACGUAACUCAAGACAUGGUUGGGGUCGUCUAAAUUAGGGUUAGGGGUCGAGGAAAACCUCCGACGACGGUGAGACGAGAAAGGGAGAUGAGAAGGAUAAGGGAGAUAAGGGUGACAGAGAACGGAAAGGGAUGAUGACUCGCCAAAGAUCGCAGCUGGAGCGGGAAGAAGGAGGAAGAUGGAAGAAGCAAGGCAGAGAUUCGUCGGCUUCAUCAGUAGAAGUGAAAAGCUUUAAGCUUAUGGCGCUUCCUCUCGCUCCCUUUCUCAAGCUUCUAUAUAGUCAUCUUGACGGUCGCCAAUUAGAUCCCAAUCCCAAACAUAACAGUGAUACAUUAGCUUAAAAUAUUAAGGGUUAGGAAUUUAGGGAAAUUGCAUUGGUAUCCAUUUUCUUAAAAUAUUAAACUUCAGGAAUUUACACAUGGGGACCUAAUUUGCUUCUUAUCUACAAAAAGCACCCGAAAUAUUAUUCACUUAUAAAAAUCUUUAAAAUUAAGGAUGAUAUAUGAUUCAUUCAUAUUUCUAAAUUCAAUAUUUUCUUUAUUCUUAAAUUUUGAAGAGAAAGUCUAUAUACUAUAUUCACAUCACCAAUAUUUUUUUAUUUUUUUUGAGCAAACACAUCACCAAUAUAGAGGAUUGGUUUUGGAGUGGAUGGUUUCCAUCAUGGAAGGGAUUGAGAACUGUCCACUAAGGGUCGAUUCCGAAAAAUUGAAAUCAAGAAAUGCCCGUUGGUUCCCAAUUGCUCGUGUGCAAGUCAUUAACACCUAAAAAGUGUGUGUAAUUAGGAAAAUCAAAUCAAAUUUUACUUUUCGAAUGAAGAACUACGGUUUCUAGUUCUUUUUUCAUAUUUUAGCUAAGCUUCGGAAAAUAUAACCAUUUUCUUAGACUUCUUGAAUAUUUUUUGAAAUGUAACAUUUUUCGUUAAAUAAAUGGAGUUUAAGGGAAAAAUCCUAACAAGUUAUGACUAGAUUCUAUAGGUAGACUCAUGAACUUUUCAAUUAAGAAAGAGGGCGAGACAACCAUUGGAUUAACUUUUUAAAAUUUUUUAGUUUCUAAUCCUUUUCCUUGGAUCGGCCCUAGAUCGGCCCAUUCCUGUUAGUCCUGGUUCGGUUCCCAAGGAGACUAGGUCGGUCCUUGAUCUUAGAAUUCCUAGACCAAUACUAUGCGGGUCGGUCAUCGGUCCUAAAAGUUUCGGGUUGGUCCAACCCGGACCAACCCUGACUAGAUAUAUAUAUUAUUUAUAAUUUUUUUAUAUAGAGAAAAAUUUAAAAUAAAUAACGUUAACAACAUUAAAUAACUCUUUAAUGAGGAAUUCAAGUAAUUUUAUAUUAUUGUUUAAUAACUUAGAUUUUUAAUAUAUUUUACUAUGUCAAUAGUCAUAAUUUACGAAGAAGGAAAAUGUUUUUGUAAGGAGUCCUCACGGCGUUCAAAAAAGCAUAAACAACUCUUUAUGGCAUCCUCUUUAAUAUCUUAUUUGUCUUCUUAGUAUUCAAUUUGCCAAAAUCGAAAGAAACAAUUUUUCCGCUCGCCACUCGACACUUGCCUCGCUCGCUUUAGGUCAUUCGUGCAACUCACCGUUCGAUGCUCACUUGGCUUGUUGCUACAUGCUCGACAUUCGAUGCUCAUUCUAUUCGAUGCUCACCUCACUUGACCCUCACCGCUUGCCUUUCUUAACUAACCUCGCUCAUCAUCGAAUCCAUUUGGUGGGUAUGGUCCUCGGUUGCCCUUUCAAAUAGUACAAAAAAUGAAAUAAAAAAUUAUUGAUUGGUUCUGGAUUGACUUGGAAAUCAGAUCGAACUAAUUGGGUUAGUCCGGUCCUCAAUCGUUUUUUUAAGAAGUACAAAAAAAAAAAUGAAAUAAAAAAUUAUGGGUUGAUCUCGGGUUGACCCUUGAACUGGACCGAACCCAUUGGGUCGAUUCAGUCCUUAGUCCCAAUAAUUGAGGAUCAGCACUGUGUGGGUUGGUCCUAGGGUUAGGGGGUGGAUUGGCCCAACUAGGAACAUGCUCACCCUACCUUUUCCCCUCUAAAAGUUGAGCUAAGAACGCUUGCUGGCUCUAGGGUUGUUUGACCAACUUAGAGAAAGAGACCACUUUGACAGCCAGACCAUAAUCCUCAAUUGUCGCAACUAAUUCGUGUUUGCCAAAAAUGAAUAUUAAGAUGAUUGGAUUCCAAAAGUACGCCAUCACUUGCAUGAGACUCACUUGAUACUUGACACAAAGAAGAGAUAUAAGGUAAUCAAUCUUUUUUUCCACAUAGCUUUGACCUCUUCGAUCUAAUUUAUCCAUAAUGCCAAAGCAGGAAUGAUUUAAAUAUCUAAUAUUCCCAUUAUAUCCAAAUCACAAAGACGUUUUAAUUUGUCACCAUGGAUUCCAAAUAUGAACAUUGAAAACAUAAGUGAAUGAAGUAGAAGAAAUUAAGAAAGUAUGGAAUAUACUUUCAAUAACCACUAAGAAGGGUUUUAAAUCACACAUACACACAGAUAUACUUAUGAAGUUUGACACAUAAAGGUGGCAUAUACUAUUGGCUCGGGAUCUUAUCCAAUGAAAUAGUAAGUCUUUCUCCAUGUCGCUAAUUGUGGAUGGGUCUGACUUUUUUUUUUUUUUUGCGUGAUGACGAGAAUAAUUGUCCCAUCGUCGCUAGCUACGGGUGGUCCAACCUAUUCUCAACACCAUCUUAGGUAGUUUUCUAAGGAUGUAGCCUGAGUUUAGGCUAUGGGUUGUGUGUACAAAAUGUUAAAGCAAAUAAAAGCAUUCAAGAUAGUAUAUAUCAAAACACUGAUUCAAUAUACAUCCACUUAAUCAUACAUUACUACUUCUCUCUACAAGACAAAUGUAUCAGCAAAUACAUCAUCCCUAACAACUCCCAGUCUGCAUCAACAUUUAAAACAUUAGCAAACUAUCUUCAUUUUCCAUGAGAAUUUGACACGUGCUGCCAUGAAAACCACUUUAGUUGACAAACAAUCAAGUCAUUUCUAGGCCUCAAUCCUCUAAGGUCUAGAACCAAGUCCUAGUCACCAAGUUGUGGUGACCCUCUCAAACAAGUGUCGGGGGAAGGCAUGUUUUGGGAUAGUUUCAUUUUAAUUCAAUAAACCCUAUGAAAGUUCUAUAUAAGGAGCCAACUAGGAACCAUUUUAUGAAACUAGAGAUCUAGAGUCAAUGACUUGAUUAUAUUAGAGAUCUAACUAGUACCAUUUUGGUACCUUAACUUGAUUAUUUGUCAGUUAAAGUGUCAACGUGGCCUUUUACCAAAUUAUGAAUCUUAAGGUUAUCAGUUUUUAAGUGUCCAUACAAUAUUUUUGCAUUUAUUAUGAUCCCAAAAUGUAACCUCAGCAUUCAACUAAAACAGGCAAGUUGAAACUUGGAAAAAACAACAUAGAAUGACCAAUAAGUUAAUCUAAGUGCAUUUGGUUUAGUAUUUUGAAAGCCCAUUAGGCAAAUGCAAAAUAAUUUAGCCUAAAAGGCAUUGGAUAGAUGCAAAGGCCGUUUGGUAAAUUACGCUUUUGAUAAGCAACUUUGAGAGAAAAUACCGAUCAAUAGACAACACAUUUGAAAAGUGCUUUGGUGAUUAAUAUUAGUUUUCUAUACCACCGCCUUGGUGACCGCGAUGGUUUGCGCUCUCUCCCCCUCACGGUUGCUUGGAGUCUUAAGUAGGACGCUGGGAGUGGUGGGUCGUCCCGCUUACGUGUCCCCCCAGGUUUACUUGCCGGCUGCCGGCUGUAUGAGAUUCCUGGGCCACCAAAAAAAAAAUAAUAAUUUUCUAUAUUUUUAUUUGUUUAAAUUUGAAAAAGAAUCAAAUAUAUAUAUAUAAUUGAAAUAAUAAAAGACCAAACCCUUCGCCGGUUCGGCGAAGGGCUACAGCUACCAGCGAGCUAGAUUUGGCGCUGGUGGCCAUCGAUCAAGGUUGCCCAAUGGCGAGGGUUGCCAAUUGGUCGUGCAACCCUGACGAGGCAACCUCUAGCGGCCCUUGCUGGGUUCACACAACCCUCGUUGGAGAUCGACCAACCUCGGGUGACCUUAAUCAAAAGUCGUCGACGCCAAAUCUAUCCCCCCAACAAUCGUAACCCUUCAUUGAACCAGCGAAGGGUUUGAUCCUUUUUUAAUAAAAAAAAUAAUUAGGGAUAAAAUUUGAAAUUUGAAGAGUUGGUGAGGGUAGUUUUGGAAGAAAAAUUGAGUUCAACAUUCGAUCAAAUGAUCAAAUGUUGAAAGCCCAAACUAGUCUCUACUAGCAUUAGACUUUUAGCCUUCCCAAUGCUAGCUUUCAAGAGAAAGUUCACUCAAAAUAAUUACCAAACGGUCUAGCAUUCUCCAAGGGGUUUUGGAUCGCAUAACCAAAUAUAGAAGUUUCAGAAAGUUGAAGGUCUUCAAUGGAGGUUAACUAAAUUUAUACUACUACACCAACAGUCUUAACCGGCAACCACCUCUAUUGGUCACCAGACCACCACUAUCAGCCACAAUCAAAGAGUUGUAGAAAUUUAGAGCGUGGAUAGAAAAAUACAAAUUGAGAUGAAUGCUUCUGUAAAUCCACGCUUAAGCCAUGAACUACUAGUCAUUUCUCCAGGAACUUAUGUUAGCUACCAUUAGGAGUUCAAUGCACAAAACAGAGCAACACAACAAAUAGUGAUGUUAUUCUUGAUUUCAUGUUCGAGUUUCGCAAAACAACAAUGACAUAUGUGAAUCUAAAAUUCAUAUUGAGAUUUAAGAGAUGAUGAACCUUUUCGUCAAUAGAUAUAAUUAACUCUUUCUCAAAUACAUUUCACAGCUUCAUAGACACAUUUCAACAAACCACUUGCAUGCAACGAAAUUACUAAGUCUAAUCAUGGCAUUGAAAUGGUUUCUUGUCCAAAAUUAGCAUUAGAACAACAAUGCCAUCACAAAUCAUUAAAAGAAGUCUCAAAUUAAUUCAAUUCUUGAUGAUUUACAUUUGAACAACAUGAAUAAAUCUAAAUUUUGUGAAUCAUUUAAACAGAGCAAUGAAAUUACGUGCUCACGAAACAAUAUGAAGCUACAAUAUUUGGCCGAAAUUUGAACUUUCCAGCUUGUCUAACCAAAAUAGAGCAAGGCAAAAUCAAUGGUGAAACAACUAUUGGCAAUAAUCAAUGGUAACAAAUCAAAAGUACAUAAUGCCGUAAAUCUAAGUUCAAAUACUUUGUUAUACUUGAUUAGUUCGUCCAUGAUGGGGUGUGAUUAAGACGCACUGGUUCGUCUUGAUAUGUUAUGAUAGAGAGACACCAUUUUGAAAUGGUAUGAAGAAAGUCAUAUAAAUAACUUUUGGAGAUAACCGUUGGUGUAGUUGUUAGAAAGAAUGUUUAGAAAAAAAGUUUUCUCUCUUCUUCUCCUCUCUCCAUCAAGGAACAAAAGGCAUUCCAUUAUUGCUUUGAGAAGACAAUCGGUAUUAACGCAGUGGAAAUUGAAUGUUUUCCUCGUGAUUGUAUUCAGAGCAUCAUGAAGUCUUAUCGUCCGUCGUUGGCUCAUGAUUCACAUUCAUUCCAAGGUAAAUUGUUCAUUGCACAUCGAAGAGGUAAGUCAUUUCUUCCACCAACUUUCCUCCUAUAUUAGUAUUAGAGCCUAUGGUAUGAUUCAUGCCUUGUUUUCCCAUCGAAUUUUCUUGUUUGCUAUUUGAUACGAGGAUCAAGAAGAUGAACUUCACAUCGUUUGGAUGUUUAUUGCUCGAAAAUUGUAACAUGAAUCAUCAAAAACAAACCAAAGUGAAAAACGGGUUUGGAGGUCGUGUACACCUGCACAAUUUUGGCCAUUUUUUGGAAUAUUUUCUUGAUUAAAUUCAAUUUUUGAAUAUACGAGGUAAAAGUACUCGUCGAGAUGAGUUGAAAGGUGGUCUAGCGCCACCAGAAGAUGCUGGAUGCGCCCAUACAUGCGUCGACGAAUCGGUACACGCUGACGUCAUCAAUGACAUUAGCCAAUGGUCGGUAAUCGACAUGUUGAUGUCAUCAAUGAUGUUACCCAACUGGCAACAGUCGGCCGAUCGGCGACUAACCGAUGAUCCAACCUGACUAGAGACCUAAACCGAUUGACUAGUCAAUUGGUCGAAUCAAUCAAAAUGGCCAGGAGCCUUGUUGGCUCGUUGGCAUGUGUGCCACACGUGCCGCGCACUCAGGAGGCACACGUCGACACAUAGGAGAUCCGAUUGGCGCGUGAUGGGUGGCGUUUGGUUCGUAUAGAUAUGCUUUACAUUUUGGUAUAGUUAUUCUACAUGUUUGAGGCUUUUAAAGAAAUAAAAAUUUGUACGAAAUCCUAAGUAUGUGUAUUUUUGAGGUAUAAGUGCAUUAUUUAUUUCUUUUAACCUGUAUUUUCUUAUGGUUUUAGAAAUAUAAAAGCUAGCCUACAUGAAAAUAACCAUAUAUAUGUUAUGAAAAGCUUAGUUCGAUAAUAGCACGUAUAAAAGCUUAGUCCUGAUUCGAAGCAAACUCGAACAAUGGUUGAAGAUCCUUGAUUUUUUUCAUUACGUGUUGAAUUCUGCCUUCGAUUAUAGUUGCUUCAUAAUUGUUUUUUUAUAUAUUGGUUUACAUCAUGCUAUGCCUUUUGAUAUUUAAUAGAAAAGUGUGAAAAUUACAUGGGAUCAUGUGAUUAUUUUUUUAUUAGUGGGAAUUUAUAGGUUGAUAGAAUUCGAAAGAGUUCUCACCUAAAGUGGGCAAAUUAAACUAGUUAAUGAUAGUAGAACAAUCGUACAUAAAAGUGAAUUAGGAAUACAGUGAACUUUCGUUUAUGUGUCUUUUGUUGAAUUAUCAUUAAUUUAAUUUUUCUUUAUUGCAAAUUAAAUAUUUGUGUUAUUAUGAAAAUACGCUAGUAUUGAUUUUGCGUUUAUUAUGUCAAUGCGUUGUGACGAUUAAUUAUGGCUUUGGCAUCUAAGAUCACUGUGAUUGAUCUCGAUAAGGGUGAAAAACUGAAUGGUGAUAAUUAUGAUAUUUCGCACCGAAAGAUUUAGUAUAUCUUUAUGUAGUAAGAUGUUUUAGAAACCCUUAGCCGUAACAUGGAUGAGCCUAAACAUGAAACUUUAGCUCAGCACGGGAGAGAUUAAGAAGCUUAUCAAUUUUGGAAAAAGAAAAAUAAUAUUUCUCACAUCACAUUGUUGAGUUGUAUGCAAGAUAAUUUCAUGUGAAAGUUUAAAAGUUAUGAUUAAACUCAAAUAAUGUAGGUUGCCUUGAAAGAUAAGUUUGAGGCUACGUCUGCUAGUAAAUUAAGGAGACUCACCAUCAAGUUUGACAAAUAUCGAAAGCGUCCAAAUGUAAUGAUAAUACAGUAUUUUUGAAAGAUGUCAAACAUGAUUCGUAAGCUAAAGUUGAUAGGUCUCUCCCUUACUGAUGAACAAUAAGUUCAUGCUGUUGUAAGGUUUCUUCCUAACAGUUAGAAGCAUAUGAGAAUAUCGUCACUUUUGACAAUAUAACGUAUCAUUUGGAAUUAGAGGAUGAAUGUCUAGAGAUUGCGAGAUCCUUUACCCAUGCUUAUAUUGCUGAAUUGAGUUCGUUCAAAACUUCGGGUUUCAAGCGCAAAAGAAACCAUAAAUUCAACAACAAAGGGAAUGAGACUAAUUAGGCACCUAAGAGGGCUAAAACCUUCUAAUGUAAAAACCAUGGUGGGAAAAAGGAUAAAGCCAAGAUGAAGUGCUAUCAUUGUGACAAGAUGGGUCACUUUGCUAGUAAAUUCAUCGAGUAAAAAGAGGUACCUUAAUAUUCUAUUACUUUAAGUAAUACUUUUGUUUUUAAUACUGUAAUGCUUGUUGAAUCACAUCAAAUAUAGACUGUAAACUUAGGAGUAACAGACCAUGUAACUAGAGACUGAGGAUUAUUUGUGGAAUAUCGUCAGCCUAAAAGAAGAUGGACAUACGUUGGGAAUAACUCAAGAGUUGAAGUAAAAGGUAUCGGCAUAUGUAAAUAAAUUUUAUGUGGUGGUUGAAAUUUAUUUUUACAUGAUGUCCUCUAUACUCUAGAGAUUUGAUGAAACUUAGUCUCCAUAAUUGUUCUUCUUAGCCUAGGUUAUCUAUUGAAUUUUUAUGGUGAUUGUAUUGAUAUUUUAUUUGAAACAGUUUAUUAUGAUUUUGGUCACAUAUUGAAUGAUUUUAUGGUGUUAGACAUUGACUAUGAUGUGUACAAUGUUAAUGUUAAUGGUUGUUUUUCUUUAAUUACAUCUUUUAGUAACGUUGAGAUUGAUGCAAGUACUUGGCAUGCUAGAUUAGGUUAUAUUGGGUUACAAAGAAUGCAAAAGUUAGCUAAAUAAGAUCUUUUAGGGUCACUCGUUAAUGUUAAUAUAUUCAUAUGUGACUAUUGUCUAACGAGAAAAGUAACUAAAAAAAAUCAUUCGGUAAAAGAGCUAAAGCCGAACUUUCUUUGCAACUUAUACAUUUUACAUUUGUGGUUCAUUGAAUGUAAUAGCGAGGCAUGAUGCCUUAUAUUUCAUCACUUUUAUAGAUGUCUUCACGCAUUUCAAUUAUAUUUUUCUAAUCUCUCAUAAAUCAGAAAUAUUAGAUUACAUUAGACGAUAUGUAACGUCAGUAGAGAAUCGGUUGAACAAAAUAAUAAAGGGCAUUGAGAACCAAUCUCGGACUUGAGUAUCUAUCUGAGCAAUUCAAGAUUCUUUAUAAUGAAAAAAGAAUUAUAUAACAAUUUAUUAUUCCUGGUACUCUGCAACAAAUUUGGGUUGCCGAGAAAAUGAAUAGAUUCCUAUUGAAAAUUGUUAGGUCUAUGAUAGUGCAAACAAAUCUACCUAUCUCAUAUUAAGAAGAUGCGUUAUUGACCAUUGCUUAUAUAUUUAACCGUGUGCCCUCAUAGUCAGUCACUUCUACCCCUUAUGAAUUAUGGAUUGGUAGGAAACCAAACCUAAGUAAUUUACGUCAUUGGGGGUGUACAGCUUAUGUUCAUAAUUCUUCUCAUAAAUAUGAUAAAUUAAGCUAUAAAUUGAAUAAAUGUAUCUUUAUAAGAUAUUCUAAACACUCCAAAGGAUAUGUUCAUAGGUGAACAUACUGAUGGAAGUAUAACUGAAAUGGAGUUACGAGAUGUCAUGUUAUUGAAGAACGAUUUUCCUAGUUGAGGUGAGAUUGAUAAGAACUUCCAAUUAUAUGGAAUGAAAGACCAUAAUAACACAACCGCUAAUGUUGUCGAGGGAAAUGAAGAUUUACUUCAACAUACAAGACCUAGAGGGAGUGCCGCGUUUUCUAGCAAAUUGAAUUCAAGAGAAGUUAAGUUACGUAAAAAUAAUCAUAAAAGCAAUCCUCGUCGUCGUUUUGAGAUUUAAGGGGAAACUUUAUGAUUAUUCCGUAAGACAAUGCCAAGCCUAAGACUAGUUAAGAGGCUCUCUCAUUCUCUGAUAAAGAAGAAUAGACAAAAACUUUGGAAGAUGAGAUGGAGUUAAUGAGGGUAAACCACAUCUAAAAUUAAGUGAAGGGCGGAUAAAUCCAUUGAAAAGUAUAAGGCUCAUACUCAACAAGAAGGUAUAGAUUAUGAGAAACAUUUUCACCAAUUGUAAGGUUUGCUUCUAUACGCCUUAUUUUAUCCAUCAUUGUACAUUUGGACUUAUAAUUAUAUCAAAUGGAUGUAAAUACAACAUUUCUUAAUGGAGAACUAGAUGAAAAAAAAAUCCAUAUGAAAUAGCUAAUAGGUUUUAUAGCUAAAGGUUAGGAGCAUAAAGUUUGCAAGCUUUAUCGUUCAAUAUAUGGCUUUAAGCAAUCAUCUAGACAGUGACAUCUUUGUUUUCAUCGAGCCAUAAUAUCUUUCGAAUUCACAAUAAUUGAAGAAGAUCAUUGUGUAUAUAUCAAAUGGUUCAAAGAUAAAUUUGUGAUUUUAUCACUUUAUAUGAACGAUAUUCUGUUAGCUGAAAAUGAUAAGGGUUUAGUUAUCAUCAUAAAAGGAUGAUUGUUCUCUAAUUUUGAAAUGAAUGUACUUUAAUUUUGAAAUGAAGGACAUGGGAUAGGUCACUUAUAUAUUGAGAGUUAAGAUCGAAAAAGAUUGAUUAAGAAAACUUCUUACUCCAUUAUAAGAGUCUUAUAUAAUGAAGAUUCUUAAGCGUUUCAAUAUGUAAAUUGUAAUCUCAUUGAUAUCAUUGUCACACAAGGUAAAUGCUUGAGUACUAAGAUUUGUCCUAAGAUUCUAGAAAAAAAGAAAGAAAUGGAAACGGUUCCUUACACUAGCGCGGUUGAAAGUUUGAUGUAUGUUAUGAUGUGUAUUUGACCCAACAUCUGUCAUGUCGUGGGGUUAGUGAGUCAAUAUCUAUUAUCAAUCAAAUUUUGAUCAAGUACACUAGAAAGUAGUGAAGAAGAUCUUAAGAUACUUGAAAAACACUAUAGACUAUCGACUUUAUUAUCAGAGAAUAAUUUACGCUUGUUAGGCUACUCAGAUGCUAGUUGAAAAGGAGACCUAGAUGAACGUAAAUCAAUUUAUGGAUAUGCAUUCUUGUUUAAUGAAUGUGCAAUUUAUUGGAAUAGUAAGAAAUGAACAUGCAUGGCUUUAUCUACGAUAGAGGCAUAAUUUAUUGCGUGCUCUACUACAGUGCAAGAAGUAGUAUAGCUAAAAUAUUUCUUAGAAAAUUUAGUCAUUGUCACUGAGGUUCUAAGACUAAUUACAAUUUAUUAUACUAGUCAAGUAGCUAUUGCCUAUGUGAAAAAUCCCAAGUAUCAUGAUAGGACAAUAAGCACAUUAAUAUAAAAAAACAACUCCAUUAGAGAUAUAAUAGCGCAUAAAGAAGUGAUGCUUCAAUAUAUUUCAACUAAUAUAAUGGUUAUUGAUCCAUUUAUAAAUGCUAUUCCUAGAGACAUCCUCUUAACCCAUAGGAUAUCUCUAGGGUUACAUAGAAUGUGAUAUGUAUUAUUGUAAAUGAUAAUUAGUUUAUGUAUAUAUGCAUUAUACUCAUUUGUCUUUAGUGAUUUGAUGUUUUAUCAAUAAGUACAAAUCCAUAAUAAGACUAGCACGAACACGCAUAUAUUGUUGAAAAAUAUAUCAGUAAGUAAUGAUUAACUUACUCACACGAGAAAUCACAUCUAGUGCUAUAGUUAGCACAUUGAGAUGAGACGUUAUGUACAUAUAAAUACUGAAAUAAAAUAACGCAUCGCCUUAAUUGGAGUCAAGAUGAGAUCUGCGAUUUGUAUGUAAUAAUGCCAAACAUGAUAAUCCCACAAUCUUGUAUGCCUGUAGGAUGUUGAAUGCAAGUACUUAAUUGGGCGAUGUAGAAAUGGAGCUAAUAUAACACUUGAGCUAAACAUGAGUAUGUGAGAAGCGCGUGACUAUACUUAGGCUAAGAUUUAUAUAAUGAAUGUAUUUAAUAAAUAACAUAUGCUCUUAUAGAAAGAGAAAUCCACUAUAGUAUAUUAUUCAUGCUACAUGUGCAUUGUAUGACCAACAAUGAAAGGUGAGUGAAAUUACCCAUAUUUACUCAUCAUAUGAGCCAUUGAGGUAAUUUAUAAUUUACUUUAUUUUGUGUCAUAUGUUACUUAUGACUAUAUUCUUGAAGUGAAAUAUCAAUGUUACUAUUUUAACAUGUUACCGGCGGUCAUGAAUAGAUAUGGAUUUAUGGGAUGUGUCUGGGAAAACAGUUGUUCUAAAAUGGAGAGAAACAUGAGUGCAAAGGAACAUUAUCGUUGUUUUACAUCUACCACAUGUAUUUAUCGAUCGAUCAAUUAUAUCACAUUUUGUGGUCUUAGAUAUAAUUGUAAAUAUAUAAUGUUAUGAGAAUAGUCAAGUAUAACCUUUAAGGGAUAGGUAUGUUUGGACUAAUAUAACAAAAUAUGUCUGGGACACUAUGAGACAUCAAUUGUUCAUUUCUUUUUAGGAUUGUAGCCACUAUGUCAUCCCUAACAAAUGUAUAAUACUCACUGGUCACACGACUUUCUUGCCAAUAUGAAUUGUUUUUAAAGUAAAUGAACAUCGAAUGUCUUAUAUUCUUGAUAUGUCCGAGUGGGAGAUGUUAUAAUUUAUUAGUACAUACACGAUAGGGUGCGACUAAGACGCACUGGUUAGUCUUAAUAUACUAUGAUGAAGAGAUACUCUUUUGAAAGGAUACAAAGUAAGUCAUAUAAAUAACUUAUGGAGAUAACUGUUAGUGUGGUUGGCAGAAAGAAUGUUCUGAAAGAAAGUUUUCUCUCUUCUUUUUCUCUCUCCAUCAAAGAAUGAAAGGCAUUUCAUUACUACUUUAAGAAGAUAAUCGACAUUAAUGCUAUGAAAAUUGAAUGUUUUCCUCGUAAUUGCAUUCGGAGUAUCAUCAAGUCUUAUUAUCUGUCGUUUGCUCGUGAUUCAAUGUUUGUUCCAUGGUAAAUUGUUCAUUGCGCAUUGAAAAUGUUAGUCAUUUCUUCCGUCGACUUUCCUCCCACAUCCUCCAUGAGCAUGUGUCGUACGAUUGACCACACAAGCAAGUGAUGGAUGGUGGUUAGAACAAAACACAAAUUGAAAUUGCGAGUGCACACUUUUAGAGCCCCGAUUAAAUAACCUUAUAUUCAAGCUCCAUCCAUAACUAGAUACAUACCGAUUUUUAUCAACGCAUACUGCCUUUUGGCUAUAUAUCAAGUAACCAGAUAUUUUUUUUUAUAAUAAUUUUCAAGGAAUACCUAUUGUGCAUUGAAGAUAAGAAAAUUUCUUGUGAGCAUAUUUGCCUAGUAUCCAUCGACAUAGUUAAUAACGUAAUCCUACAAAUAAAUCUUUGGGCUAUUUCUUUAGAUGUAUCAUCUAUUUCGUGAGCUCCAACAAGGGUUCUCAUGUGAUGCAUGUGAAUGCAAUGAUUUAUGUAAAUUUGUGAGUUCUAGUCAAGCUAAGAUAGAAUAGGUUAAAUGCUAUCCAAUAUAGGAUGUAAAAAGAAGAAACAAGCAUUAAACGAAUAAGCAAAGGAAUCAGGAAUCUUUUUGAUUAAGUUGUCUAGAAUUGUUGUGGUUAAUGAAAGAUAACUGCAAAGAAAUAGACGGCCCGUAAAUGAGAGUACCGGACGAAAAAAGGAUAGGAGCAACAUCGGUGACGUACACAUGAAUAUUGAGGGACAACUGAAACAUGGCUAGACCCUCAAUAAUUCCAAAAAAGAAGAAUUAGGAUUAUCAAUGAUUCGUGGGAGAGAGCGACGAAUUUGUGUAUGCUCAAAUUGUACAGUUAUGUGCAACUGUUGCUCAAAUAGUAAAAAGGACACGUUAGCCAUAGAAAAAAGGACAAAUGCAAACUAAAGAAAUACUUUGAAUUACUUAAACAGAUCAAAUUGCAUAUCUAGCCCUCAGCAAAAUAUAAAAUUGCAUUGUUUCCAUUCUAUAAACAAAUAGUUAGAAGCUUUUAAGAUUGUUUAUGCAUUGGUACCAUGGAAGAAAGCUUGAGAUACUAAUCAUAGAAGAAAACCUAUUGGGUACAACUGCUAUAAAUAGUCAGGACUUGAGCCUAUCGAGGUACAAAGUUGGGUUGAGAGAAAAAUUAAGGUAUAUCACAUAAUGGAUACUAAUAAUGCUACUAUUGUCCCUCUUGAUGUUCAAUUUUGUCAAAGGUGCCCCGAACAAUGGCAUAGUCCAUUGGGCUUCCAAUACUGGUUCCCAUUGAAGUGGUGAUCCUUAUGCAAACAGUGUGGCUUAUGCCCUCGAGGACACGACGACCGUGAUGUCAAAUCACAUGGACUAAAACUACUCCACUGCAUCUCCUUAUCCCGCAGCAACUGCCUAUGGUCACGCUUUAGCCAAGCACUUUCUUAUAGCCACUGUGGCUGUUAAAUCCUAAAUACUGGCAAUAUGUCCAAAUAGUCAGGGCGCUCAAGUCGAGCUUGAAGAUUGUAGAAUGAGGUACGAAAACUGCUGGUUCAGUAAUUUGGCUCCAAACAUAGAGAACCUUGUUUGAAUGGUAACGGCACUGGGAUGUGCGUUUCCAGUAUUUGCGUACGGAUUUUGCUAACAGAAAUCACAAUGACUUUGUCCCUAGUAUUUGCAUAAAGGCUAAAAGAAAUGGUAACGAUUUUGCUAAAGCCGCUUGUGAAUUUGACAUAUACGUUGAACUCGAAGUACAACUCCCUGUUGAAAUUCCAAAAGAAAUCACAAUGACUUUGUUCCUAGUAUUUGCAUACGGAUCACUACUUGAAAAUCAUUAAGGAGGUCGAGAACAUAUUUACAGCAUACAAGACAGAUACCACGUGAGGAUUCAGUCUUUUCGUUGCCAAGAAAAUAUUUCCAAGAAGCCAAAUCAGCAAAACAGAAACUAUGUCAAAUCAAUUACUGGUCAUACCACAUAAGGGUCAUCGGCAUAAACCAAAAUAAGUACAGAGGAUGAGCUAAUGCAUGAAAAAGAAAAUGGACUUAUCAGCAUAAGAUUGAACCAAACCAGCAUCUACUAAUGCAGCAGGAGAUACUUAAGAAACCAAUUUUCUCUGAAGAUUUUACUUUUCAUCGUAAAAGUGGCCAAUUUUCUCUGAAGAUUUUACUUUUCAUCGUAAAAGUGGCCUUGCUUCAGUUGAUAAGCCAAUGAACCUGCAUUGUCAAAUCAGGAAACGGGCAAAAGAGACAGCCAAGGAGUUGAUCCUCUUGAGAUAUAUACACAACUUCAAUUUGAACCUUUUGCUUGACAAGUUAUUUUCUCUGAGUUCAAUUGAUCAUGUCUGUCAUGGUAUCCACGCGUGAACUUAGCUCAAAAACUCAUCUCUGAAAUGCUUGCAUGCUACCAUGAUUGGGUCAGCAAACAAAGAGUAGAGGGCAUGCCGAGAGGCAGAUUGUCCAGGGAAAUCCUACUGUUGUAAGUGAGACACUUAAAAACAAACAGAAAAAUGUGCUCCCAAGUCAGUGAUUAAGACAGACAAAUUUGGCAAGGAAUGUACCUCUAUUGGUCGGGAAAGUAAUUCAAUUGAUGCAGUGCAAAAGAUGAUGGAAUUUACAUCAUCUGGGCCUGACUGCGAUGAAGUUGAUAGUUGCUUGCUCAAGGCGGCUAGCAUUGUUUGUCAACGGCAUUCAUGUUCACCCAUCAUCAGAUGCUUUUCAGAAAAUCCCUCGCAGUGCAAAGGGGAAGAUACUUCAAGUAGCUUUCAUACACUUGUAACCACGUUCCUUAGUCAGCAAGUCGUCCCUCAAACUUCGCUGUUAUUUGCAUGUAAGAAGAAGAGCAAAUAAACCAAAUAUAUAAUCGACCUGUGGUGAUAAUCUGAUACACAGCUUGACCCAAAUAUACUCCACUGCCGAUUCAAACACCAUCCACUUCAAGGUAUGCCUCUUCUUUGAAAUAUCUAUGGUAAAUAUGACAUUGAAAGGAUCAGAUUGUGAAAAAAGAAAGUGUAUAACAGAAAACUAGGAUCUCUCUCUCAAAGCACAUACAACAUAGGCUAAUCAGGAUUUAUGGCAUAAUAUACUUCAUUAAAUAGUAAAGUUAUCGCUAUUAACAUCUAUUUAAUACAAUAUCAUCCUCAGACUGCUUGAUCAUUUGUAUGAAUUUCCCCUGUUUGAAAAACAUUAGGCACCAAAAGCACUAACAGAUGAGUACACAUAAUAGUUCAAUACAGAGAUUUCAUACCGAACCUAGAUAUAUGAGGAUAAAAAUCCACCUUAUACCCCUCCAAAUAUUUGCCAUCUUGGGCGGUUUGAUUCAGUGAAUUGUCUCUCAGAUUUGAAACAACUUCAUCAAUGGGACAUGGGACACAAUGAGAAGAUGUUUGGAAGAAAACUUGGCAUUAAUCUGAUUUACUCUUCAUCACAUUUCAGAUGAAAACUUGGACAGAACUCAGAGACAAUGGAUAGUUCUCCUAGUAAAGGAAGAAGUUCCAUUUAUCAUGAGAUAUUUGAUCCACAACUCCAUUGUCGCUACAUCUGCAGAAAAACCCCUUUCAACCAUUUCAUUGACAAGUUGUGCUGCUCUAGUAUUUUCGUUAUUUCUUAGUAGUCCUUGGAUCAUUGUGUUGUAAGUGACACCAUCUGGAAAGCAUCCAUUUUCUUCCAUCUCCUUUAGAAGCAGAUAUGCUUCCUCCGUACGUCCUCCUUUGCACAACUCAUGCAUGAGAAUGUUAUAUGUCCACACGUUAGGUUGCAAGCCUUGAGCAUGCAAACAAUCAAACAGCCCCUUUGCACCGUCGAGUUUUCCAGCAUUACACGUGCCAUUUAUUAUCUUUCGAAGCAAUGUCAUGGCCUUGUCGAUCUGUCGCGUUUUACACAAGCCAUCCAGGAAAGAAUUCAAGGUAUAAUGACUUAGAUACAGAUCACGAGAUUGCAUCUCGUUAAUUAGCUCCCCCGCAGCUUCAAGGUUCCCAACCUGGCAAUAUCCAUUUAUGAGAGUGUUGUAUGUGAUGACAUCAGGAUUCAAGCCCCUUUCAAGCAUUUCUUGGAACAGUAUUUUUGAUUUGUCAAUUCUUUUCGCUUUGCAGUAUCCGUUAAUCAACGUGUUAUAAGUAACAACAUUAGGUGAGCAGCCUCUUUCAACCAUCAAAUUUAGAACCACCAGAGCAUCAUCCAUCCUAUUUUGCAAACAAUAACCAUUCAACAAUGCAUUAUGAGUGACGCUAUUAGGCAUUUUACCUAAUUGAAUCAUCCGGUUGAUUAUGGCCUCUGCCUCUACAAGCAUUCCCUCUUUACAAUGUGCAUCCACCAAGAUAGUGAAGGUUUGAACAUUCGGCAUGACUCUGCUUUGCACCAUAUGACUCAGCAGUCUUUGGGCCUCUUUCAAUUGGCCGGAAUUGCACACUCCUUGAAUGACAGAGGUAUAAGUAAUGACGUCUGGUUCAACUCCUGCCUUCAUCAUCUUCUCCAACAAGACCGUAGCAUCUUUCCAUUGGCCUAGGUUGCAUAAGUAAUGAACCAAGGAGUUAUAAGUGAAUAUGUCGGGUUGUAAGCCUCCGCUUGUCAUCUCUUUCAACAAUACGAGAGCAUCUUCCAUCUGGCCUACAUUGCACAGACCGUGGAUCAAGGAGGUAUAAGUAACAACAUCUGGUUUGAUACCUUUCUUACUCAUGCUUUCAUGGAGUCUCAAGGCCUCUGCGAUCAAUCCCCCCUUGCAAAGACUAUCAAUUACUAUGUUGUACGUGAAGGAAUUGAUCCUGCAGCUUCUCUCUUCCCAGUCCCUUAGCAAUUCGAUCGCCAAACUGGUGUUACCUGCCCUGCAUAACCCCUUGGCGAUUAUCGCAUACGUGGUCUCACUAGGUUCGGGACCAUUUCGUCCCAUAUCAUCGAGGAACCUCAAGGCUUGAUCAGUUUUGCGCUGAAUAAAGAGACCAUCAAUUAGGGUGUUCCGCGUCACCACAGUGAUGGGAAACCCAAGCUUGAAGAUUCUGCCGAGGAUAGACAAACCCAAAUCAACCCGCCUUAACCGGCAGAAGCAAUUCGUCCAAAUGGUCAGCAAGGCAACAUCAUCCUCGAUCCCCAAAGAAGGCAGCCGCUCAAUCAAGCGGAUGGCAGUCGAGUAGUGCUUCAUCCUCACUAUAGCACCCAGCAGUAGACUGAAAUCCCCGGAGGAAGGCAAAGGGCUCGCCUUCAUCAUUUUACCGAAGCAACACAGGGCAUCACCGACACUCGUAAACCCACCACCACCAGCUCUGCAAUUUCUCCUCACGUAACUCAAGAGCCGGUUUGGGUCGUGUAAAUUAGGGUUAGGGCUGGAAGAAAACCUCCGACGACGAAGGCAAACCGAGAAAGGAUGAGAGAGAAAGAGAAUGGAAAGGGAUGAGGACUCGCAGGAGAUGGCAGCUGGACCCCGAAGCAGAAGGAAGAAGGAAUGAGCAGGGCAGAGAGUCGCGCGCUCCAUCAGCUUGAUGCUGAUGAAUUGUGAAAACUGCAGAGCUCGACAGGUCUUCGAGUUUUUAGUCGAAUUCGGAAGUCAUUCUCCAUUUCCCAAAAUAUAAUGGAGGGCGGCUGUUGAGAGAGCUAACUGGCCGUCAGUAUCCAUGCUUGAAAAGAGGCUUAGAUAUAUUCUCAUCCUGGAGGGAUUGGUUCCUAACAAAAACAAGAGCGAGAUUUUUAUUGCAGGUGGUGACCUUUCUAUUCGAAACAGAAUCCGGUCGGCAUUUGAUUUUAAGGAAGGGAAACUCCCUGCUAUCAUAUCUUCCAGAUUGAAUAAGGGGGAUUAUAUUGCAUUGACGGAGCGUAUUACGGCUAGGAUUCAAUCCUGGGCGCAUCGUUUCCUGUCCUUUGCAGGGAGACUGCAGCUGAUUCGGUCGGUUCUUUAUUCGAUUCAAUCAUUCUGGACAAGUGUCUUUAUGCUUCCCGCUUCGAUUUUGUCGGACAUCGAGAGAAUUAUGAGGCAAUUUUUAUGGAAGGGAACGGCUCUUGGCCGUGGAAGAGCAAAAGUAGCGUGGGAGGAUGUAUGUCUUCCGAAACUUAAAGGGGGUCUUGGCAUUAGGAAUAUCAGAGAUUGCAACAAAGCCUCUAUGCUCAAAUUCAUAUGGAUCCUCUUCUCGGAUAAGGAAUCGAUGUGGUGCCGGUGGAUUCAUUCCAUUUUCUUGACAAGGAAGAAUUUUUGGUUUUCAUCUCAACCUGCGACUUGCUCCUGGGCGUGGAAGAAAAUCCUCCAGCUUAGAAAGCACUUCAGAACUUUGUUUAGGUGGAAAAUUGGUAAUGGGCUAUCGGUAUCCUUAUGGCAUGAUUACUGGCUUCCAUGUGGCCCUCUUGAUGGAUUCGUUCCGCCCUCGUUUAGGGACAAUAUGCGGCUCCCUGAUAAUGCAGUAGUUGCUGACUUAUACACCCCAUUAGGCGACUCAUUCUCUUGGAUAUUAAUCAGAUGGGGUGUAGCUUUACCAACUCUGGAGGCUUAUAAUGACAAGUUUAUUUGGUGUGGCGAUCCAUCAGCCUCCUUCUCGGUCGCAUCCGCAUGGAAUGCCAUUAGAACCAAGAGAGAUCGGGUGGAUUGGGCUUCUUUGAUUUGGGAUAUCGAUAUAGUCCCGCGCCAUCAGUUUAUUAUGUGGCUUAUAUCUAGAAACCGUCUUCCUACUCAGGUGAUGUUGUUAAAUCAAGGUCGAAUUGAUUUUAAUCUAUGUGCCUUUUGUAAUGAAGUACCGGACUCAAUCGAACACCUAUUCUUCCGGUGUCGCAUCUCGGCCUCGUUGGCCUUCUUUUGGGCGGCCAGAUGUAACUUGCCAUGGAUGAAUAGAUGUUGGAGAGAGGCGCUCACUUGGGCCAGGAAAUUCCUCAUGGGGAAGGAUUUUUACCACAGGAUAGUUCGAUUCUCUUUCGGUGCUUUGUGCCAUCUCAUUUGGAAGAAGAGGAAUGCGAUUAUCUUCGGGGGUGAAUCCUUGGUGGUCCCUGCCCUUAAAAAUCACCUAAUCAAGGUGGUUAAGGACAAAGCACUCACAUUCACGGAAGUUCUUCCUUCUCCGAGGAACAGAAGAUUGCAAAGGGGGUGGGGAUUCCACCCCAUGAUCUUUUCCUCUGUAGCUAUUCCUCCUUAGGUUGCUGUUGUUUCGGUCUGCUCUUGUUCUUGUAGUUGCAGGUUCCUUCCUCCUCCGUUCUCCGCUUUCAGCUUUGAGGGCUUGAGGGCUGGGGAGGCUACGGAUUCCUGUUGUUACGUCUUGUUUGUUGGCUUCAUAGCUUUUGUGUUCUUGCUGGCGCCCUCGGGCUUUUUAUCGGAUCCCCGUCACUCUUGCUCCUUUGUUAAGAGUGCUUGUAUGGAUCCGAUCUUUUGUACUUUUGUCCAUUCUCAUUAAUAUUAUUACCUUUACCAAAAAAAAAAAAAAUGGAGGGAGAUAUGUAAUAUUCAGUUCAUUUGAAAAGAAAGGGGGUAACCACACUGAAGUUACUUCUUUUGAUGUGAUUGAGUCAUUCGACAUUUACAUCAUAAGUAAUACCAUAUUUUGAUGUCCAAUUAGGCCAUCCAAAUUAUUUUAAAAUAGAGUUAUUAUUAUAAAGAACCCAAAAUUAAUAUAUUUACGAUCAAAAUUAGUGCAUAUAUAACAAAUUUACCAUUUAUUUUAGAUUUUACAGUUAAAUUACUGAGUUAGAUAACAUUUAACAAUUGAUGAAUGUACUAGUUUGAGAUUUUACCUUCCGUUUAUCGCAAAUAUACCGGCUUGAAAUUUUUUGUAAUAUUAAUCCAAUUAAACGGGGAGUAAAUUCACAUGUGUACUAAUUCUGAGUUUAUUGGUAAAUUUAUCAUAUAUGUAUUACUUUGAAAUUUAUCGUGAUAUUAAUCCUUCAAAAUAUUAAAUGUUAUCCUCUGCUAGUGAAAUUUACUACCAUGAAUGACAAUCUAAAAAUACUAAAGUUGAAUGGGAAAUAACUUUUGUACCUUCAAUCACUUUAAACAGACAUUCACGUUCACAUAUGCAUCCUCUCUUAAGUAAAUAUGGGUAGGUAGGAUACCGGAGGGAUCAGGGAUCAGGUUGUGUUAGGAAGAGAGCAAAAACGAAAAUCAGUAUCUCUCCCUCAAAGCACAUACACAAUAGGCUAAUCAGGAUUUAUGACCUCAACAUAAAUUUAAAAAAAAAAAAAGAUUUUUCUGCAUAGCUAACUUCAAUAUUAACAUUUAUUUAAUUUAAGAGCAUCCUCACACCGCUUGAUUGUUUAAAUGAAGCAUAAACUGACGGGUACAUGUACCAUGUAUGAACAGGGAUUUCUUGUAGAACCUAAGUACACGAGAAACAAAACCCACCUGCGACCACUCCAAAAAUCCUCAUAAUGAAGCAAGAGAAGAUCACCCAAACUUAAAACAACUCCGUUAAUGGGACAUGGGACUCAAUGAGAUGAUUUGUGGAAUAAAACUUGCCCUCAGUCGAGUUUACUCUUCAUCACUUUUCAGAUGGGAAGAGUGGACAGACCUCAAAAAAAAUUGGAUAGCUCAACCAGAAAAGGGAGAAGUUCUGUUUGUCACCAGAUAUUUAACCGACUACUCCAUCAUUGCCAUACUUGCAGAAAAACCCCUUUCAACCAUUUCACUGACAGCUUAUGCUGCUUUCGUGCCUUCCUUUUUUCCUAGUACUCCUUGGAUUAUGAUGUGAAGAGAGACGCCAUCUGGAAAGCAUCCAAUACUUUCCAUCUCCUUUAGCAGCUGAUAUGCCUCCUCCGCACAUCCUCCUUCGCACAAUCUACACAUGACAAUGCUAUACAUUCACACGUCAGGUUCUAGCCUCAAGCAUGCAAACAAUUAAACAACCCCAUAGCAUCGUAAAGCUUCCCGGAAUUACACAUGCCUUAUAUUAGAAUAGUGUAUGUCAUAAUAUCCGGCGUGAAUUUGGAGUCUUUCCUCUUUCGAAGCAAUAUUAGCCUAGCAUACUCGGUCAAUGGGUCGAGCAAGCAUCUUCACCAAUAGUCAUUGUAUGUUCAUGUUCCAUCCAUAAAAUGGUGGAACCUAUUUGCAUCCCUUAAAGACUAUAGAUCUUCCAGUUGCCAUGGGGAUAUAUUUGAUCGCAAAAUGACAAUCUCCGCAAAUGCGAAAAUGGUGGAACUUGUUUGCAUCCCUUAUGACUGAAGCGUCCAUGUGGUAAACAAGUUCAUGAGAAGAUAAGCAGUGAUUUCUCUAAUUUCGUUUUCUUUUCUUUGUUGUGAUGCUUUGUUAAUGUUGACGAGAUAUCAUGUGAAUCAUUUCCUAAAUUUGACAGAAGGACAAUAGAAGUACUAAAAGUUAUAUAUGACGCUCAUUUUAGAACUUGCCAAAGAAUGAACUUGUAAACCACCAACUGGACAAAUCACCCUGCUCAGCUGUAUCCACAAGUUCGCUUGCAGUUCCGAACUUCACGACAGAAACAACGGAAACCUAGAUUAUGUACUUUGAGAUCAGAUUCUUUGAUUAGUGAUAAGAUUCUCUUCUAGACAAACGUUGUGCGAUAGGCUAAGUGUACGUGCGACCCCUUUUAACUAGGCCGUUGGCCCAAAAGGAAAGUGGACCAGAAUUUCUUGAUCUCAGCCUAACCUAGGUCCCUGGAUUCUAUUAGAUAAGCAACACUGGCCUAAGUUCGACCAAGAAAUGGUACUGCAAUUAGAAAAUUGUUAGUUCUAGAUUCAGAACAUGUUCCGCAGAAGACCAAUUACUCUCGUGAGCUUGAUUCCACUUUUCCGGCUCAUCUCUUGUGAAGAGUCCGUCACUAAUGGACAACCCGAAAUUUAAAGCCAAAUUUGCUAUAGAGCGUCUCAGUCACAUUGCAACAGGGUGUAAACGGAAAUACCCUGCAAAAUUCCAUGUUUGCUAUAAACAAUGACCAAUGCCUCUCCAAGUGUACGAAUUCCAGAUGAAUCGUAGGCAAGUAUUGCCAUUCUAAAAUUACCUUACAGCAUAGAAUCAAGCAUCACAUAUGGUUAAAACGAUCAAAUGCCAUCAUCAAGGUUGCCUCCAGAGUGCAUCUGGGAGAGUUAUUUCCAUGCCUAUUGGUAUUUUACCAGGUCAAUUGCAAGCAAUAUUGUGUCCUCUCCCAUCAAUCGUAAGACCAGUCUCUAAAACACUUGCACCCUACUAUGAUUGUGUCAGGAAACGAAGAGUAGAGGGCGUGACGAGAGGUAGAUUGUCCGGACAAAUCCUGCUGUGGAAAGUGAAACACACAAAAACAAUCAGAAUAAAACAUGUUCCUAACUCAGUAGCUGAAACAGUUAAGCAUGGCAAGGAGUAUAUCUCCAUCGAUAGCCAACCUAUUCACUGGGAAAGUAAUUCGAUUCAACGGAAAAGACAUUGUAAAGUUACAUCAUCUGGGCCUGUGAUCAAGUUUAUUGGUGUCGCUCUAGAUGUCUACUGGGUUGGGCAUUGGGAAUGUCUGUCAACGUCAAUCAUGUUCACCCAUCAGCAGACACUUUCAAGAAAUUUUUUUGCAGUUCAGAGGAAAAGAUACUGCAGGCAGUUUUCAUACACAUCCAGCCAUGUUCAGGAUGCCGUCUCCUCCAAACUUGGCUAUUGUUUGCAUGUAAGAAGCAGGCAAAUAACCCAAAUACUGAUCAACAUACAUUGAUAAUAUGAGUACCCAGCUCGCCACAAAUAUUUUCCACUAUCGAUUUAAAGUGCCCAUCAUCAUCAUAAAAUAUCAUCCCCUUCCACGUAUGCAUCUUCUUUGAAGUAACUAUAAUAAAUUCGACAUGUAGGGAUCAGACUGUGUUAGGAAAAGAGGGAAAGAAAUUAGUACCCCUCUCAAAGCACUAGGAUCAGAUUAUGUCAGGAUAUAUGACAUUAUUUUUUCAGGCCCAACCGCUCCACCCCCCGCGGGCGGCGGCGGCCCUCUUCUGAAAUUUUUUUGAUUUCUUUAGUUCCAUUUUCAGGAAGAGUUCCAUGCUGUUUCUGCUCAAUGACUGAAUUACAUAAGUCUAGCACAUAGUAAAGUUAUUGCUACUAACAUCUAUUUAAUUCAAAAGCAUGCUCACACUGCUUGAUCAUUUGUACAAAUUUCAUCUGUUUGAUUAAUAUUAGACACAAGAAGCUCUAAUGGAGAGAAUAUACCAUUUAAAUACAGAUAUCACUUACAGAACCUAGGUACACGAGAAACAAAAUCCACCUUCUACCCCUCCAAAACCCUUAUGUGUUAGCUAGCGAAAAAAUCUCCUAGAUUGAAAAGUCUACUUCUUUAAUGGUAAAUGGGACUCGACAAGAUGAUGUGGGGAAGAAAACUUGCCAUUGAUCUAGUUUACUCUUCAUCACAUUUCAGCUGAAAAUGUGGACAUAUCUCAAAGACAAUGGAGAGUUCAGAUAGAAAAGGAAGAAGUUCCAUCCAUCACAAGAUACUUAACCCACAACUCUGCUGUCCCCACAUUUGCAGAAAACCCCCUUUCGACCAUUUCACCGACAAGUUGUGCUGCUCUCAUGUUUUCUUUAUUUCUUAGAAGCUCUUGGAUUAUUGUGUUAUAAGUGACACCAUUUGGAAAGCAUCCAUUUCCUUCAAUCUCUUUUAGCAGCUGAUAUGCUUCCUCCAUGCGACCUCCUUUGCACAACCCACGGAUAACAAUAUUAUAGGUCCACACGCCAGGUUGCAAGCCUCGAGCAUGCAAACAAUUAAACAGCCCCUUUGCAUCGUCAAGCUUUCCAGCAUUACACAUGCCAUGUGUUAGGAUAUUGUAAGUCACAAUGUUAAAGGACAAAUUUGGAAUCUUCCAUCUUUCAAAGCAAUAUAUUAUGGCCUUGUCAAUCUGCUGUGUUUUACACAAGUCAUCGAGUAAAGCACUCAAGGUAUAAUGAUUUGGAGAUAGAUUGUGAGACUGCAUCUCAUUAAUUAGCUCCACCGCGGCUUCAAGGUUCCCAACCUUGCAUAAUCCGUCCAUGAGAGUGCUGUAUGUUAUGACACCAGGAAUCAGACCCCUUUGGAGCAUUUCUUGGAAAAGCAUCUUUGACUUGUCCAUUCUUUUUGCUUUGCAGUAUCCGUUAAUCAAUGUGUUAUAAGUAACAACAUCAGGUGAGCAGCCUCUUUCAACCAUCAAAUUAAGCACUUCCAUUGCAUCUUUCAUCCUAUUUUGCAAACAAUGACCAUUCAUCAUUGUACUAUAAAUGAAAUUAUGAGGCAUUUUACCUAAUUGAAUCAUCUGGUUGAUUAUGGCCUCUGCCUCUACAAGCAUUCCCUCUUUACAAUGUGCAUCCACCAAGAUAGUGAAGGUUUGAACAUUCGGCAUGACUCUGCUUCGCACCAUAUGACUCAGCAGUCUUCGAGCCUCUUCCAAAUGGCCGGAAUUGCAAACUCCUUGAAUGACGGAGGUAUAAGUAAUGACGUUCGGUUCAAUUCCUGCCUUCAUCAUCUCCUCCAACAAGACCGUAACAUCUUUCCAUUGGCCUCGGUUGCAUAAGCAUUGAACCAAGGAGCUAUAAGUGAAUAUGUCAGGUUGGAUGCCUCUGCUCGUCAUCUCUUUCAACAAUACGAGAGCAUCUUCCAUCUGGCCUACAUUGCACAUACUGUGGAUCAAGGAGCUAUAAGUAACAACAUCUGGUUCGAUGCCUUUUCUACUCAAACUUUCGUGGAGUCUCAAGGCCUCAGUGAUCAAUCCCUCCUUGCAAAGACCAUCAAUUACUAUGUUGUAUGUGAAAGAAUCGAGUCUGCAGCUUCUCUCUUCCCAGUCCCUCAGCAAUUUAAUCGCCAAUCUAGUGUUACCCACCCUGCAUAAACCCUUUGCGAUUAUUGCAUACGUGGUCUCAUCAGGUUCGGGGCCAUUUCGUCCCAUAUCAUCGAGGAACCUCAGUGCUUGAUCAGUUUUGCCCUGAAUAAAAAGACCAUCAAUUAAAGGUACUCGAUGCCACCACAGUGACGGGAAACCCAAGCUUCAAGAUUCUGCCCAGGAUAGACAAACCCAAAUCGAUCCGCUUUAACCGACAGAAGCAAUUCAACAAAAUAUUCAGCCAAAAAUGAUUAUCUUCAACUCCUAUAGAAUGCAGCUGCUCAAUCAAGCGGAUGGCAAUCAAGGAGUGCUUCAUCCUCACUACAGUACCCAACAGAAGACUAAAAUCCCUGGGGGAAGGCAAAGGGUCCGUCUUCAUCAUUGCACCGAAGCAACGCUGGGCAUUGCCGACGCCCGAAACCACACCACCAUUCCUGCACAUUUUCCUCACGUGACCCCAGACCUGGUCCGGGUCGUCUGAAUUAGGAUGGAAUGGGAUGAUGGCUGGCUGGAGAUCGCAUGAAGAAGGAGGAAGAUGGAAGAAGUAGGGCAGCGGAGACUCGUCGGCUUCAUUGCUCUGGGGUCUCUCUCUCUCUCGAACCACGAGAGUUUCUCCCGAUGCGACGGUAGUAGCUGAAAAAUUACAGAGAAUAUGAAAUUCAAUUUAUUUAAAAAUAGAUAACACCACCGAUGGUCCGUGAAUUUUCGCCUAAUACCCAAUUAAAUCAUCGAUUAUUAUAUGCAAUGUCAUACUCGCCCUUUCCACUGGUUUAACUAAGUGCUUGAACUAUUUUAAAACAUUUGACAAUAUUAUAUGUAAUGUCAAAUAAGCAUUUAAUCAGAUUUACUAAAAUAGACAUCAAUUUCAAUCGGUAAUUUCGGACUGGAAAAAUCAAUACACAUACCUUCCUUCUUCUUUUUUUGGCUCAAUCACUUUAAGCAGACAUUCUGAUUCACUUUACUCAUUUCGAUAGAAGACAUUUUGAUUCACUUUAUUCCACCUUAAGUAGACAUUCUGAUUCACUUUACUGAAGAAUAAGGAGAGCCAUUAACAACAAUUAUGGAUGUUUUAAAGUUGACCCUUCAUUCUCAACUUAACAUGAUCUAAUGGAAAAUUUAAGAGAGAAGAUGACAUUUUUGUGUUGAACGAAUGGCUCUUUACUAAUUUGGAGUCUUUUUCAAAACAAGGAUCGCAUUGACAUUAAAAAGAAAUAAUUUAAAGACCCAAUUGAGCUAAUUUAAAGUUCAUGGAUGACUUCAUACAUUAGACAAAGUUGAAAAACCUAACUACACCUAUUAAAAAUUUUGGGAAGACAUGGACAUUCUGCAUAUUGAACAAAAAUCCAUGGAGCUAUUAGUGUCAUUGUCACAAUACGAGAAUAAUCCUACUAGCAAUUAUGUACCCUUUUCAUUUGCCUUUUAUUAAAUAUUUGGUCAAUUAAUCAAAUAGAGUAGCUAAAAAAACUUCAAAAGAAAGGAAAAUGAGAGAAAUCGCUUCUCAUUGUCUCCAUUGACUUUUUAACACAAAGCAACUUUAAGAUAAAAUUCCAAAUAAAAACCUGACGUGUUUUUAUUUUCUCAAAUAAGGCCCAGAGUAAACCUUGUUUCAAACAACGACAUGAAGUGCCAUCAUUUUUUCAAGUAAGCGCUUAAAGUAAAUCUUAUUUCAAACAAUGGCCUGAAAUAAUUAUAUCUAUUUCAAGGCCUGCCUUUCCGACUAGUCAAGAGCAUUUUAGUCAUUUACCUUUUUUAUUGAAUAUUUUCCUUUCUUAUUUCAUUUUCCCUUUUUCCUUACCUUUUUUCCUUUUUCUAGUUUUUCUGUCUUCAUUGCUGCCAGUGGCUAUGAUGAUGCUGGAAAGGGUUGGGCAAGGAUUGCCCUUGCUGGUUGCUAGUAAGGGCCCCUCAUCGGCCACAAGCGAGGCCACCCACACUAGAUUUAGCGAGGGUCGGCUUGACCUAGGGCGACGAGGGCUCAACGACCCUCACCAGCCGCUAGCGCUAAUGGCCAAUGAGGGUUGCCAAGCCCUCGUUGGCCCUAGGCAAGGCUGACCUUCGCCACAUUUGGCUAGGGUGACCUUGAGCACGGCUAGCGAGGUUAGCAUAUCCCUUGCCAGCCCUUACCAACGGUUGACAAGACUGGUCACGCUCUUGCCAACCCUUACCAACGACCACCCUUUUCCGGCGGCCACUCACCCUCGUCAGAUAAAAAAAGAAGUGAAAAAAGGACAAAAAAGAAAAGAAUAAAAAAUAAUCUAAAAUUAAAAUUGUAAUUGGUCAAAAACACCCUUAACUAGUCAAAAUGUUUAGUCAGCCGGAGACUGAUGAGGUCAAGCUCUUAUUUGCAACAAUCAUAGCCACUUUAUGUCUUUAUUUGAAAUAAUCAUGAUUAUUUUAAACAUUUAUUUGACACAAGGUUCACUUCGAGCCAUUAUUUGAAAUUUUCCCCAACCUUGAUGACUGAAACAUCAAUAUUAUCUUGAAUAUACUUUCCUUGAAAAAGACCGGUCAAUAUUUUUAAUCUAAGGAUUCAUUUGUUUUAAGAAAAAUGAAAGACUUGAAAAACAUUUCCCUAAAAAAAUGAUUGGUUAUGUUGCUCUAAAUAAUUAGCCAAUAAAAAAUAUUUUCAUUAUCGACAAUAAUUUGUGCUUGAACUUUAUUGUGGACGAUAAAAAUAUUUUUCGUUCAUAUAUUUUUGUUAGAAAUACAAUUGAUUAUAUUUAGAAAAAUAUUUUGUAACUCGUGAUUUUUUUGCGAAACAAGCGAACCUAAGACUAAUCAAAUUAUUGAUUUGACUUCCAGUUCCAAUACGUUGGAAAAUACAAGUAAAUCUUAUAUAUUGAAAAAGUCUAUGCUGAUAAACAUGGCUGCUCAGUGCACGGAAUAAUGAACCUUGCACUCCCAAAGAGGCCAACAUGUUGAUCCACGCUGUGCCAUCCCUAAAAAUUCUCUUACAAAGGCUUGGUCAAAUUGAUGACCGGUCACCGAAUGACCAGAUGAAUAGGAUCAACACCGGUUUUGACUGUAUCUUGACCAAACCGGGUGACUGAGAAAAACUAGACCCGACCAUGGUCCGGAUCCCAGUUCAAUCGAUUACACAGGCCCAUUUAAUGCUGUCAGGUUUUAGGAUUAGCGGAAUCAUAUCUUUCUUGUCCUACAAAUUAUCUCACCAAUGAACGGAUUACCUGUGGUAAAAGAUGCAAUCACAAAUAAUAUAAUGUCCAAGUUUCCAUAGUCAAUUACCCCACUUAAUCUGAUGAAUUCAAGUUUACUCUGGCAGGUUAUACUGUUCUUUGAGGGAAAAAGAAUUACUUUUUUCUACCUCUCUCUCUUAUUUACGUUAGAUAAAAAGCCUUUUUAGUGCAAAAAAACGGCAUUUGUCUCUUAUAUCCAACCACCUGCUACAUUGAAGCGUAAUAGCUGCUGGAUCAAGCGGAUGGCAAUCGAGUAGUGCUUCAUCCUCGCUAUAGCACCCAACAGGACUGAAAUCCUUGGGGGAAGGCAAAGGGUCGAUGUUGAUCAUUUUACCGAAGCAACGCAGGGCAUCGUCGACACUCGAAAACCCACCGCCACCAGCUCUGCAAAAUUUCCUCACGUAACUCAAGAGCUGGCUCGGGUCGUCUAAAUUAGGGUUAGGGAUCGAAGAAAACCUCCGGCGAUCGCGAAACGAGAAACGGGCACGAGAGAGAUGAGGGAGGGAGAGAGAGACCGGAAUGCGAUGAUGAAUCGCUGGAGAUCGCAUCUUGAGCACGAAGGAGAAGAAAGACGGAAGCCCCAUGAACACUCUAACCUAACCAAGGCGACUCCUAUCAGCUUAAUGGUGCUCGAAAGCCUCCUUUUCGAUUUCCUUCAAAACGAGUGAGUGAUAAGAAAAACUUAGGUAGAAUCAUUUUAGUGAAAUUCAAGUUAUUACACACUUGUUUAAACAAAAAAUCUAUGCAUAAAUUGAUGAAAAAUAUUUCACCCUUUAGAACAUCGAAAAUUAUUUUCCAAAGAAGUUACUAGACAUCUGCAUUUUGGACCAAAAACUCUACUUGUGCAUGAGAGAUCUAAGACUCAUUUCUGAAACCCUUGUUCAUGUGCUUAAUUUCUCAAAAGUCCGUACGCAAGUCAUUUAGAUCUUGUUCAUGUGCUUAAUUUCAAAUUAGAUCUUACUUUUCAAAUGACAAAAAAUAUUUUAUGAUUUUUUUUUUCAAAUUCCACCCAAAUUUAGAAAAUUGACUUCUUGAAAAUUAGAAAUGUAACACUUUGCAUUAAACAAAUAGAGUAUUUGAGAAAAAUCUUAGUAAACUGAUGACCAAAUUCUAUAAGUAGACUCGAGAACAUUUCAAUUAAGAAAGAGGUUGGACAAUUUUAAUAUUUUUCAAUUUAGAUCUUUUUUUACCCCUAAAAAUUGAGCUAGGACACUUGUGGGUUCUAGGCCAACGAGUGGUUCGACCAACUUGGAGAAAGAGACAACUUUGAUGGUAAUGUCGUAUUCCUCAUCUCCACCAAAAAUGAAUGUUAAGGUGAUCAGACUCCAAAAGUGUGCCAUCGCUUGUAUGAGACUCGCUUGACACUUAACCCGAAGAAGAGAUAUGAGGUAACCAAUACUUUUUUCCAUGUAGCUUUGGUCUCCUUGAUCUAUAAUUUAUCCAUCAUGCCAAGAGAGCGUCUUUGGGAGCGAGAAUGAUUUAAAUAUUCAAUCUUCCCAUUAUAUCUAAAUCACAAAAGACGUUUUACUCGAUCACCAUGGAUUACAAAUAUAAACUUUGAAAACUUAAGUUGAUGAAGUAGAAGAAUUUUAAAAAAGUACAUAACAUACUUAUAGCGUCUGAUGAGAAGGGUUUUCAAUCAUAUAAGUACAUAGGUAUACUUGUGAGAUUCGACACAUAAAGUUGGGAUAUACUAUAGGUUCAAGAAUCCCUUCCCAACAAAACACUAAAUAUAUCCCAAUCUCGCUAAUUGGUUGGGUUCAACUUUUCUCUUGCGAGAUGAGUGGGGUCGAGAAGGAUUUGAUUAUGCUACUUAUCUAACUAUACAUUUCGGUACCUACACUUGAUUAUUUGUCAACUGAAGUGUCAACACGACCUUUCACCAAAAUAUGAAUUCUCAGGUUCUCAACCAUUAAAAGCGUGAAUGAUAACAAUUAUGUUUCAGAAUUUAAUUUUGGUUCCAAAAAUCUAAUUUUAUUUUUGGGAUGAGUGUUUGAGUAAAAAUAGCGUGUGAUGACAACAUAAAAUCCCUAUUCCUAGAAUAGAAAUUUGUUUAAUAAUGAUACAAAAAUUUCUCCUUUGCAAGCUGUGGCGGUGGCAACAACAAUGGACAACCGGUGGCAAUGGCAGCAAUCAAUGGAUGACUGACAACGGUGGUGAUCGGCAAACAACAAUGGUGGAUGGCAGGCGACAGCAAGUGAGCGGUCGACUAGUAGCGAGGGCGAGUGAGGAGAAGAGUUUUUAUUUAUUAUUUAUAUUCCAAAAUAGAAAAGUAGAAAAUUUUAGCUUCUCAACAAUAUUCCAAGCUCAUUUCUAGACUAAAAAAUUGUUCUAAAAAUAGAAAAAAUAAAAUUGCAUUACCAACGAAUUUCUAUUCUAAACCUAUUCUUGAGAGUAGAAAAAUAGUUUUAGCUAGAAAUAAAAUGUUUAUCACGUGCAUCUAACUGUCAAUCUAAUGUUUUUGUAUUUAUUUAUGAUCCCGAAGUGCAACCUAAACAUUCAAUGAAAACAAACAAAUCAAAACUUAGAAAAAGCAACAUAGAAGGACCAACCAAUUAAUCUAAGUGCAUUUGGUUUUGUAUUUUGAAAGCCCAUUAAGCAAAUGCAAAGUAAUUUAGCCUAAAGGGCCUUAGAUAAAUGGAAAGGUUGUUUGAUAAACUAUGCUUUGAGAAGUAAUUUUGAGAAAAAUACCGAUCGGUAGACAACACAUUUGAGAAGCACUUUGGUGAUUAAUAUUAAUUUUCUAUAUUUUUAUUUGUUUAAAAUUGAAAAAGAAUCAAAUAAUAAUGAUGAUGAUGAUGAUGAUGAUGAUGAUGAUGAUAUAUACCAAACCCUUCGCUGGUUCGGCAAAGGGCUACAGCCGGUGAGCUAGAUUUGGUGCUAGCGGCCAUUGAUCGAGGUUGCCCAAUGGCGAGGGCCGUCAGUCGGUCGUGCAACCCAGACAAGGCGACCUCCAGCGGCCCUUACUGGGUUCACACAACCCUCGUUGGAGAUCAGCUGACCUCGGGUGACCUUAAUCGAUAGUCGUCGACGCCAAAUCUGUCCCCCCGGCGAUCGUAACCCUUCAUUAGACCAGUGAAGGGUUUGGUCCUUUUUUAAUAAAAAAAAAUAAUGAGGGAUAAAAUUUGAAAUUUGAAGAGUUGGUGAGGGUAGUUUUGGAAGAAAAAAUGAGUUCAUCAUUUGAUCAAAUGAUCAAAUGUUGAAAGUUUAAACCUAGUCCCUACUAGCAUUAGGCUUUUAGCCUUCCCAAUGCUGGCUUUCAAGUGAAAGCUUCUUCAAAAUAAUUACCAAACGGUCUAGCAUUCCCCAAGGGGCUUUGGAUCGCAUAACCAAAUAUAGAAGUUUUAGAAAAUUGAAGGUCUUCAAUGGAGGUUAACUAAAUUUAUAUUGCUCCACCGGCGGUCUUAACUGGCAACCACCUCUAUUGGUCACUAGACCACCACUAUCAGCCACAAUCAAAGAGCUGUAGAAAUUUAGAGCGUGGAUAGAAAAAUACAAACCGAGAUGAAUGCUUCUGUAGAUCCACGCUUAAGCCAUGAACUACUAGUCAUUUCUCUAGGAACUUAUGUUAGCCACCAUUAGGAGUUCAAUGCACAAAACGGAGCAACACAACAAAUACCGAUGUUAUUCUCAAUUUCAUGUUCAAGUUUCACGAAACAACAAUGACAUACGUGAAUCUAAAAUUCAUAUUGAGAUUUAAGAGAUGAUGAACCUUUUAGUCAAUAGAUAUAAUUAACCCUUUCUCGAAUACAUUUCACAGCUUCAUAGACACAUUUCAACAAACCACUUGCAUGCAACGAAAUUACUAAGUCUUAUCAUGGCAUUGAAAUGGUUUCUCAUCCAAAAUCAGCAUUAGAACAACAACGCCAUCACAAAUCAUUAAAAGAAGUCUCAAAUUAAUUCAAAUUCUUGAUGAUUUAUAUUUGAACAACAUGAAUACAUCUCAAUUUUGUGAAUCGUUUAAACAGAGCAAUGAAAUUACGUGCUCACGAAACAAUAUGAAGCUACAAUAUUUGACUAAUUCAAGGAAGAAAAAUAAAGAAACUGCCACUGGCAUAAAGGCUUCGGGUGAAAUUUGAACUUUUCAGCUUGUCUAACCAGAAUAGAGCAAGGCAGAAUCAAUGGUGGAACAACUAUUGGCAAUAAUCAAUGGUAACAAAUCAAGAGUACAUGAUGCCAUAAAUCUAAGUUCAAAUACUUUGUUAUACUUGAUUAGUUCAUCCAUGAUGUGGUGCGAUUAAGACACACUGGUUCAUUUUGAUAUGUUAUGAUAGAGAGACAUCCUUUUGAAAGGGUAUGAAGGAAGUCAUAUAAAUAACUUUUGGAGAUAACCGUUGGUGUGGUUGUUAGAAAGAAUGUUUAGAAAAAAUGUUUUCUCUCUUCUUCUCCUCUCUCCAUCAAAGAACAAAAGGCAUUCCAUUAUUGCUUUGAGAAGACAAUCGGUAUUAACGCUAUGAAAAUUGAAUGUUUUCCUUGUGAUUGUAUUCAGGGUAUCGUGAAGUCUUAUCAUCCGUCGUUGGCUCAUGAUUCACGUUCAUUUCAGGGUAAAUUGUUCAUUGCGCAUUGAAAAGGCCGGUUGUUUCUUCCACCAACUUUCCUCGUAUAUUAGUAUUAGAGCCUAUGGUAUGAUUCAUGCCUUGUUUUCCCAUCGAAUUUUCUUGUUUGCUAUUUGACAUGGGAAUUAAGAAGAUGAACUUCACAUUGUUUGGAUGUUUAUUGCUCGGAAAUUGCAACAUGAAUCGUCGAAAACAAACCAAAGUGAAAAACGGGUUUGGAGGUCGCGUACACCUGCACAAUUUUGGCCAAUUUUCGGAAUAUUUUCUCGAUUAAAUUCAUUUUUUGAGUACACAAGGUAAAAGUACUCGUCAAGAUGAGUUGAAGGGUGGGUCUAGCGCCAUCGAAAGAUGCUGGAUGCGCCCAUACGCGUGUCAACGAAUCGGUACAUGCUGACGUCAUCAAUGACAUUAGCCAAUGGUCGAUAAUUGACAAGCUAACGUCAUCAAUGUUGUUACCCAACCAGCAGCAGUUGGCCGAUUGGCGACUGACCGAUGACCCAACCUGACUAAAGACCUAAACUAGUUGACUAGUCAACCAGUCGGAUCAGUCGAACUGGCUAGGAGCCUUGUUGGCUUGUUGGCGCGUGCGCCACACGUGUCGCGCACUCAGGAGGUGCUCGUCAGCACAUGGGAGAUCCGAUUGGCGCAUGGUGGGUGGCGUUUGGCUCGUAUAGGUAUGAUCUACGUUGUGGUAUAGUUAUUUUACAUGUUUGAGGCUUUUGAAGAAAUAAAAAUUUGUAUGAAAUCUUAAGUAUGCGUUUUUUGGGUAUAAGUGCAUUGUUUGUUUCUUUUAACCUGUAUUUUCUUAUGGUUUUGGAAAUAUAAAAGUUAGCCUACAUGAAAAUGACCAUAUAUAUGUUAUGAAGAGCUUAGUUUGAUGAUAGCACAUAUAUGGUUUAAUGUGCUUACCAUUUCCUGAUUCCGAGCAAACACGAACAAUGAUUGAAAAUCCUUGAUUUUUUUCAUUACGUGUUGAAUUCUGCCUUUGAUUAUAGUUGCUCCAUAAUUUUUUUAUAUAUAUUAAUUUACAUCAUGCUAUGCCUUUUGAUAUUUAAUAGAAAAAUGUGAAAAUUACAUGGGAUCAUGUGAUUAUUCUUUUACUAGUGGGAGUUCAUAGGUUGGUAGAAUUCGAAAGAGUUCUUACCUAGAUUGGGCAAAUUAAACUAGUUAAUGAUAGUAGAAUAAUCGUACAUAGAAGCUAAUUAGGAAUACAAUAAACUUUCAUUCCUGUGUCUUUUGUUGAAUUAUAAUUAAUUUCGUUUGUCUUUGUUGCAAAUUAAAUAUAUAUGUUAUUCUGAAAAUAUGCUAGUAUUGAUUUUGCGUUUAUUAUGUCAAUGUGUUAUAACAAUUAAUUAUGGCUUUGGCAUCUAAGAUCAUUGUGAUUGACCUCAAUAAAUGUGAAAAACUGAAUGGUGACAAUUAUGAUAUUUUAAGUCGAAAGAUUUAGUACAUCUUUAAGCAGUAAGAGGUUUUAGAAACCCUUAGCCAUAACAUGAAUGAGCCUAAACAUGAAACUUUUGCUUAGCACAAGAGAGAUCAAGAAACUUAUCAAGUUUGGAAAAAGAAAAAUAUCAUUUCUCGCAUCACAUUGCUGUGUUGUAUACAAGAUAAUUUCAUGUGUAAGUUUGAAAGUUAUGAUAAAACUCAAAUAAUGUUGGUUGGCUUGAAAGAUAAGUUUGGGGCUAUGUCUGCUAGUAAAUUAAUGAGAUCUACCAUCAAGUUUGACAAAUACCGAAAACACACAAAUGUAAUGAUAAUGUAGUAUUUUCAAGAGAUGUCAAACAUGAUUCGUAAACUAAAGUCAAUAGGUCUCUUCCUUAUGGAUAAACGAUAAGUUCAGGCUGCUAUAAGGUCUCUUCCUGAUAGUUAGAAGCACAUGAUGAUCAACAUGACACACAAUGAGAAUAUCGUCACUUUUGAUGAUAUAGCGCAUCAUUUGAAAUUAGAGCAUGAAUGUCUAGAGAUUGCGAGAUCCUCUACCCAUGCUUAUAUUGCUGAGUUGAGUUCGUUCAAAGUUUCGGGCUUCAAACGCAAAAGAAACAAUAAAUUCAAUAACAAAGGGAAUGAGACUAAUUAGGCACCUAAAAUGGCUAAGACCUUUCGACGCAAGAAGCAUAGUGGGAAAAAAGAUAAAGCCAAGAUGAAGUGCUAUUAUUGUAGCAAGAUGGGUCACUUUGCUAAUAAAUUCAUCGAGUCAAAAGAGGUACCUUAAUAUUCCAUUAUUUUAAAUAAUGCUUUUGUUUUUAAUAUUGUAAUGCUUGUCGAAUCCCAUCCAAUAUGGACUGUAAACUCAGCAGUAACAGACCAUAUAACUAAAGACCGAUGAUUAUUUGUGGAAUAUUGUCGGCCUGAAAGAAGAUGAACAUAUGUUAGGAAUAACUCAAGAUUUGAAGUAAAUUGUAUCAGCACAUGUAAAUUAAUAUUACGUGGUGGUUGAAGUUUUAUUCUUACAUGAUGUCCUCUAUACUCUAGAUAUUUGACGGAACUUAGUCUCUAUAAUUAUUCUUCUUAGCCUAGGUUAUAUAUUGAAUUUCUAUGGUGAUUGUAUUGAUAUUUUAUUUGAAACAAUUUAUUAUGAUUUUGGUUAUGUAUGGAAUGAUUUUAUGGUAUUAGACAUUAACUAUGAUGUGUACAAUAUUAAUGUUAAUGGUUGUUUUUCUUUAAUUACAUCUUUUCGUAAUGUUGAGAUUGAUACAAGUACUUGGCAUGCUAGAUUAGGUCAUAUUUGGUUAUAGAGAAUGCAAAAGUUAGCUAAAGAAGACUUUUUGGGGUUACUUGCUAAUGUUGAUAUAUUCAUGUAACUAUUGUCUAGCGGGAAAAGUAAGUAAAAAAAAAAUCAUUUGGUAAAAGAGCUAGGGCCGAACUUUCUUUGCAUCUUAUACAUUUUGACAUUUGUGAUUCAUUGAAUGUAAUAGUAAAGCAUGAAGCCUUAUAUUUCAUUACUUUUAUAGAUAACUUCACACAUUUCGAUUAUAUUUUUCUAAUUUCUCAUAAGUCAGAAACAUUAGAUUACUUUAGACGAUAUAUAACAUUAGUAAAGAAUCAGUUGAACAAAAUAAUAAAGGGCAUUGAGAACCAAUUUCGGAUUUGAGUAUCUAUCUGAGCAAUUCAAGACUCUUUGUGAUGAAAAGAGAAUUAUAUGACAAUUGAUUAUUCCUAGUACUCUGUAACAAAAUGGGGUUGCCGAGAGAAUGAAUAGAUCUCUAUUGAAAAUGGUUAGGUUUAUGAUAGUGCAAACAAAUCUACAUAUCUCAUAUUAAGGAGAUGUGUUAUUGACCGCUGUUUAUAUACUUAACCGUGCGCCCACAAAGUCAGUCACUUCUACCCCUUAUGAAUUAUGGACUAAUAGAAAAUCGGACUUAAUUAAUCUACGUCAUUGGGGGUGUACAGCUUACGUUCAUAAUUCUUCUCAUAAAUAUGACAAAUUAGGUCAUAAAUGGAAGAAAUGUAUAUUUAUAAGAUAUUCUGAACACUGCAAAUGAUAUGUGUUCAUAGGUGAACAAACUGAUGGAAGUAUAACCGAAAUGGAGUCACGAGAUGUCAUGUUAUUGGAGAAUGAUUUUCCUAAUUGAGGUGAGAUUGAUAAAAACUUCCAAUCAUAUGAGAUGGAAGACCCUAAUAACACAACCAUUAAUAUUGUCGAGGGAAAUGAAGAUUUACUUCAACAUAUAAGACCUAGUGGGAGUGCCGAGUUUUCUAUCGAAUUGAAUUCAAGAGAAGUUCUAAUGUUGUGAUUUUAUCACUUUAUAUGAACGAUAUUAUGUUGGCUGGAAAUGACCAGGGUUUAGUUAUCAUCAUAAAAUGAUGGUUGUCCUCUAAUUUUGAAAUGAAGGACGUGUGAGGAACUACUUAUAUAUUGGGAGUUAAGAUCGAAAAUGUGACAAUCUGAUUUUCCACUUAUGUUUUCAAUUGAAUAAAUCGGGUUUUUCAUCGACGUGCUUAUAGUGCUAUUCUCUGAGUCGAUCACUCAUGAGAUAACUAGACUAGUUGGGGAAGUUAUUAAGGGAUUUUAAUGCAAUAAGCUUGAAAAUUCGCCCAAGAAUCGACUACUUGACCGUGUUAGUCUGCAAUAGUCAUUACGGCAUAGUCAAAAAUCUAUCAGAGAUCGGAGAUAGGUCGAUUCGACGGAGGUAUGUAAUUAGGCAAAGGUGAUUCCACCUAAUUGCAAAAUUCUCGUCAAUCGGCACUAAAUCAAUUUUUUUUGUCGUUUUGAUACUCUAUACCUGUAAUUGAAAUCUUGAAAUUUUCAUGACAACCUAGAGUCACUAAUAAGUCGAAGAUGUAUAUUGUGGUUUGAAAACAAUCGACCACAAGUCGAUUCCAUCAAAAAUUCCCAAAAACUAUUCGAUAGUUUAGGUCACGUUAAAAUCACGUCAGAUUGAAAUUAACCGCGAAAUUUAAUCCGAUUUCAGAAAUUGAGAAUUCUACCGUGUCACAAUUAAUCCUAGGAACGUUGAUGCAUCCUCUCAAGACCUUUUGAUGAAUUUGAAAUUUUGGUGGAAAUGUCAAAUUGCAACAAGUUAAGCGAAUGUGGUAAAGGCCAUAAUUUAAAUGGUUUAUUAGUCUUCAAUGUGGAACCUUUGGAGAUUGGAAUUAUAAGAAUUUAAAUAAGGCUUUAUCCUUAUUAACUAAGGUUAUGAAAUGGUAAAAUGAAAAAAGGAAAAGCUAAUGGAAAAAGGGUGCAAAAUUCGGAUGUAUGCACACCAAAAGGAAUUCCACCACCAUUUGAGUUUCGUUUGAAGAGGAUAGGCUCAUCUAGGGAAUGGUAGGUCCCUUGAGAGUGAUGGAGAAUUAGUUUCCAUGGAAAAUAGCAAAAGGUUGUGAAAAUAUGGAAAGGGGGACCCUCCAUGGUCCUUUUUCUUCUUCUCCUCUCCCCCUCCUUGUGCUAUGUGACCACUCGUCUCUCUCUCCCUUUCUCUUUCCUUCCUUUUCCCCCUACCAUAAAGUCCCUUGUCUUCUUCUCCCUUAAGCUAUUCGGCCUCCCUUGUUUCUCCUUGGCUGACAACACAACAACCAAAAAUAGCGGAGAGCUCUGUUUUGGCGCUGCCGGUUCCUAGAUUAGCAGAAGCAUUGACCAAGCUGCCCUCAUGUUCCAUUUCUCUUUUGUGUGGCCAUUAAUCACCUCUCAACCACCCUCACCAGCAGUCCAGCAGUCCACAAAAACCGGUGAGAUUUAUGCAUCCCUUUGCCGGAAGCUCAGCGCCACUGCAUACGAGUGUUGCAUCGUUUCCAUCGCCCAUCCCUUCUCGAUCUCAACUCACCACCUUCACCAGAAGUAGCCAUCCCUUCGCCAUUGCUGCUACCCUGUCACUAGAACCCCUGUUGUACUGAUGCAGCCCACCAGUCAACCGAACCGCUCCAUGAUGCCGCCACCUCGCCUCUAAUGAGCUCACGCCGUCACUGCUCGGCCUGGCUUGGCUGAGAAGACUGCUUCUAAGUAGUAGGCCGAGGGCCUUGCUAGCCUAAGCAGGGCCACCCGGAGUUAUUCCAGCGCCCCCUUAGAUCGAGACCUCGUUGCCGCCGCUCCGCCGUCGCCGGAGGUCAUUGGUUUUUAGUUUAGGUGAGUCAAUUUCCUAAUUUCUGAUUAGGGUUGAUUACAUUCCUCAAGAGUAUGAUUAAGUUAAAUAGGAUUAGAAACUAGUUUAGUUAGGAUAAUGACUAGUUAAGUAGUUAGUUGAGAUGAGAUUAGAUAGUUAGACUACUUAGUUAGGUUGUUGGUUGGAUUAUUUAGUUAGAGACUUAAAUAUUUAGUUAAAUGGUUAGACUAGAAGGAUAUUGUAAGGCACUAGUUUAGUUAGGCAUUUUAACAAUUGGUUCUAGUUAUAAUCAAAUUGAAUUUUUAGUGAAAAAUUAUAAAUGGUAAUUAAUUAAAUAAUUAAUUUAAAUGAUUCAAUUAUAAAUUAGUUAAUUAUUUAAUAUUUUCCGGAAAUUAUACCGAGAUAGUCGGUGACUGAAAUUCCGUGCUGAUUGUAGUAGCAUAUUCCAUUUAUGCCAUGGAUUGUUAAAUUGUGCAAUUGAGUGAUGGUUGUUAAAUGUGAAUAUUUAAUUCAAAACGACAGAAUUUUGGUAUUUAAUUAGAAAAUAUCCGGUGUCAAGUUUUGGACACCGAAAGUGUUUUUAAGUACUAUAUCAAACUGUUGGAUUUUAAAAGAGAUUAUACAAAUUUUCUAGUUCGAUCUGACCAUAUUCCUACACACGAUUAUUUUACCAUGCAUUUCUAACAUGAAGAAAAGAGGCCGGAUCACUAUUUUAAUUGAGAUAUUUAAGUGCAAUACAUGGUGUCCUGGGCUGAAAUUGAAUGAAUGCAUGUAUGAUAUGAGAUACUGUCACGAGCCUUUGGGGUUGGACGAUGUUUCUUCGAGAAUACCCCAAGUUAACGGAUGCCGGUCGUAGUGGAGGCUGGACCGAUGCUCCUUUGAGAAAUGCCGUCUAGAUGUAAACGUUGUCGUGCUCGAUGGUGCGAGACGAAACCUGGUUAAGUCGGAAGAUUGCUGAUUGUUAAAUCGACCGUGACCGAUGAGUCAUAACCAAUUGGAACGCAUGAAUGAUUGAGAUUGAGGGGCCAUAUUAGGAGACGAAAUUGUGUGGUGCGGUAUGGGACGUACCAUAACAAUUUGGUUUGGUAAUCAGGACCUGUGAAUCGGUGAUGAUAUAUAUUUAUAUGUGUAUACAUGUCAAGAUGUUCCAAUGAUGCAUGAUUUCAAUAUAAUUAUAUGCAAAUUGAAUGGUAUUGACAUGCAGGACAACCACUGGUGUUACGUGAGUUUGGCGGAGAUAUGGUUAGAUUGCAUGCGAGUGUACUUUUCUUUUAAUCAGGAUUUAGGGGAUGGAAUCGCUGAGACAUCGUCUCAUUGGUUAUUGUAUAAUCAUUUUCAAGUCCUUAGAUAAAGGAUUGUCAAGCAAGGUGCAGGGAUUCGCAAGAAGUGAAAGCUAGGUUUUUAUUUAGUCUCUGUCAGAUGUCGACGAGUCUUUUAUCUAGUUUGGAUAGUGGGUGAUAGCUCACCCUUUUGUUAUCAAGAAGUCUGACGUGAUCGCAAGGGACGCUGGUCCCAUGGACGAAAAGCUCAGAGCGUAGAUAGCCUAGAAGCUUUUCUUUUUGAAAUAGAUCCAUGUGGUGUUAGACAUAUAUAUAUUGUUUGUAUUAUAAGUGUGUUUUGUGAAAAUAUCAUCCUAUGUUUCUAUCCCACUUUUAUGUUAUUUGAAGAUUGUUAUUAUGUUUCCACUUGUGCCAUAAAACGAAUGGGUCGUCGAUACUUCAUGGGACGUCGCAAAUUUUAUUGAGCAUAGAGGGAUGUGCAUGUGCUCGAAAUUCGGGUCGUGACAGAAAAAGAUCGAUUAAGAAAACUCCUUACUCUAUUAUAAGAGUCUUGUAUAAUGAAGAUUCUUGAGCGUUUCAAUAUGUAGAUUGUAAUCUCAUUUAUAUCCUUAUCAUGCCAGACGAAUGUUUAAGUAUUAAGAUUUGUCCUAAGACUCUAGAAAAAAAGAAAGAAAUGGAAAUUGUACUUUACGCUAGCGCGGUCGAAAGUUUGAUGUAUGUUAUGAUAUAUACUUGACCCAACAUAUGUCAUGUCGUGGGGUUAGUGAGUCAAUAUCUAUUUAUCAAUCAAAUUCUGAUCAAGUACACUAUAAAAUAGUGAAGAAGAUCUUAAGAUACUUGAAAAACACUAUAGACUAUCAACUUUGUUAUCAAGGGAAUGAUUUACGCUCAGAUGCCAAUUGAGGAGGAAAUCUAGAUGAGCGUAAAUCAAUUUAUGGAUAUGCGUUCUUGCUUAAUGAAUGUGCAAUUUAUUGGAAUAGUAAGAAACAAACAUGCAUGGGUUUAUCUAUGAUGAAGACAGAAUUUUUUGCGUGCUCUGCAGCAGUGCAAGAAGUAGUAUAGCUAAAAUGUUUCUAAGAAAAUUCAGUCAUUGUCACUGAGGUUCUAAGACUAAUUACAGUUUAUUAUGAUAGUCAAGCAGCUAUUGCCUAUGCGAAAAAUCCCAAGUAUCAUGAUAGGACAAUAAGCACAUUGAUAUAUAUAAAAAAAAUCAUUAGAGAUAUAAUAGCACAUAAGGAAGUGAUGCUUCAAUACAUUUUAACUAAUAGAAUGGUUACUGAUCCAUUUACAAAGGAUAUUCCUAGAGAUGUGUUCUUAACCCACAGGAUAUCUCUAGGGUUACAUAGAAUGUGAUAUGUAUUAUUGUAGAUGAUAAUUUGUUUAUGUAUAUAUGCAUUAUACUCAUUUGUCUUUAGUGAUUUGAUGUUUUAUCAAUAAGUACAAAUCCAUAAUAAGACUAGCACGGACACACAUAUAUUGUUGAAAAAUAUAUCAGCAAGUAAUGAUUAACUCACUCACACGAGAAAUCACUUUCGGUGCUAUAGUUAGCACAUUGAGAUGAGACAUUAUGUACAUAUAAAUACUAAAAGAGUAAAUUUAGUACAUAAAAUAACACAUCGCCUUGAUUGGAGUCAAGAUGAGGUCUGCGAUUUGUAUGUAAUAAGGCCGAACAUGAUAAUCCUACAAUCAUGUAUGCCUGUAAGAUGCCGGAUGCAAGUACUUAAUUAGGCGUUAUAAAAAGAGAGCUAAUAUAACACUUGAGCUAAACAUGAGUAUGUGAGAAGUACAUGACUAUAUUAAGGUUAAACUCUUAUAAUGAAUGUAUUUAAUAAAUGACAUAUGCUCUUAUAGCUAGAGAAAUCCACUAUAGUAUAUUAUUCAUGCUACAUGUGUAUUGUAUGACCAACAAGGGAAGGUGAGUGAAAUUACCCCUAUUUACUCAUCAUAUGAUCCCUUGAGAUAAUUUAUAAUUUACUUUAUUUUGUGGCAUAUGUUAUUUAUGACUAUAUUCUCGAAGUGAAAGAUAAAUGUUACUACUUUAGUAUGUUAUUGGCCGUCAUGAAUAGAUAUAGAUUUAUGGGACGUGUCUGAGAAAACAUUUGUUUUGAAAUGGAGAAAAACAUGAGUGCGAAUGAAGAUUAUCGUUGUUUUACGAUCGAUCGAUCAAUUAUAUCGUCUUUUGUGGUCUUAGAUAUAAUUGUAAAUAUAUGAUGUUAUGAUAAUAGUCAAGUAUAACCUUUAAGGGAUAGGUAUGUUUGGACUAAUAUAGCAAAAUAUGUCUGGGGUACUAUGAGAUAUCAAUUGUUUAUUUCUUUUUAGGGUUAUAGCCAUUAUGUCAUCCCUAACAAGUGCUUCCACAUGUAGGUAUACUCACUAGUCGUACGGCUUUCUUGCCAAUAUGAAUUGUUUCUAAAGUAAAUGAACAUUGAAUGUCUUAUAUUCUUGAUAUGUCUGAGUGGGAGAUGUUAUAAUUUAUUAGUACGUCCACAAUAGGGUGCGAUUAAGAUGCACUCGUUCAUCUUAAUAUAUUAUGAUGAAGAGAUACUCGUUUGAAAGGAUAUGAAGGAAGUCAUAUAAAUAACUUAUGAAGAUAAUUGUUAGUGUGGUUGACAGAAAGAACAUUUUGAAAGAAAGUUUUCUCUCUUCUUUUUCUCUCUCCAUCAAAGAAUGAAAGGCAUUUCAUUACCGCUUUAAGAAGAUAAUCGACAUUAACACUAUGAAAAUUGAAUGUUUUCCUUGUAAUUGCAUUCGGAGCAUCAUGAAGUCUUAUUAUAUGUCGUUCGCUCGUGAUUCAACGUUUGUUCCACGGUAAAUUGUUCAUUGCGCAUUGAAAAUGUUAGUCAUUUCUUCCGCUGACUUUCUUCCUACAUACUCCAUGAGCAUGUGUCCUACGAUUGACCACAAAAGCAAGUGAUGGAUGGUGGUUAGAACAAAACACAAAUUGAAAUCGCGAGUGCACACUUUUAGAGCCCCGAUUAAAUAACCUUAUAUUCAAGCUCCAUCCAUAACUAGAUACAUACCGAUUUUUCUUGUGAGCAUAUUUGCCUAGUAUCCAUCGACAUAGUUAAUAACGUAAUCCUACAAAUAAAUCUUUGGGCUAUUUCUUUAGAUGUAUCAUCUAUUUUGUGAGCUCCAACAAGGUAUCUCAUGCGAUGCAUGUGAAUGCAAUGAUUUAUGUAAAUUUGUGAGUUCUAGUCAAGCUAAGAUAGAAUAGGUUAAAUGCUAUCCAAUAUAGGAUGUAAAUAGAAGAAACAAGCAUUCAACGAAUAAGCAAAGGAAUCAAGUAUCUUCUUGAUUAAGUUGUCUAGAAUUGUUGUGGUUAAUGAAAGAUAACUACAGAGAAAUAGACGGCCCCUUAAAUGAGAGUACUGGACGAAAAAGGAUAGGAGCAACAUCAGUGACGUACACAUGAAUAUUGAGGGACAAUUGAAACAUGGCUAGACCCUCAAUAAUUCCAAAAAUGAAAACUCAGGAUUAUCAAUGAUUUGUGGGAGAGAGCGAUGAAUUUGUGUAUGCUCAAAUUGUACAGUUAUGUGCAACUGUUGCUCAAAUAGUAAAAAGGACACGUUAGCCAAAGAAAAAAGGACAAAUGCAAACUAAAGAAAUACUUUGAAUUACUUAAACAGAUCAAAUUGCAUAUCUAGCCCUCAGCAAAAUAUAAAAUUGCAUUGUUUCCUUUCUAUAAACAAAUAGUUAGAAGCUUUUAAGAUUGUUUAUGCAUUGGUACCAUGGAAGAAAGCUUGAGAUACUAAUCAUAGAAGAAAACCUAUUGGGUACAACUGCUAUAAAUAGUCAGGUAUUGAGCCUAUCAAGGUACAAAGUUGGGUUGAGAGAAAAAUUAAGGUAUAUCACAUUAUGGAUACUAAUAAUGCUACUAUUGUCCCUCUUGAUGUUCAAUGUUGUCAAAGGUGCCCCGAACAAUGGCAUAGUUCAUUGGGCUUCCAAUACUGGUUCCCAUUGAAGUGGUGAUCCUUAUUAGGGGUGAGCAUGAUUCCCAGGUAGAACCGGGAACCGGAGAACCGCACCGGAGGGUCCGGUUCGGUUCCCGGUUCCAAAGAGACAAGUUCUGGUUCCCGGUUCCCCUUUUCUGGGAACCGGCGUUCUCGGUUCCGGUUCCUAUGGAAACCGGAACCGAAACCGGAACCGGAACCGGUCAUAUAAUUCAAAAAAAAAAAAAAAACCCUAACUUCCCCCCACAGAUUUCCCCCCUCUGCGGAUUCUUCCCCCCUUCCCCUUUCUUUUUCUCUCUCUUUCUUUUCUCCCCUUUUCCCUCCUCACGUCACUUCUUGCCCCCCAACUUUUUUUAUUUUCUUCUCUCUCCCUCUCUUCUCUUUCCGGUUCCGGUUCCAAAUCGCCUAGGGUUUCCUGGAUUGCUCUCUCUCUCUCUCUCUAGAAUCCUCCGUUUCUUUCUCAACGAGCGCCUCCUCCCGACGCCGUCUCCGAUCUCCUGCUUUCCGGGACCUGAUCCGCGCGACGCCCUUUGUUCUGCGGCCACUCCGAUUCGGAGCUUCGAUCGAGCGCUCGUCGCCGUCGAUUAGUUCCCGCUCUUCUUCUUCUGAUCUCUUUCUUGUUUUUUGUGGCUUGAGAGAGCGAGAGAGAGAGAGGGAAGGGGGAAAUGGUGAGGGGGAAGACGCAGAUGAAGAGGAUAGAGAACGACACGAGCAGGCAGGUGACGUUCUCGAAGCGCAGGAACGGGCUGCUGAAGAAGGCGUUCGAGCUCUCCGUCCUCUGCGACGCCGAGGUUGCACUCAUCAUCUUCUCCCCGAGGGGCAAGCUCUACGAGUUCUCGAGCUCGACGAGACGGUAGGUUUUCCUCCGCAUUUUUGCUCGUCUUUGCUCGCGACCCACCACCUCUGCUCAGCGCCAGAAGCCCCGACGCCCCUGCUACUGGGUCCUCUCUGCUCCACCGCCGCUGCAACCAGACGCCAGAAGCCACCAUUCCUGCUGCGACGCUGCUGCUGCUGUCUCCGCCUCUGCUCCGACAACCCGACGCCAGCAAUCGCGACGCCUGAUGCCGUUGCCCCGAAGACCAGCAACCGACGUCCCUGCUCGGCGCUAGAAGCCCCGACGCCCCUACUGCUGGGUCCUCCUCUGCUCCUCGACGCCCCUGCAAGUGCAUGCUGCUUUAUUCUUGGUUGUGAAUGCUGGUAGAGCUAAGUUGCAGUGUCUGACUUCCUCAUUAUUGUGAAUUAUUUAAUACUUUUGAGGCUUUAUUCCCCUUGUUUUCUCUUGACUAAGUGUGUAUCUCCAAGUGUGCCCUCUCUCCUUGUUCUAACCCUCUUUGUGUUAGUUUCCACAUUUGAGUUGACCCUCCGCGGAUGAUUUCUGACUUUUAAUAUGGUUGCACUUAUGCCUUGCUUCUCAUGCAAAACUCUGUUUCUGCGAUGAUAAUAUAUUAAAGGUCUUACUAUGGCAAGUCUGUUGGUGCCAUGCCAUUUUCAGGAGCGAAAUUGGGUAUGAUGGAUGGAGGCUCGAUUUUGUUAGAGGCUUUUGGGGCGUCUAUGUCAAAGACUACUUGGAUGCUAGUGAACCUUACUUUGCUGUUGGUGAGUACUGGGAUUCCCUCAGCUAUACAUAUGGAGAAAUGGAUCACAAUCAAGAUGCACACAGGCAGAGAAUUAUCGACUGGAUAAACGCCACAAAUGGCAUAGCUGGAGCAUUUGAUGUCACCACAAAAGGAAUUUUUCAUGCCGUAAGCACUAUCACUGAUAGAUAGGCACUUUUUUAGAUGUUCUGGAAGCAUAGACACUCUGAUUAAGUGCACUGACUCUAGAUAGAGGAAAUUCAUUCGGUGUUUUGUUUUUCUUUUUGGAUGAGUAUGCAUACCAUGUCAAUUAAUUUGUUCAUGUUAUGCUUAAAUUAGAGAUGUACAACUAUUACACUGCUGGACCCGCUGUUAUUCAAGUAGUUAUGCUCUUGGAUGUUGCCGGUGAAGGAGAACUGUAGACUAAAACUCAGGCUCUAACCCUUGAAUUAUGUACUGAUCUGCACUUGAUGAAUCUCACUAAUUAGGUUGCUGAAGGACAGGCUUUUAUAGAUUACUUGUAUGAGCAUUAACUGUACCGCUGAUUAUCUUCAGAAGCAAAAGCUCUUGAUUCCUGAUUCUCUCUUUGUGCUUUCUAACCGAAUUAAAGGAUUUAACUUGGCAGAAAGUGCCAUUACCUCAACCAACAAAUUUAUAGAAUCUGUAGAGUUUGUUACCCUUCUUCAAGUUUCAAUUAUGCGUGCCUGAUGUUUCAAUAGUCAUCCAUUAGCCAACAUCUGGCAUUAUUGAUAACUGUAAUUUUUAAUUUUGUUAACAGGUUAAGCGUAGCAAAACUUCUUCAUGGACUUACAAAAAAGAUUUCUAUGUUUUGAUAAAAACAUAUGGUUUGAGAAGAAAGAUAGGUGACAACCAGCAUCUCAACAGUGCUGAAGAUUCCGAUAAUAUGCGCGUACGUUAUAAUUCAACUCUGAAAAUGAACUAAAAAAAAAAAAAAAAAACCUGUUGGAACCUGGAACCGACCCUGGAACCUGUGACCGGGUAGGUUCCAGGUUCUUGGUUCUUACGGGUAGGUUCCAAGUUCCAUAUUUUUUGGAACCUGUACCCGAGGGUAGGUUCUAGGUUCCAGACGGAACCGAACCGGAACCUGGAACCGCUCACCCCUAAUCCUUAUGCAAACAGUGUGGCGAGGACACGACGACCGUUAUGUCAAAUCACAUGGACUACAACUACUCCACUGCAUCUCCUUAUCCCGCAGCAACUGCCUAUGGUCACGCUUUAGCCAAGCACUUUCUUAUAGCGACUGUGGCUGUUAAAUCCUAAAUACUGGCAAUUGUCCAAAUAGUUAGGGUGCUCAAGUCGAGCUUGAAGAUUGUAGAAUGAGGUACGAAAACUACUGGUUAAGUAAUUUGGCUCCAAACAUAGAGAACCUUGUUUGAAUGGUAACGGCACUGGGAUGUGCGUUGCUCAAGUGUGUUGAAGAAUAAAUGCUCUAGCCAUGUAUCCUAAUUUAUAGUUUGCGUGGUUGUUUCUGCCGUUCAUGUUGUCAUGUUUAUUGUGGGAAAAAAUAUGAUGUGUCUCCUAUACUUUUUUUGUUAGUUUAAAGUUCUCAAAUUGCCUUUUUAUGACCGAGAAAACCUAAGAAAGCAGCUAAAAGCUAAUGACUCGUAUGAAAAAUCAAAUUUGCAUUGUCUAAGUUGCACGUCAUUGGGUUUGUUCCUAUGAUACUUAAGCGAGUCUUCAAGAGACGGCAGUAUGCAAAUAAGAGGACGUGCAGGAUAGUGCAAAACCAAAAGCCGGAAUCAAUAGAAGGAAACGCUGCAUAAAGGCUAAAAGAAAUGGUAACGAUUUUGCUAAAGCCGCUUGUGAACUUGACAUAUACGUUGAACUCGAAGUACAACUCCCUGUUGAAAUUCCAAAAGAAAUCACAAUGACUUUGUCCCUAGUAUUUGCAUACGGAUCACUACUUGAAAAUCAUUAAGGAGGUCGAGAACAUAUUUACAGCAUACAAGACAGAUGCCACGUGAGGAUUCAGUCUUUUCGUUGCCAAGAAAAUAUUUCCAAGAAGCCAAAUCAGCAAAACAGAAACUAUGUCAAAUCAAUUACUGGUCAUACCACAUAAGUGUCAUCGGCAUAAACCAAAAUAAGUACAGAGGAUGAGCUAAUGCAUGAAAAAGAAAAUGGACUUAUCAGCAUAAGAUUGAACCAAACCAGCAUCUACUAAUGCAGCAGGAGGUACUUAAGAAACCAAUUUUCUCUGAAGAUUUUACUUUCAUCGUAAAAGUGGCCUUGCUUCAGUUGAUAAGCCAAUGAACCUGCGUUGUCAAAUCAGGAAACAGGCAAAAGAGACAGCCAAGGAGUUGAUCCUCUUGAGAUAUAUACACAACUUCAAUUUGAACCUUUUGCUUGACAAGUAAUUUUUUCUGAGUUCAAUUGAUCAUGUCUGCCGUGGUAUCCACGCGUGAACUUAGCUCAAAGACUCAUCUCUGAAACGCUUGCAUGCUACUAUGACUGGGUCAGCAAACAAAGAGUAGAGGGCAUGCCGAGAGGCAGAUUGUCCAGGGAAAUCCUACUGUUGUAAGUGAGACACUUAAAAACAAACAGAAAAAUGUGCUCCCGAGUCAGUAAUUAAGACAAGACAAAUUUGGCAAGGAAUGUACCUCUAUUGAUCGGGAAAGUAAUUCAAUUGAUGCAGUGGAAAAGAUGAUGGAAUUUACAUCAUCUGGGCCUGACUGCGAUGAAGUUAAUUGUUGCUCGCUCAAGGUGGCUAGCAUUGUUUGUCAACGGUGUUCAUGUUCACCCAUCAUCAGAUGCUUUUCGGAAAAUCCCUCGCAGUGCAAGGGGGAAGAUGCUUCAAGUAGCUUUCAUACACUUGUAACCACGUUCCUUAGUCAGCAAGUCAUCCCUCAAACUUCGCUGUUAUUUGCAUGUAAGAAGAAGAGCAAAUAAACCAAAUAUAUAAUCGACCUGUGGUGAUAAUCUGAUACACAGCUUGACCCAAAUAUACUCCACUGCCGAUUCAAACACCAUCCACUUCAAGGUAUGCCUCUUCUUUGAAAUAUCUAUGGUAAAUAGGACAUUGAAAGGAUCAGAUUGUGAAAAAAGAAAGUGUAUAACAGAAAACUAGGAUCUCUCUCUCAAAGCACAUACAACAUAGGCUAAUCAGGAUUUAUGGCAUAAUAUACUUCAUUACAUAGUAAAGUUAUCGCUAUUAACAUCUAUUUAAUACAAUAUCAUCCUCAGACUGCUUGAUCAUUUGUAUGAAUUUCCCCUGUUUGAAAAACAUUAGGCACCAAAAGCACUAACAGAUGAGUACACAUAAUAGUUCAAUACAGAGAUUUCGUACCGAACCUAGAUAUAUGAGGAUAAAAAUCCACCUUAUACCCCUCCAAAUAUUUGCCAUCUUGGGCAGUUUGAUUCAGUGAAUUGUCUCUCAGAUUUGAAAAAACUUCAUCAAUGGGACAUGGGACACAAUGAGAAGAUGUUUGGAAGAAAACUUGGCAUUAAUCUGAUUUACUCUUCAUCACAUUUCAGAUGAAAACUAGGACAGAACUCAGAGACAAUGGAUAGUUCUCCUAGUAUAGGAAGAAGUUCCAUUUAUCAUGAGAUAUUUGAUCCACAACUCCAUUGUCGCUACAUCUGCAGAAUAACCCCUUUCAACCAUUUCAUUGACAAGUUGUGCUGCUCUAGUAUUUUCGUUAUUUCUUAGUAGUCCUUGGAUCAUUGUGUUGUAAGUGACACCAUCUGGAAAGCAUCCAUUUUCUUCCAUCUCCUUUAGAAGCAGAUAUGCUUCCUCCGUACGUCCUCCUUUGCACAACUCAUGCAUGAGAAUGUUAUAUGUCCACACGUUAGGUUGCAAGCCUUGAGCAUGCAAACUAUCAAACAGCCCCUUUGCACCAUCGAGUUUUCCAGCAUUACACAUGCCAUUUAUUAUCUUCCGAAGCAAUGUCAUGGCCUUGUCAAUCUGUCGCGUUUUACACAAGCCAUCCAGGAAAGAAUUCAAGGUAUAAUGAUUUAGAUACAGAUCACGAGAUUGCAUCUCGUUAAUUAGCUCCCCCGCGGCUUCAAGGUUCCCAACCUGGCAAUAUCCACUUAUGAGAGUGUUGUAUGUGAUGACAUCAGGAUUCAAGCCCCUUUCAAGCAUUUCUUGGAACAGUAUUUUUGAUUUGUCAAUUCUUUUCGCUUUGCAGUAUCCGUUAAUCAAUGUGUUAUAAGAAACGACAUUAGGUAAGCAGCCUCUUUCAACCAUCAAAUUAAGAACCGCCAUAGCAUCAUCCAUCCUAUUUUGCAAACAAUAACCAUUCAUCAAUGUACUAUAAGUGAAACUAUCAGGCAUUUUACCUAAUUGAAUCAUCUGGUUGAUUAUGGCCUCUGCUUCUACAAGCAUUCCCUCUUUACAAUGUGCAUCCACCAGAAUAUUGAAGGUUUGAACAUCCGGCAUGACUCUGCUUUGCACCAUAUGACUCAGCAGUCUUUGGGCCUCUUUCAAUUGGCCGGAAUUGCACACUCCUUGAAUGACAGAGUUAUAAGUAACGACAUCUGGUUCAAUUCCUGCCUCCAUCAUCUUCUCCAACAAGACCAUAGCAUCUUUCCAUUGGCCUAGCUUGCACAAGUAAUGAACCAAGGAGGUAUAAGUGAAUAUGUUGGGUUGGAAGCCUCCGCUUGUCAUCUCUUUCAACAAUAUGAGAGCAUCUUCCAUCUGGCCUACAUUGCACAGACCGUGGAUCAAGGAGUUAUAAGUAACAACAUCUGGUUUGAUACCUUUCUCGCUCAUGCUUUUGUGGAGUCUCAAGGCCUCUGUGAUCAAUCCCUCCUUGCAAAGACCAUUUAUUACUAUGUUGUAUGUGAAGGAAUUGAUGCUGCAGCUUCUCUCUUCCCAGUUCCUCAGCAAUUCGAUGGCCAAUCUGGUGUUACCCGCCCUGCAUAACCCCUUGGUGAUUAUCGCAUACGUGGUCUCACUAGGUUCGGGGCCAUUUCGUCCCAUAUCAUCGAGGAACCUCAGUGCUUGAUCAGUUUUGCCCUGAAUAAAGAGACCAUCAAUCAGGGUGUUCCACGUCACCACAUCGAUGUGAAACCCAAGCUUGAAGAUUCUGCCCAGAAUAGACAAGCCCAUAUCGACCCGCUUUAACCGGCAGAAGCAAUUUAUCCAAAUAUUGAGCAAGGCAACAUCACCCUCGAUCCCCAAAGAAGGCAGCUGCUCAAUCAAUCGGAUGGCAGUCGAGUAGUGCUUCAUCCUCACUAUAGCGCCCAACAGUAGACUGAAAUCCCAGGGGGAAGGCAAAGGGCUCGCCUUUAUCAUUUUACCGAAGCAACACAGGGCAUCACCGACACUCGUAAACACACCACCACCACCACCAGCUCUGCGAUUUGUCCUCACGCAACACAAGACCUGGUUGGGGUCGUCUAAAUUAGGGUUAGGGGUCGAGGAAAACCUCCGACGACGGUGAGACGAGAAAGGGAGAUGGAGGAUGGAAUGGGAUGUGGACUCGCUGGAGAUCGCAGCUGGAGCACCAAGAAGGAGGAAGAUGGAAGAAGCAGGGCAGAUAUUCGUUGGCUUCAUCGGUUGAUGACGAAUCUGAAAACUGAAAAGCUUCAGCUCAUGGCGCUCUCUCUAUCUCUCUCCCCGUCUCACUAUCAAGCUUUUAUACUCAGGCUCGGCUCUACCGUUUGUUGGUUAUAAUUAGGGGUGAGCAGCGGUCCAAGGUCAACCCUGGACCGACCUGAACUGGCCCGACCCUACUCGUCCUAGUUCGGUUCCCCGGGGACUGGGUUGGUCUUUGGUACUGAAAUUUCAAGAUCAACACUAUACGGGUUGGUUUUUGGUCCUAAGAGUUUUUGGUCGGUCUAAUCUUGGACCAACCAUAUAUAUUAUAUCAUAUUAUAUUAUUUAUAAUUCUUUUAUAUAUUCAAACCUAAAUAAAAUAUUUGUUAUAUUAUAUUAUAUUAUAUUAUAUUGAAAUGUUCUAUCCAUAAUUAAAAGUUCAAGUGAAUUAACAAGAUGUGAAGUUAUAUAUUUAUGGUUUAUAUUAAGUAUUUUGAACUUUUUAUGGUUCAAUUGUAUUUUACUACUGAAUUUCAGCUGUACUUUUCUUUUCAAUUUGUGUCAAAUGGUAGAAGUUUUUGAAGAGUAGAAUAGUACUACAGUUGCUACAGUGAUUUGCUAGUCAAGUGGUGUAAGCUCAUUUUUGGUUGAAUGGACUCUACAUGAUCAAAUGCAGGAAACGCUUUUGAAUAUAGUGUUAUGAAUAUUAAAGAUAGAUGAUUACAAGAACUUUCUAUAUUAUCUCAUAUCUCGAUGAGCGGUUAGCAUGUACAAAAUUUCUAUUAUUGUGUCAUCUUAAAUUUGCUAAAUAUGUAUUUGUAUUUAUAAUUUAGUUACACAAUACCGCAUUGUCGAUGGAUGUGUAAUUUGAAUUUGUAGGUUUGCUUUUUUAGGGAGUAUAAAAAAUAAGACGAAAAAAAUUAUCAAUCAGUCCUGGGUUGACCCUGGAACCGGACCAAACCCAUUGGGUCGGUCCGGUCCUUGGUCCCAGACUCAAUAGGGUCGGUCCUUGGUCCUAAAAAUUGAGGACCAACACUGUACGGGUUGGUCCUAAGAUUAAGGGGUGGCCAAGACCACCCGGACCAUGCUCACCCCUAGUUAUAAUAUCGAACGGAAAGAUGUAAGAUCUGGAUAGGGCAUGAUUUCAAAUGAUCUCGCAUCAUUAUUUACUGACGAUACAAAUUUUCUUUUAUCCAUUUUUUAAAUAAGUAAUACAAUUAAUCAUUUUCACCACAAAAUCAUAUUUGCAUUUUUCGUUCCUAGUGGCUCGUGUGCAUAGCUUUACUUCUCUUGCAAAUAGUUAAGACUUGCUGGAUCAUUAGACAUACUCAUAAAUAGUGUGAUAACUUAAUGAUAAGUAUCUAACAAUAUAUUUCAAUCGACUUAACUUGUAACUACGAUUGUGUAUGUUUGUACGGAUGAAUAGAUUAUAGCAUGUAACACGGAAUUUAACUCAUUCUAUGUCCCGAUCCAACAAUUGAAGUUUGAUUUGACAAAUAUUUCUGACUCAGUCAUUCCUAAUUCCACUACAAGGCCUUCAGCAUUCUGCUUCAUAAACCGCAAUCCUUCUUAGAAAUAUAGUUGUUCAAGGAUUUAAACAAAAACACCGGAGAAGAUGAGAGAGAGAGAGAGAGAGAGUAGUGACAGGCUAUGCCGUUAAAAUUUGAAAUUGAAACACGAAAUUUAUCCUAGGAGUACGUUUAACAAAUAACUCCACUAUAAUUAGCACAUUGCAUCUCUAUGUUACAACUCUCAAUUACAAGAAAAAGAAAUCAUAUAUGCCUAGUAACUAUUCAUGGACUUGAACCAAAAUUAUUAAUAAAAUAUGAGCUCAAACUAUAAAAACCUCAAAACUCCUCUAUGCCUUCCUAUUAAUUGGGAGUAUGAAUCACAUCCCCUACAUAUCAUAUAGUACGGAAAUUGUUGUUAGAGAGGCAAAGUGGCAAAAAAUAGGGAUGGAUUUGAGUGGGUCACAGAGUGAGAAAGAAGCAAUGGUGGGUGGCAACGAAUACUCCGGUGGUAGAUGACGACACUCGGGCUAGUCAUUGGUGACUACGAUUGGCGAGAGAGGCAAACAAGAACUAGAGGUCGAGAGGGGCAUCAAGCGUGAGUGAAUUAAUGGCAACGGGCUUUACCCAAAUGAAAACCAAAAUGAGUUUACUUUCAUUAUGAAACUCCAAUUAGUACUGCCUCAAACAUUUUUCCCAAAAGUCUUUUGAAAAAAAAAAACUAAAUUAAUACCUCAUGAUAUAUUUAUUCAAACUAAUUUCAUCUCAUAGAAUAUCCUAAUUGAUACCUCUCACACAAAUCUAUCCUCCGUUAAAAUGCAUACAUGUCAACAUACAUGAAUUUUCCACAUCGGAUCAAUCAUUUUUUACCUCUCAUUCAUCAUGUGUUGACAAAUAUGCAUUACAAGUAGAUUCUGGUUUUAUUUUUUGUGAGACGAAAUUAAUUUGCGACCAACGUGCCAUGCAUUUACUAAUUUGAGAUUUUUUUUUGUAAGGUUAGUAAUAUAUUGACUUUUAACCAAAAAUUAUACAACAGGGGGUUCUUGGCACCAAAAAACUUACUCACUUUGGAAUUUAUCGUGAUAUUAAUCCUUCAAAAUAUUAAAUGCUAUCAUCUGCUAGUGAAAUUUACUACCAUGAACAACAGUCUAAAAAUACUAAAGUUGAAUGGGAAAUAACUUUUGUACCUUCAAUCACUUCAAACAUAUUCAUGUUCACAUAUGCAUCCUCUCUGAAGUAAAUAUGGGUAGGUAGGACAUUGGAGGGAUCAGGGAUCAGGCUGUGUUAGGAAGAGAGCAAAAAGGAAAACCAAUAUCUCUCCCUCAAAGCACAUACACAAUAGAUUAAUCGGGAUUUAUGACCUCAACAUUAAUUAAAAAAAAGGAUUUUUGUGCUUAGCAAACUAAAGUAUUAACAUCUUUUUAAUUUAAGAGCAUCCUCACGCUGCUUGAUUGUUUAUAUGAAGCAUAAACCGACGGGUACAUGUACCAUGUAUGAAUAGAGAUUUCUUGCAUAACUUAGCUCAAGGCUGGUAGGGACCAGCCUUGGGCUUUCAGAAUUCUACCAAAUGUUGAAAACAUUUUUUUUCCUAAACUAUCCUCAUUAAUUUUUUGUAUUUCUGUUAUUGCCCCUAUAUUUAUUUAUUUUUUUAAAUGAAGAAGGAGCAGCCCUUUGCCGAACCAACGAAGGGCGACGGCCGCCAGCGCCAGAUCCGGCUCGCCAGCGGCCACAGCCCUUCGCCGGCUGGCGAAGGGUUUAGCUGAAUUUUCAAAGAAAAGAAAAAUAUAUAUAUAUUACCCAAAGCCCCUUGGAAAGUUCUUUUUACCAAAUACACAUUCAACUCAAAGUUCAUUUGCAAAAUUUUUUUACCAAACACAAUUGCAUUUUUCCCAAGUAGCUUUGGGCUUUCAGCAUUUGCAUUGAACUCAAAGCCCAUUGCAAAUGCUGAACCAAACGCAGUCUUAGAUACACGAGAAACAAAACCCUCCAAAAAUCCUCAUAAUAAAGCAAUAGAAGGUCACCCAGACUUAAAACAACUCCGUUAAUGGGACAUGGGACUCAAUGAGAUGAUUUGUGGAAUAAAACUUGCCCUCAAUCUAGUUUACUCUUCAUCACUUUUCAGAUGGAAAGAGUGGACAGACCUCAGAAAAAAUGGAUAGCUCAACCAGAAAAGGAAGAAGUUCCGUUUGUCACCAGAUGUUUAACCAACAACUCCAUUGUUGCCAUACUUGCUGAAAAACCCCUUUCAACCAUUUCACCGACAGCUUAUGCUGCUUUCAUGUCUUCCUUAUUUCUUAGUAGUCCUUGGAUUAUGAUGUUAAGAGAGACACCAUCUGGAAAGCAUCCAAUACUCUCCAUCUCCUUCAGCAGCUGAUACGCCUCCUCCGCACAUCCUCCUUCGCACAAUCUACACAUGACAAAGCUAUACAUCCACACGUCAGGUUCCAGCCUCAAGCAUGCAAACAAUUAAACAGCCCCAUAGCAUCGUCAAGCUUCCCGGAGUUACACAUGCCUUAUAUUAGAAUAGUGUAUGACACAAUAUCCGGUGUGAAUUUGGAGUCUUUCAUCUUUCGAAGCAAUAUCAGCCCAGCAUACUCGGUCAAUGGGUCGAGCAAGCAUCUUCACCAAUAGUCAUUGCAUGGGCAUGUUCCAUCCAUAAAAUGGUGGAACCUGUUUGCAUCCCUUACGACUAUAGGUCUUCCAGUUGCCAUGGAGAUAUAUUUGAUCGCAGAAUGACAAUCUCCACAAAUGCGAAGAUUCUUAAAUACCCUAAUAGAUUUCGGACUGGAGGUGCUUAUAAGGCCAAAAACGACAGCAAUUUUCUCACUGUGUUGGAGCAAAUAUUGUUCCUUUUGUCCCUCCUCCACAUCAUGAAGAACAAAUUGAGUACUCGGAAAAUAACCCAGUUUCUUUAUUCUACUAGCCAAUCGGUCUAGUUCCUCAUAGAUCUCCCAUGCCUUCGGAUGUGAAGCAUCGCCUGUUGGAAAAAGUUUAGAAUACAUAAAAAAAAAAAAAUUUAUUGAAAAUACAUUACGAAGGAUUAGAAAAUAGAAAAACAAAUGUAUGAGGCGUGCAAGUACUGUCCUUAAGGAUAAUUCCGCCCCUCGGAGUACGAAACUUGGUGCGUAAUGCUUCAGUGGCUAUCGUCCCAAGAUACAACAGACAUUCAUCUAUACUCCGCACUGAAUAUUAGAAGGAAACAUAACAACUUUUAUGUAUAACCCAGCUGAAAGGAAAUGAAAGAUAUAUGAGAAUAUAUUGUGUCUUUAUGAGAUCUUAUUUUUAUAUUUAGACAAAAUAGAGCCGUUAAAAGAGCCGUUGUAAAAUAAUGGAUGAUUUAUUUGAGAAAUAAAUUAAACGUUACAAAACGAUUUAAAAAGCCAUUAUAUGACCAUUAAGAAACCGUUAUGUGACCGUUAAAAAUAAUGAUGAUUUUCAAUGCGAUCAUAACUUUUAUCGAAGCUAUUAUUGUAAAUAUUUCAAAACUGCUGAAAUAUCCAACAAUCCCCCACAUAUUUCAGAAAGUUUUGACAAGAAAAUAAAAUAAUGCUGGGUUAUUGGAGAGUAAUGUAUCGGAAUUGGUGCUUGUUAGGUUAUGAACCAACCCUAGAAAGAAUGAAAUAUAAUUAAUGAAAUCAUUAGUGAAGUUUGAAACUUCUAUGAACUAAAAAUUUCUUUUGUGAAUUAUAAUUUUCAUCAAUCACAUUAUACUCCCACAAACUUUGUUGUUCAACGCGGUUUUGCGCUAAUAGGCCAUGCGCAUGCUUGGUUUAUUCAUAAGUGCUUCAGAGAUUUUCGCCAAAAAAUCUCAUAAGAGCGGCCCCACUCCACACUUAUAUAGGUGAUUCCAUCAAGUGUAUUAUGCAGUUUAAUACACCAUCAAUAAUGGCUAUGGAAUUUCAUUAAGAACUUAGCUCAACCUCUUUUUCCUUGUAAUUUUGCACUAUUUUCACUUUAGAAUGGACAAUAAAUUUUAAUAGUGCACUAAAUCAAUAAAUGACUUGUUAUUACCAAUAUGAACCUAAUUCAUGGGAUCGCCAAUCACAUAAGUUAGGUUACCAUCACUGUUGAUUUUCUUCAAUUGGCUUGUCCCAUUCCCUUCGAUGUAUAGUCAAAUGAUUGGCCAAAUCAUUUCUGACUUAAUAUAAUCGAUUGAUAUAAAUCCCUUUUAUAAGGAAUUAUUUUAUCACAUCACGUUUCAACCAAACGUCUCUUUUUGCCAUUGAAAGUUUCAUUCUUUGCAAUAGCUAUUGCCUUUUGGCAAUCAUAAUGUCUAGACAUAAGUGUUAUUUCAUUUCCAUAGGAACAUACAGUAAGAAAUUUCUCAACUACUCAGCCUCAAUUUUAAUGAGUUUGAGAAAUUUUUCUUCUUCCCAAGAACUUGAGUAGUUCUUCAAUCAUCAAGAUAAAUAUUUUCUUCUCCUUCCUUACUAGAGGUUAGGAGGAUAAAGCAUUAUGUUUUUAACAUAUAUGCUUGGUAGUACCUAAGUCUGUCUCAAAUUCUUUUGCAUUUGCCAAAAUAUUGGCUUGGAAAAUGACUACAACAAUUACAUCAUUAGAUCAUCUACUUCAACCAAGUCAAAUUUUGGUUGAGCAGGAUUGUCAUUUCCCCCACAAUUUCAUUUGACUGCUUUUUAUGUUGCGACACCUCCACAAGGUGGACACAUAUUCAUUUGUGGAUUUUGUCUCAUAUGAAUCCGAGAUCCACUUAACAUCACUGUAUUAUUCUAAUACAGUGAAAAAUCCACUAUGUAAAAAUGUCAUAGUUUUAUAUUCACAUGGCCGCAAAAUCCAUAAAAAUUCUAUUGUUGUGAAAAUUGAUCUCACCUGAGAUGUUCAUUGGUUGUCGUGGAGUCUUUGACUUCUGUCUCUUCACGCUGAUCUCUACUCAAAUCAGCCAGACAUACAAGUUCGUUGAUGAUGGCAUAUUCAUUCAAAGAAAAUUUUGCACUAGGAGCUGCUCUUAUUCUAAUAAAAAGAAGCUUGAAGAAGUGAGUAUUUGUAAGGACAAAUUUGGCCUCCACCAAACCCAAUACCAAGCACUUGUCAACACUAAAUGGUAUAUCAACGAUAGAAAAUUUGUUGCUUUGCUAAAACAUUUAUAAAAGUAGCAUUAUGAAAUCAUCAUAAAUCCCAUUUGCAAGUGUUGAAUCCUCAUCAGCAAUGUUACAUACACAUGUAGGAGCACAAAAACACUAAUUAACGCUCGACUCUAAAUCCUACCACAAAAAGUCCUAUCUUAAGAUCGAUGACAAGAUGAUUACCACUCUUAACGCAAGUGAAACUAUUCACACCAAAAAAAAAAGAAUAAAAUAGUUCACAUUUUAGAAAGGAACAUUAGCUACAAUCCUUGAGAUUGGCUAUGCAUUGAACGUUAUUUACUGUCCUUGACCCACAUAUUAGAUAAUGGAAAGUAAGCAGUACGCAAUGGGUCAAAUGAAGCAAAGGAUAUCUAAAGUUAUUAUAAGAUAUACAAUUACCUUGGUCUUGCGCUACCAUAAGAGUGAUCUUGCGCUACCAUAAGAGUGAUGGCUCUUUAAUACGAAUAUCAUAAAAUCUUCUAUUUCAGUUUAAAUUUUUACCUGCAGCUUCUAGAAGGUAACAAAAUAAGGUGACAAUAAGUUUUUAACAAAUCUUGAAUGUCACUAAUAGUGUCCUGUCUCCUAGAUAAGUUCUCAUCAUGCUCUGUUAAAGAGGCAAUAAAAUGUCACAAAUUAAAAUGAUACAUGAAAAUACCACCACUUUCACUUUACAAGCACUAGACUAAAAAUGAACUGGCUAAAUCUCUUCCACUGGCACUCAGAGUUUAUUCAAAAUCUCAAACUGAGAAAGAAACAACUACCGGCAUGCAUCCAUCAAUGGUGCUCAUCCAAUAUCCCUAAAAUAUAAAGCAGGGCAAAGACAAAAUGCAAAAAUAUAUAUAGCUUGAUUUCGUAUGUUGUACCUCCUCUAUUUUUAAUGAGCAUAAAGAAGGCCAAUAUGAGACUCAUAAUUUUCAGCUUGCAUUAUUAACAAUUGCACCAGAUAGAAAGGUCAAAGCCAAGCAAUAGUCAAAAUAAAACCUACUAAUAUAACAGUUCAAAGUUAAAUCAAAUACACCACCCAAUCACAAUCACUAUUGCUCUCUUCUAAUGGAAGAGCAACUGACGCCUUAAUGAAUUUUCCAAAAAAUUAAACAACAAGAAGAACAUGGUUCUACUAACAACAACAUCAUUGCAGUGGUUCUCAAGCUUGGAGACAUACUUCUUGUCCUAUCAACACAAAAAUUCCUUGAUGGAUACUAGAAGUCAUUAACAUUCAGAUGGUAAGAAUUUGAAACCAUUUUGUAAAGUAAAAUUUACUCACAAAAAUCCAAAGUUUCCAUUUUUUUUCUUUUUCAUUUCUAAAAUAUGAAAUGGGUCACUACAUAAUGGUUAAUAUCAAGCGGUCAACCAAUUAAAACAAUAGGAACAAUCUCUAAUCCUAAAAUUACAACUUCCAAAUCAUGAACAGAAUUAAAAUAGGAAACCCCAAUGCGGAUUGAAGCUUACGAAUAAUCACAAAUUUGAGUGAGCAAAUAAUUACAAGCACCCAACUUCCUCUCGAAACAAAUUUAGGUAUUAAAGCCUCAAAGUACGAUUUUACCUUACAUUCAAUAACCUUACCAAAACGACCAAGAAACCUUUGACGAUGCUCAGUAAUUUCCCACAACAUCUGCCCAUGAAUAUGUGAUACUUGUACUUCACCAUCUCGAUCAGUCUUUCAAUUCCAAUUGCGGUGGUGGCGACAGCAACAACUUCAACUUGGAAAUCCAUAGGACUUAUCCUUAAGAUUGUUGGAACAAGAAGGAUUAGAAAAUAGAAAAACAAAUGUUUGAGGCGUGCAAGCACUGUCCUUAAGGAUAAUUCCGCCCCUCGGAGUACGAAACUCGGUGCAUAAGGCUUCAGCGGCACUGAAUAUUAGAAAGAAACAUAACAAUUUUUAUGUAUAACCCAGCUCAUAGGAAAUGAAAGAUAUAUGAGAAUAUAUUGUGUCUUAUGAGAUCUUAUUUUUAUAUUUAAACAAAAUAGAGCUGUUAAAAGAGCCGUUGUAAAAUAAUGGAGGAUUUAUUUGAGAAAUAAAUUAAAUGUUACAAAACAAUUUAAAAAGCCAUUAUAUGACCGUUAAGAAACCGUUAUGUGACCGUUAAAAAUAAUGAUGGUCUUCAAUACGGUCAUAACUUUUAUCGAAGCUAUUAUUGUAAAUAUUUCAAAACUGCUGAAAUAUCCAACAGUGAAAUAUCCAACAUCACCCACAUAGAACUUGUGAACUGUAUUUUUCACUUCAAUCCAGCUACAACCAGCUUCUUUUGUAAGAUCUUUCAGUUUCAUCUUCUUUCUGAUUGCUGCAGCAUCUUCCCAUAGACCAGCCGAGGCAUAAAUAUUUUAUAGCAAAAUAUAAGUCGCAGUGUCAUCUGGUUCUUGCUCAAAAAUCAUUGCUGCAGCUUGUUUUGCAAGUUCAACAUUGCCAUGAACUCGGCAAGCUCCGAGAAAUGUACGCCAGACAAGUGUAUCAGCCCGGAAAGGCAUUGAAUUUAUAAACUGAAGGGCUUCGACAAGGGAUCCUGAUCUGCCCAAUAAGUCCACCAUACAUGCAUAGUGUUCGGUUCUAGGCACGAUUCCAUGUUCUGUGUACAUUGACCUAAAGUGUUUCCAUCCAUCAGAUAUCAAACCCACAUGACUACAAGAGGAUAAAACAGCAACAUAGGUGAUCUCAUUUGGCCUCACACCAGCAUCAAGCAUUUGAUGGAAUGUGUCUAGAGCUCUCAUCCCAAAUCCAAGCUUUGCAAAACCAGUAAUCAUUGAAGUCCAAGUUAUGACAUUUUUCUCUCUUGUCCCACUGAAAACUCGAAAAGCAGCUUCUAUGUUUCCACACCUGGAAUACAUAGAGAUCAAAGCAUUGGAAAUGCACUGAUUUGAGUCAAGCCCUGAUUUUACCAUCCUCGCAUGGAUUUGCUCCCCCUUACCAAUAGCGCCAACGCAGGCAACUCCACUCAAAAGGCUGGCAAAUGUAAAAGCACUUGUUCCGAUCCCUCUCUCCUCAAUCUCAUGUAGUAGUUCAAAGGCUUCAUCGGACUCCAAACUUUUGGCAUAGGCAUCUACAAGGGUAUUAUAAGAAACCAGAUUCUUUUCAAAUAGUGCAUCAAAAGCUCUCUGAGCGUCUUCCAUGUGGCCCGACCGGGAAUACAUGCUGACAAGAGAAUUACCCACGCAAGUAUCACAGGCAAAGCCCAAUUUUAUAGCUAGUGCAUAUAUUUGUAUCCCCAUAUCUACAUCACAAAUAUUUCCACAUGCCUUGAGAACACCAGCAAAUGCGAAAUCGUUUGGCCUCACGGGACCUUUUGUCAUUUCCCAAAAGAGCUUGAUAGCCUCCUCAUUCUCUUCCGCCCGUGCAUAUCCUGUGAUUAUCGCCGUCCAAGACAUUACAUUGUGAUCUUGCAUCUGAUCAAACACCUUUCUCGAAUCAUGAAGCGAUCCACCAUCUACAGACUUGACAUACAUGUCCAGCAAACUGCAUCCAACACAGACAUCCGAAGCCAAUCCAGACCGUAUAACCCAGGAAUGCAAUUGUACCCCGAGCGAUAGUAACUCCAACUCUGAACAUGCAGACAAAACAGCCGUGAGUGUAAAUCUAUCUGGCACAGGCCCACUCACCAGCAUAUCCAAAAACAAAUCAACAGCUUUCUUUGGACUACCCAACUGAGUACAUCUCGUCAUCAUCAAAGUCCAAGCAACCACAUUCCUCUCGGGCAUUUUCUCAAACACCUUACGAGCUGAAACCAAAUCAGCACUACCCUUUGCAAACAUGUCAAUCAAUGCACACCCAACACACACAUCAGAAUCAAGAUAGCCGCUUUUGAUAAUAAACCCGAAAACCGUAUCGCCAAUAGAUGCACUCUCCGGGACCGAGCAAGCCCGAGCAACCGCCGCGAAACAAUAAUCAUUAGGGAAAAACCCAUCCUCGAGCAUAUGAACGAACGUAUCCACCGCUUCAAACUCCAUGUGAUUAUUGGCAUAGCAGGAGAUCAUGGAACUCCAAGAAACCAUGUCCCUCUUAUCGCCCAUGUCCCCAAAAACCCUCUCCGCCUCAGCCCAGUCGUUGGAUUUCGAGUAGAGACUGAUGAGCGAGUUGAGGAUCACCGAGUCGGGCUCGAGCCCGGACCGGGCGAGCGCGCGGUGGACGCGCCUCCCCAGCGCGAACGCGCGGGAGCGGAUGCAUGACUUGAGGAGGAGCGACAAGGUGAGGACGUCGGGGUGGGACCCGUCGCGGGACGCGAGCUCGAGUCACUAGAUAGCUCCGCGGAGGUCGCCGCCAUCGAGGCGGGCGACGAGGCGGCGGCCGUCGAGGGGCGAGGGGGGAAGGUUUUGGCGGGAAGGAGAGAGCUUGACGGUGGACGGUGGAGGGAAGAGAGAGAAAUUCAUUGCUCCAUGCAAGACCAGCAUGGCCUGCUACAUCAAGAAAUGAAAAUAGAUAGGUUCAUGAAUUACAUGGUCAAUUAUGCUUUUGAUUGAACUACUUUUAUUUUGCAUUACUUCUUACCUGAGAAAAGAUAAUCAAACGAUGGACGAUCUCGUAAUUUUAUUGUUAUACAUAAGUUAUCGGGACACUUAAUGUAUUUAAGAACGAUUCAAGUUCUGUUUGAGUGUUCACAUCAUCAACUCGUUUCUCGAAUGAAUACAAAAGAGGGUAGAUACUUUAUUAAUAUCUUCUUCAAACAUGUCUAGGGACUCUUUUUUAGGGGUGAUUAGUUCCUAACACUUUAUUAAUAUAUCCUUCAAACAUGUCUAGGGACCCUUUUUAAGGGGUGAUUAGUUCCUGAUUCAGUUCGAUUUCGAUGCGGAAUCAGAAAUCCAUUUGUAAUAUUAGAAAAGUAGUCGGGAAAUAGAUUUGGAACAAAAAUAAAAAAGUAAAAAAAAAAUAACUUCUUGUUCUCGGGAACAAUUUCUAGAAAUAAGUUUGUUUUCUUUUCUUUUUCUUUUCUUUUCUUCUUUUCUUCUUAUUCGUUGGCGACCACACCCUUUGCCGCUUGUCGUCGGCUGACUGCCGUUGCUGCCACCGCCAUCUAUCACCACCCACCACUAAUGACCGCCGAUGACGCCACCCACCAGCUAGCUAACAAACUACAGUCACCAUUAUGGCAUUGAAAUUUUUUCCAAUCUAGAAACUUGAAUAAUAUUUAACUCUUGCCAUUAGCAAAUUGACAAAUUAGCCAAAGGAAAAAUGGCAAAUGUACACUUAAGAAAUAAUUUGAAUUUCAUGAACAGAUCAAACUGCAUACUUGGUCCAAAGCAAACGAUCAAAUCGCAUUGUUUCCUUCUUAUGUCCGAAACAAACAGAAGCUUUUGAGAAUGCUCAUGCAUUGCUACCAUUAAACGAAGAUUUAUAUGCUAAUCCCUACUGGGGACAACCACUAUAAAUAGUGAAGACUUGAGCCUCUCUCGAGAUGCAAAAUAGGAGUGAGCACAAAAAUUAAGUAAAGGAUAUCAAGUUAAGGAUGCUCCUUCAAGAGUUGCAGUUAUGCUAGUUGGGUCCCUUUUAAUGUUCUAUAUUGUUCAAGGUGCUCCGAACACUAACAUAACUUAUAGGGGCCGCAAUGGUGGUACCUAUUCGAGCAACGACCCUAAUGCAGACAGCGUGGCUUAUGUCCUCGCUGACAUGGCGACUGUCACACCAAAUCAUGCAAAUUACGACUACUACACCGCGUCUCCUUAUCCCACGGCAGCUGCCUAUGGUCAUGCCCCCUGUAACCCGGCACUUUCUUUCAGCGAUUGCGGUAUAUGUGUUAGCGCUGCUAAGGCUCGAAUAUUGGCAGACUGUCCAAACAUUUUUCGGCAUCGAUAUGGUGUGAAGAUUGCAGUAUGAAGUAUGAAAACUAUUUAUUUACUGAUUAAAUAGUUCGCCGCCAAACCAGAGAGCCGUGUUCUAUUGUAUGCGGUUGUUUCUGCCGCACAUGUUGCCAUGUUUGUUUUUGCAAGAAAUGACAUCCUAGAAGAUAUGCUUUCUUUGUCAAUUUAAAGUUCUCAAAAUAAUACUUAUUUAUUAUGAUGAAAAAACCUAACAAAAUAUCUAUAAGCUAAUGACUAGUGUGAAAAUGUGCCGUGUAUCUAAUCCAUUCUUACGUUCAUUAGAUUUGUUAUUACGAUCCAAAAGUAUGCAAUUACUAUAUGCUGUGUAUCUUCCCCUUAUUCCAACUACCUACAUUUAUCACAAGAGUAUGCAAUUACUAUAUGCCCAUUUCCAAAAGUUCUAUAGAAUAAUCGAGAAAGCCCUUGUCUCUGGAGAUAAUCAAGGAUUGCUCGUUCAUGGACAGAAACCUUUUAGAUCGUAUCACUUCCUUGGACCAUAACACAUGUGCCUUACUUCACUUUACACCAUCUGAUAAUCUUAUUAUUUCUUAAUUUGGCACACCCAUCUUAUUAUGAAGAAAAGAUGCAAGAGACCACAUUUUGGUAUAAUCAAAAACACGCGAUGUACCUGACUAGCUUUCCACGUAGUCGAAUAUUCCAGCUUGAUUGCAAUUAUUAGGAUCAAUAGUGGAAGAUAAAGCACUAUCUACAAAAAUGGGAAGAAAAAUGUUUUGGGCAAGAUUUUGUGCUCUGGAGGAGAAGAAGCACCACCAAAUUGUGAAGGUAAUUGAAAAAAACUCUAAACCCACUGCAUUUUAAGCAAUUCAGUCAUAAAUCUUUUAAUUUUACCAAUUGACUUCUAAUUUUUUUUUUCACUUAUCAGCAGUUGAUUCUAUUCUGCCAAUUUUGGCCAAAAAUUACUAACAUAGACGGCUGGGUUGACGUGACAUUUUUUAAAUAAUAUUUUAAUAAUAUUUUGAAGGUCGAGGCGAGGGCGGGCAACCCUCACCUCUGGUAGGCCCUCGUCUAAGCUUCGGUGACCUAGUCGGCCUUUGCUGCCGUCCCAUUGGCAAUGGGGGGCGGUAGCCACAGGGGAGAAUAAGCACCCUCUCCCUCUCACUUCUGUUUUCCUUUUUCUAAAAGUUUUUUUUCUAAAGAAAAAAGGAAAAAAAUUUAAAAAAUUUAAAAAAACAAAAUUGUCAUAUAUAGACUCUUCUUUGAGACUAAUAUUGGCAUUUCAAGCACUUAUUUGAGACAAUGAAUGCACUUCGGCCCCUUAUUUAAAAUAAAAUUCACUUUAAACUCUUAUUUGAGAAAAUAAAGGCACUUGAGGCCAUUAUUUGGAAUUUUCUCAAAAAACAAAAUUAAAAAAAAAAUUAAGAAGAAUAAAGUAAAUGGCUAAUGAUUUUCCUCACAAGAUUUUCAAAUUUCCAGUAUGAUAAUUUAUUUGCUCUGAAGGAAUAAAAGUUUCUUAGGGCAAAAAUUGCUAGAAAAAUAAGCAUCACCUUUUAAAGAAGGACAAAAGGAUCACAUUCUCCUUGCUCGAGGAACUCUUGAGCAAGAUGACCCAAAAUGCAUAUCAUUCUCAUCUUAAUUUAACCUUCAUGACUUAGCCUUCAUACGUAAGGAUUCAACUGACUGCCAUGGAAACACUGAAGUUGAGAGAACAUGUGACAUUUCAACGUCCAACACACUACACAAUCAUUUUGUGCGGAAAAAUUCUACAAUUAGUCAUAAACCUCUAGCACAUAAAUCAAUUGAGUCUUAAACCUUUCAAUUGAAAUAAUAGAAUCCUAAAAUUUUGUGGGAAAAUGCAAUCAAGUCCUCUCAUCCAAGUCUUGUUUGAUUUAUCUAAUGUGGCAAUCCAGUAAUCGCCAUCUAUCCUAUGUAAUGUUUCUAUCCUAUGUAAUGGCGACGACAUGACGUGGUCUAUUUUCAUCGAGAUGACGUCGCUUUCAAACUUACUGGUCAUCAUCUUUUAGCUUGCAUUCGCUUGGCUAGAGCUCCUCUGGUGCUCGUCCAUUGCUGUCCACUACUGCUUGGACCUUCGACGGUGUGCUGCCACCACUAUCGACCUAGAGGUGUGAAUCAAAUUCUAUGCAUUAAUAGUUCCUCAUAGCAACCAAUCUAAGGAUAGAAAGAAACCAACCACAAAACCCAACUCAAGACAUCUCACAGAAUAAGGUGGCACGAUUGUAAUGCACCAAUGGCUUAGUAUCGAAUGCCAACUAAGCCUCAAAAUUGCAAAAUUCGAUUAGUGCAAUUCCAUAGUAAAACAUUGCCCAUGGAGGCAUGUUGCUUUAUGAUAAGUACUAUCCUCUCAAACAAGGAACUUCCAUUUAGGAAGAAAACAAUCCUAUACAUUGCUUGCUUGCAUUAAGCUAUCCAUUGAGUUUGUGACUAUGUAACGCAAGCUGUUUGGCUGUGCUCUUACAAUAAUGUCUUGAUGCCUGGUGUAUUCCUUCGUUGAUGGCCCACAGCGUGAAUCUAUUUUGAAAAUGAUGUUCCCUUAAUGACUGUACUCUCAAUUCUUGCAAAGAUUGAAGGUUUCAAGGCCUCUAGUUGAUAUCGAUAUCUAACACUAAAGGAUCAAUCUGAGGUGAGUCGACAUAAUUUACAGUAAAGGAUACACCAUGCCCGCGACUUUCCAGCAAAAGAAAUCAUAAAGCUUCUUUUGAAACUGAAGCCUGAUGAUGCACUUGCACAUGGUUCUAGUCAGCGAAGAAUCUCGAAAAGUGAAAUUAAAACCAUCAUCGCAAAAACAGUGGCUUUGCUUCAGUGGGUAAGCCCAUAGACCAGCUUUUGUAAACAAGAAAAUGGACAACAGAGAGCUGAGUUGAUCCAAUUGUUAUAUAUGCAGAACUUCGAAUUGAUCCUUUUGCUCGAAAGGUUCUUUCUUCUGAGUUCAAUCGAUCAUAUCGGCCAUGAUAUCCACACGUGAACUUUGCUAGAAGAGCGUUCUCUGGAAUGCUUCCAUGCUACUAUGAUUAUGUGAGGAAACAAAGAGGAGUGGGCGUGACAAGAGGAAGACUGUCCAAGCAAUCCUGCUGCCUUAAGCGAAACAUGCGAAAACAAACAGAAAAAUCAGUAAUUGAAACAGAUAAAAAAGGCAAGAAAUGAGCCUCCGUUGAGAGGCAACCCUAUUUAUUGGGAAAGUAAACCAAUUGAUAGAGUGGAAAUGACAAUGGAAAGGUAAAUCAUACGGGCCUGACUGUGAUGAAUUUGGUUGGUGUCGCUCAAGACGUCUAUGUGGUUUGGCAUCUGUCAAUGGUAUUCACCCAUCAGCAGAGGCUUUUCUGAAAAUCCCUCACAGUGCAAAGGAAAAGAUACUGCAAGUAGUUUUCAUACACUUGCUGCCACGUCCCUUAGUCAACAAGAAGCAGAGCAGAUAACCCAAACGUGUAAUCUACCUUAGAUGAUAAUCUGAGUAACUAGCUCGCCACAAAUAUUCUCCCCUAUUAAUGCAAAGUGCACAUCACCAUGAUCAGGUACCAUCCACUUCCACUUAUGCAUCUUCUUUGAAGUAACUACAGGACAUUGAAGGGAUCAGAUUGUCAGGAAAAGAGUAUAAAAGAAAACUAGUAUAUCUCUCUCCAGCACAUAAGUAACAAGCUAAUCUGGAUUUAUGGUAUAAUUUUUUGAACCCAACGCCCCCCCCCCCCCCCCCCCAAUCGAAAAAGGCUGACUCCCCCCCCCCCCCCCCCCCCCAAAAAAAAAAAAAAUUAUAUAUAUAGGUCCCUGAUAUUGGUGCAUAACGUCUGCAUUGCAGAUCUUUGGUACAAAGUAAAUGUAUUGCCAUUAACAUCAACUUAACUCAAGAGCAUCCUGACACCAUACAAAGUAAAUAUAUAGGUCCCCGAUAUUUUCUUGCACGCUACUAUUAUUAUAUUUGUGUCAAGACACAAAGAGUAGAGGGGGUAACAAGACUCUCCAGGCAAAUCCUGCAGUUGUGAGUGGAACAUGCAAAAACAAACCAAAACAUUUGUUUGUCUGAUGAUAAAACAGAAAACUGGCAAUGAAUUUACCUCUAUAGAGAGCGAAAGAAAGUUAAAUCCUAUGAGCCUGUUUGUAAUGAAGUUGAUUGGUGCCACUCCAGAUGUCAAUGUGGUUUGGCAAGCAAUGUCUGUCAGAGGCAUUCAUGUUCACGCAUCAACAGAUGCUUUUUGGAAAAUCCCUUGCAGUGCAAAGGAAAAGAUACUGAAAGUUGUUUCCAUACAGUUGCAGCUAUGUUCCUUAGUCAGCAAGCCGUCCAUCAAACUUUGCUGUGAGAAGCAGAGCAAAUAACCCAAAUAUGUAAUCAACCUGCAUGACAAUCUGAGUACCCAGCCCGCCACAAGUAUUCACUGUUAUUGAUUCAAAGUGCCCAUCACCAUGAUCAUAUACCAUCCACUUCCACCCAUGCAUCUUCUUUGAAGAACUAUGGCAAAUAAGACAUUGAAGGGAUCAGAGGUGUUAGGAAAAGAAAAUAAAAGAAAACCAGUAUCUCUCUCUCAAAGCACAUACAUUACACCCUGAAAAAAAAAGAAAAAAAAGUAGUUUUCUUUAGUCCCAUUGAGGAAGAGGUCCAUGAUACUUGUCUAUAAUGUCUGAAUUGCAUAUAGUACACAGUAAAGUUAUGCUAUUAACAUUGAUUUAAUUUGAGAACAUCCUCACACCAAUUGAUCAUUCAUAUGAAUUUGACCUGUUUGAUAAAUAGUAGGCACCAGAAGCACUAACCCACAAGUACAUCUACCAGUUAAAUACAGAUUUCUUGCAAAACCUAGGCAUACGAAAAGCAAAAUCAACCUUUCCCCCCUCCAAAAGCCUGAUAAUCAAGCAAGAGGAAAAAUCUCCCAGACUUAAAACAACUUCAUUAACGGGACAUGGGACUCAAGGAGGUGAUGUCUGGAAGAAAACCUGCUGUUAAUCUGGCUUACUCUCCAUCAAAUUUUAGAUGAAAAAGUGGACAGAUCUCACACACAAUGGAGAAAUGAAGGAGCUCCAUUUGUCAAGAGAAAUUUAACCCACAACUCCAUUGUUGCUAAGUCUGCAGAAAAACCCCUUUCAACCAUUUCACCAACAAGUUGCGCUGCUCUCGUAUUUUCGUUAUCUCUUAGUAGUCCUUGGAUGAUUGUGUUAUAAGCGACACCAUCCGGAAGGCAUCCAUUUCCUUGCAUCUCCUUUAGCAGCUGAUAUGCUUCCUCUGUGCGUCCUCCUUUGCACAAUCCACGCAUGACAAUACUAUACGUCCACACGUUAGGUUGCAACCCUCGAGCAUGCAAACAAUCAAACAGCCCUAUUGCAUCGUCGAGCUUUCCGGCAUUACACAUGCCAUUUAUUAGGAUACUGUAAGUCACGAUGUUAGGGAUGAUUUUGGAAUCUUCCAUCUUUUGAAGCAAUAUCAUGGCCUUGUCAAUCUGCUGCGCUUUACACAAGCCAUUGAGGAAAGCACCCAAGGUAUAAUGAUUUGGGGAGAGAUCGCGAGAAUGCAUCUCAUUAAUUAGCUCCGCUGCGGCUUCAAGGUUCCCAACCUUGCAAAAUCCGUCCACGAGAGUGUUGUAUGUGAUGACAUCAGGAAUCAGGCCCCUUUGAAGCAUUUCUUGGAAAAACAUCUUUGACUUGUCCAUUCUUUUCGCUUUGCAGUAUCCGUUAAUCAACGUGUUAUAAGUAACAACAGUAGGUGAGCAGCCUCUUUCAACCAUCAAAUUAAGCACUUCCAUUGCAUCUUUCAUCCUAUUUUGCAAACAAUAACCAUUCAUCAAUGUACUGUAGAUGAAAAUAUCAGGCACUUUACCUAAUUGAAUCAUCUGGUCGACUACGGCCUCUGCCUCUACAAGCAAUCCCUCUUUACAAUGUGCAUCCACCAGGAUACCGAAGGUUAGAACGUCAGGCAUGACUCUGCUUUGCACCAUACGACUCAGCAGUCUUCGGGCCUCUUCCAAAUGGCCGGAAUUGCAAACUCCUUGAAUGACGGAGGUAUAAGUAACGACGUCCGGUUCGAUUCCUGCGUUCAUCAUCUUCUCCAACAAGACCAUAGCAUCUUUCCAUUGGCCUCGGUUGCAUAAGCAAUGAACCAAGGAGCUAUAAGUGAAUAUGCUGGGUUGGAUGCCUCCGCUCGUCAUCUGUUUCAACAAUACGAGAGCACCUUCCAUCUGGCCUACAUCGCACAUACUGUGGAUCAAGGAAUUAUAAGUAACAACAUCUGGUUCAACGCCUUUCUUGCUCAUAAUGCCGUGGAGUCUCAAUGCCUCUGUGAUGAAUCCCUUCUUGCAAAGACUAUCUAUUAUUAUGCCGUAUGCGAAGGAAUUGAGCCUGCAGCCUCUCUCUUCCCAGUCCCUCAGCAAUUCAAUCGCCAAUCUAGUGUUACCCACCCUGCAUAAACCCUUUGCGAUUAUGGCAUACGUGGUCUCAUCAGGUUCGGGGCCAUUUCGUCCCAUAUCAUCGAGGAACCUCAGUGCUUGAUCAGUUUUGCCCUGAAUAAAGAGACCAUCAAUUAAGGUACUCGAUGCCACCACAUCGAUGGGAAACCCAAGCUUCAAGAUUCUGCCCAGGAUAGACAAACCCAAAUCGACCCGCUGUAACCGACAGAAGCAAUUCAACGAAAUAUUCAGCCAAAUAUGAUUAUCUUCAACUCCUAACGAACGCAGCUGCUCAAUCAAGCGGAUGGCAGUGGAGUAGUGCUUCAUCCUCACUACAGCACCCAACAGAAGACUGAAAUCCCGGGGGGAAGGCAAAGGGUCCGUCUUCAUCAAUGCACCGAAGCAACGCUGGGCAUCGCCGACGCUCGAAAACACACCACCAUUCCUGCAAAUUUUCCUCGCGUGACUCAAGACCUCGCUUGGGUCAUCUAAAUUAAGGUUAGGGGUCGAGGAAAACCGACGACGACGACGACGACGGCGAGACGAGAGAGGGAGGAUGGAAGGGGAUGAUGGCUGGCUGGAGAUCGCAUGAAGAAGGAGGAAGAUGGAAGAAGCAGGGCGGCGGAGACUCGUCGGCUUCAUUGCUCUGGGGCCUCUCUCUCUCUCUCUCUCUCGAACCACGAGAGUUUCUCCCAAUGCGACGGUAGUAGCUGAAAAAUUACAGGGGAAAAUAUGGAAUUCAAUUUAUUUGAAAAUAGAUAACACAACCGAUGGUCCGUGAAUUUUACUAAUUUGGAGUCUUUUAUUCAAAACAAGGAUCGCAUUGACAUUAAAAAAGAAAUAAUUUAAAGACCCAAUUUGAGCUACUUUAAAGUUCAUGGAUGACUUCAUACAUUAGACAUAGUUGAAAAACCUAACUACACCUAUUAAAAUUUUUGGGAAGACAUGGACAUUCUGCAUAUUGAACAAAAAUCCAUGGAGCUAUUAGUGUCAUUGUCACAAUACGAGAAUAAUCCUACUAGCAAUUACGUACCCUUUUCAUUUAUCUUUUAUUAAAAUAUUUGGUCAAUUAAUCAAAUAAAGUAGCUAAAAAAACUUCAGGAGAAAGGAAAAUGAGAGAAAUCGCUUCUCAUCAUCUCCAUUGACUUUUUAACACUAAGCAACUUUAAGAUAAAAUUCAAAAUAAAAGCCUAGCGUGCCUUUAUUUUCUCAAAUAAAGUCCGAAGUAAACCUUGUUUCAAACAACAACACGAAGUGCAAUCAUUUUUUCAAGUAAGCACUCAAAGUAGAUCUUAUUUCAAACAAUGGCCUGAAAUAAUUAUAUCUAUUUCAAGGCCUAAUAUUCCGACUAGUCAAGAGCAUUUUGGUCAUUUAUCUUUUUUAUUGAAUAUUUUCCUUUCUUCUUUCUUUUUCCCGUUUUCCUUUACUUUUUUCUAGUUUUUCUUUCUUCAUUGCCGCCGAUGGCCAUCGAUGAUGCUGGAAAGGGUUGGGCAAGGAUUGCCCUUGCUCGCUGCUAGUAAGGGCCCCUCAUCGGCCACAAGUGAGGCCACCCUCACUAGAUUUAGCGAGGGUCGGCUUGACCUAGGGCGACGAGGGCCCAACGACCCUCACCAGCCACUAGCGCUAGGUAAGGUAGGCGAGAGUCACCUCACCCAAUCGCUAACAGCCGAUAAGGGUCGCCAAGCCCUCGUUGGCCCUAGGCAAGGCUAACCUUUGCCACAUUUGGCGAGGGUGGCCUUGAGCACAACCAACGAGGUUAGCAUAUCCCUUGCCAGCCCUUGCCAGCGGUCGAUAAGGGUGGCCAAGCUCUUGCCAGCCCUUACUAGCGACAACCCUUACCGACGGCCGCUCGCCAUCGUCACAUUAAAAAAAAAAAAAGUUAAACAAGGACAGAAAAAAAUAAUAAUAAUAAAUAAUCUAAAAUUAAAAUUGUAAUAGGACAAAAACACCCUUAAUUGGUCGAAAUGUUUAGUCUGCUGAAGCCGAAGACGGAUGAGGUCAAGCUUUUAUUUGAAACGACCAUAGCCACUUUAUGUCUUUAUUUAAAAUAAUCAUGAUCAUUUCAAGCAUUUAUUUGACACAAGAUUUACUUCGAGCCAUUUUUUGGAAUUUUCCCCAACUCUAAUGACUAAAAUAUCAGUAUUAUCUUGAAUAUACUUUCCUUGAAAAGACAGUCAAUAUUUUUAAUUUAAGGAUUUAUUUGUUUUAAGAAAAAUGAAAGACUUGAAAAACAUUUCUCUAAAAAAUGAUUGGUUAUGUUGCUCUAAAUAAUUAGCCAACAAAAAAUAUUUUCAUUAUCGAUAAUAAUUUGUGCCUGAACUUUAUUGUGGACGAUAAAAAUAUUUUUCGUUCAUAUAUUUUUGUUAGCAAUACAAUUGAUUAUAUUUAGAAAAAAAUAUUUUCUAAAUUGUGAUUUUUCACAAAACAAGCUAACCUAAGACUAAUCAAAUAAUUGAUUUGACUUGCAGUUCCAAUACGUUGGAAAAUACAAGUAAAUCUUAUAUAUUGAAAAAGUCUAUGCUGAUAAACAUGGCUGCUCAGUGCACGAAAUAAUGAACCCUGCACUUCCAAGAGGCCAACAUGUUGAUCCACAUGUUAUAACCCUGCUACAUUGAAGCGUAAUAGCUUGUUUUAUGGACAGCAAUGCUUACAUACACUAAGGGUGCAUUUGGAAAAACUUUUGGGGAAAGUCUUUAGGAAAAUGCAAAGGCCUUUUAAUGGUAUUUUUCAAAAUGCAAACUGUUUUUGGUAAAUUGUAAUUUAAAAGCCCUUGUGAAGUACCUUUGAGCAAAAUGGUGUUUGGAAGACAAAAGACUUUUGUGAAAAAAAAUAUUAUCAAAAAAUAAAAAUAAAAAAAAUGAAAACCGGCAAGGGCAGGCGGCAUCCGACGGCGACCCCCGGCAACCUUCGGCAACCCCGGAUCUAGGCCGGCGAGGUCGCGCGCGUCGCACGAUGCCGCCUCGACCUCCGAGAACCCCGAUUGGCCGUCGCGAGGCUACGCAACCCUUGCUUGAGGUUGGAGGACCUCGGCGAGGGCCGUGCUUGGGUCGUGCGACCUCGGCGAGGGUUGCGCCUGGGUCGUGCGACCCGAGCAACUACCGCCGAGGCCACCCUCGAUGGAGAAGAUGAACACUGAUUUGAGCAGCUACAGCUAGGGCCACCCUCGACGGAGAAGUUGAAUGGUGCUCCUCAUAAGGGCAAAAAAUGGAAAACAAAAAGUUCGUAAGGAUAAUUUCGGAAAUAUAUAUAUAUGAAUGAACAGUACCCCGAGCGGGCAUGCCGGAAAAGCCGAAAGCCCAAGGCAGGUCCUCCCCUGCCUUGGGCUUUCAGCCUUCACAAGGCUGGCCUUCUCCAAAGGGGGCUUCAAAUGUUUUUGCCAAACACCCCUACUUUAGCCCAAAGAUCUUUAGGGGCGCAAAGAUACUUGGCAAAGUGGUUGACAAACGGAGCCUAACUGUCCCUCCAGAAAGAACUUCAAAGUACUUGGGUCGGGUUUUUUGUGUUGACUGACUGCAAUGAAGUUGGUUGGUGUCGCUCAAGACUUCCAUGUGGUUUGGCAUUGGCCACUGGGAAUGUCUGUCAACAGCGUUCAUGUUCACCCAUCAGCAGAGGCUUUUCUGAAAAUCCCUAGCAGGGCAAAGGAAAAGUUACUGCAAGAAGUUUUCAUACACUUGCUGCCAUGUUACCUUGUCGGCAAGAAGCAGAGGAGAUAGUUUCCUUAUUAUUUGCCAUGUAAGAAACUAAGAGCAGAGGGCACGAUGAGAGGCAGACUGUCCAGGCAAACCUGCUGUUUUGAGUGGAACACACAAAAACAAACCAAAACAGUCUUCCUCAGUCAGUUAUUAAAACAGUAAAUUGGCAAUGAAUGUACUCUAUUGAGAGCGAAAGAAAGUUACAUCCUACAGGCCUGUCUGUAACGAAGUUGAUUGGCCCCAUUCAAGAUAUCCACGUGGUUUGGCAUUGGCAAUGUCUGUCAGCAGUAUUCAAGUUCACCCAUCGCUAGACACUUUUCAGAAAAUUCCCCGCAGAGCAAGGAAAAGAUACCUUAACUUGUUUCCAUAUACUUGCAGCCAUGUUCCUUAGUCAGCAAGCCAUCCCUCAAACUACGAUGUAAGAAGCAGAGAAAAUAACCCACAUAUGUAAUCGACCUGCGAUGAUAGUCUGAGUACCCAGCUCACCACACAUAUUCAUCACUAUUGAUUCAAACUGCCCAUCACCAUGAUCAUAUACCAUCCACUUCCACCUGUGCAUCUUCUUUAAGAACUACGGUAAAUAAGCCAUUACAUUACAUUAUCUCUCUCUCUCUCUCAAAGCACAUACAUUACACCCCAGGAAAGAACAUUGUUUUCUUUAGUUCCAUUUUGAGGAAGAGGCCCAAGAUAUUUGUGUAUAACGUCUGAAUUGCAUAUAGUACACAGUUAAGUUAUUGCUUUUAACAUCUAUUUAAUUCAAGAACAUCCUCACACCCCUUGAUCAUCUGUAUGAAUUUCACCUGUUGAUAUAUAUUAGGCACCAGAAGCACCAAUGAUGAGUCCAUGUACCAGUUAGAUACAGAGACUUAUUACAGAACCUAGGUAUCCAAUAAACAAACUUCACCUUCCACCCUUCCAAAAGCCUCGUAAUGAAGCAAGAGAGAGCAUCUCCCUGACUUAAAACAACUUCAUUAAUGGGACAUGGAACUCAAUGAGAUGAUGUGUGGAAGAAAACUUGCCGUCGAUCUGGUUUACUCUGCAUCACAUUUCAGCUGAAAAGGCAGACAGAUCUCACACACAAUGGAGAGUCCGACUGGAAGAAGAAGGAGAAGUAGUUCCAUUCGUCACAAGAUACUUAACCCACAACUCCAUCGUCCCUACAUUUGCAGAAAAACCCCUUUCGACCAUUUCUCCAACAAGUUGUGCUGCUCUCAUAUUUUCUUUAUUUCUUAGAAGCCCUUGGAUGAUGGUGUUAUAAGUGACACCAUCUGGAAUGCAUCCAUUUCCUUCCAUCUCCUUUAGCAGCUCAUAUGCUUCCUCCAUGCAUCCUCCUUUGCACAAUCCAUGCGUGACAAUAUUAUAUGUCUGCACAUCAGGUUGCAAGCCUCGAGCAUUCAAACAAUCAAACAACCCCUUAGCAUCGUCGAGCUUUCCAGCAUUACACAUGCCAUUCAUUAUAAUAUUGUAAGUCACAAUGUUUGGGACGAAUUUGGAACCUUCCAUCUUUCGAAGCAAUAUCAUGGCCUUGUCAAUCUGUUGCGUUUUACACAGGCCAUCCAGGAAAGAAUUCAAGGUAUAAUGAUCUAGAUACAGAUCGCGAGAUCGCAUCUCGUUAAUUAGCUCCCCCGCGGCUUCAAGGUUCCCAACCUGGCAAUAUCCAUUUAUGAGAGUGUUGUACGUGAUGACAUCAGGAUUCAAGCCCCUUUGAAGCAUUUCUUGGAAAAGCAUCUUUGACUUGUCAACUCUUUUCCCUUUGCAGUAUCCAUUAAUCAAUGUGUUAUAAGAAACGACAUUAGGUGAGCAGCCUCUUUCAACCAUCAAAUUAAGAACCGCCAUAGCAUCAUCCAUCCUAUUUUGCAAACAAUAACCAUUCAUCAAUGUACUAUAAGUGAAACUAUCAGGCAUUUUACCUAAUUGAAUCAUCUGGUUGAUUAUGGCCUCUGCUUCUACAAACAUUCCCUCUUUACAAUGUGCAUCCACCAGAAUAUUGAAGGUUUGAACAUUGGGCAUGACUCUGCUUUGCACCAUAUGACUCAGCAGUCUUUGGGCCUCUUUCAAUUGGCCGGAAUUGCACACUCCUUGAAUGACAGAGGUAUAAGUAACGACGUUCGGUUCAAUUCCUGACUUCAUCAUCUUCUCCAACAAGACUGUAGCAUCUUUCCAUUGGCCUAGCUUGCACAAGUAAUGAACCAAGGAGCUAUAAGUGAAUAUGUCGGGUUGGAUGCCUCCGCUUGUCAUCUCUUUCAACAAUAUGAGAGCAUCUUCCAUCUGACCUACAUCGCACAGACCAUGGAUCAAGGUGUUAUAAGUAACGACAUUUGGUUCGACGCCUUUCUUGCUCAUAAUGCCGUGGAGUCUCAACGCCUCUAUGAUGAAUCCCUUCUUGCAAAGACUAAAUAUUAUUAUGCUGUAUGCGAAGGAAUUGAUGCUGCAGCUUCUCUCUUCCCAGUCCCUUAGCAAUUCGAUCGCCAAUCUGGUGUUACCCAUCCUGCAUAACCCCUUGGCGAUUAUGGCAUACGUGGUCUCAUCAGGUUCGGGGCCAUUUCGUCCCAUAUCAUCGAGGAACCUCAAGGCUUGAUCAGUUUUGCCCUGAAUAAAGAGACCAUCAAUCAGGGUGUUCCACGUCACCACAUCGAUGUGAAACCCAAGCUUGAAGAUUCUGCCGAGAAUAGACAAGCCCAUAUCGACCCGCUUUAACCGGCAGAAGCAAUUUAUCCAAAUAUUGAGCAAGGCAACAUCACCCUCGAUCCCCAAAGAAGGCAGCUGCUCAAUCAAUCGGAUGACGGUCGAGUAGUGCUUCAUCCUCACUAUAGCGCCCAACAGUAGACUGAAAUCCCAGGGGGAAGGCAAAGGGCUCGCCUUUAUCAUUUUACCGAAGCAACACAGGGCAUCACCGACACUCGUAAACACACCACCACCACCACCACCAGCUCUGCAAUUUCUCCCCACGUAACUCAAGAAACAACUCGGGUCGUCUAAAUCAGGGUUAGGGGUCGAGGAAAACCUCCGACGACGGGGAGACGAGAAAGGGAGAUGGAGGAUGGAAUGGGAUGACGACUCGCUGGAGAUGGCAGCUGGAGCACGAAGAAGGAGGAAGAUGGAAGAAGCAGGGCAGAAAUUCGUUGGCUUCAUCGGUUGAUGAUGAAUCUGAAAACUGAAAAGCUUCUUCAGCUUAUGGCUCUCUUUCCAUCUCUCUCCCCGUCUCUCAUUAUCAAGCUUUUAUACAAUGAUUUCACAUCAUCAUUUAUUGACAAUACAAAUAUUUCUUAUAUCCAAUUUUUUAGAAAAAGUGAUACAAUUAAUCAUUUUCACCACAAAAUCAGAUUUUCAUUUUUCGUUAGUAGUGACUUGUGCGCACAAUUUUACUUUUCCUACAAGUAGGUGAGAUUUGCUGGAGCAUUGGACGGAUUGAUAAAUAGUGUGAUACCUUGAUGAUAAGCAUUUAACAAUAUAUUUCAAUCGGCUUAACUUGUAACUACGAUUGCGUAUGUUUGUACGGAUGAAUAGAUUAUAGCAUGUAAACACGGAAUUUAACUCAUUCUAUGUCCCGAUCCAACAAUUGAAGUUUGAUUUGACAAAUAUUUCUGACUCAAUCAUUCUUAAUUCCACUACAAGGCCUUGAGCAUUCUGCUUCAUAAACUGCAAUCCUUCUUAGAAAUAUAAUUGUUCAAGGAUUUAAACAAUAAUUCCAAAGAAGAUGAGAGAAAGAGAGAGAGCAUAAGUAGUGACAGGCUAUGACGUUAAAAUUUGACACACAAUCACAAGAAAAUAAAUUAAAAGAGAGAGAGAGAUUGAAACAUGAAAUUUAUCCUAGAUCGCUCCUAAACUAGGAGUACGUUCAACAAAUAACUCCACUAUAAUUAGCACAUUGCAUCUCUACGUUACAACUCUCAAUUACAAGAGAAAGAAAUCAUAUAUGCCUAGUAACUAUUCAUGGGCUUGAACCUAAAUUAUUAAUAAAAUAUGAACUCAAACUAUAAAAGCCCCAAAACUCCUCUAUGCCUUCCUAUUAAUUGGGAGUAUGAAUCACAUCCCCAACAUAUCAUAUAGUACAGAAAUUGUUGUCAGAGAGGCAAAGUGGCAAAAAAUAAGGAUGGAUUUGAGUGGGUCACGGAGUGAGAGAGAAGCAAUGGUGGGUGGCAAUGAAUACUCCGGUGGCAUAUGACGACACUCGGGCUAGUCAUUGGUGACUACGAUCGACGAGAGAGGUAGACAAGAACUAGAGGUCAAGAGGGGCAUCAAGCGUGAGUGAAUUAAUGGCAACGGGCUUACCCAAAUGAAAACCAAAAUGAGUUUACUUUCAUUAAGACUCUCCAAUUAGUACUAACUCAAACAUUUUUCCCAAAAGUCUUUUGAAAAGAAAAAACCAAAUUAAUACCUAUGAUAUAUUUAUCCAAACUAAUUUCAUCUCAUAGAAUAUCCCUAAUCGAUACCUCUCACACAAAUCUAUCCACCAUUAAAAUGCAUACAUGUCAACAUACAUGAAUUUUCAACAUCAAAUCAGUCAUUUUUCUCCUCUCAUUCAUCAUGUGUUGACAAGUAUGCAUUACAAGUAGAUUUUGGUUUGGAGUACCAAUUUGAGGUUUUAUUUUUUGUGAGACGAAAUUAAUUUGCGAUCAAUGUGCCAUGUAUUUACUAAUUUGAGAUUUAUUUAUUUAUUUUGGUAAGGUAAGUAAUAUAUUGACUUUUAACCAAAAACUAUACAACAGGGGUUCUUGGCACCAAAAAACUUACACUCACUUUGGAAUUUAUCGUGAUAUUAAUCCUUCAAAAUAUUAAAUGCUAUCCUCUGCUAGUGAAAUUUACUACCAUGAACGACAGUCUAAAAAUACUAAAGUUGAAUGGGAAAUAACUUUUGUACCUUCAAUCACUUCAAACAGAUAUUCACGUUCACAUAUGCAUCCUCUCUGAAGUAAAUAUGGGUAGGUAGGACAUUGGAGGGAUCACGGAUCAGGCUGUGUUAGGAAGAGAGCAAAAAGGAAAACCAGUAUCUCUCCCUCAAAGCACAUACACAAAAGAUUAAUCAGGAUUUAUGACCUCAACAUAAAUUUAAAAAAAAACAAAAAGGAUUUUUGUGCUUAGCAAACUAAAGUAUUAACAUCUUUUUAAUUUAGGAGCAUCCUCAUGCCGCUUGGUUGUUUAUAUGAAGCAUAAACCGACGGGUACAUGUACCAUGUAUGAACAGAGAUUUCUUGCAUAACUUAGAAUACACGAGAAACAAAACCCUCCUAAAAUCCUCAUAAUAAAGCAAGAGAAGAUCACCCAGACUUAAAACAACUCCAUUAAUGGGCAUGGGACUCAAUGAGAUGAUUUGUGGAGUAAAACUUGCCCUCAAUCGAGUUUACUCUUCAUCACUUUUCAUAUGGAAAGAGUGGACAGACCUCAGAAAAAAUGGAUAGCUCAACCAGAAAAGGAAAAAGUUCCGUUUGUCACCAGAUAUUUAACCAACAACUCCAUCGUUGCCAUACUUGCAGAAAAACCCCUUUCAACCACUUCACCAACAGCUUAUGCUGCUUUCAUGUCUUCCUUAUUUCUUAGUAGUCCUUGGAUUAUGAUGUUAAGAGAGACACCAUCUGGAAAGCAUCCAAUACUUUCCAUCUCCUUCAGCAGCUGAUACGCCUCCUCUGCACAUCCUCCUUCGCACAAUCUACACAUGACAGAGCUAUACAUCCACACGUCAGGUUCCAGCCUCAAGCAUGCAAACAAUUAAACAGCUCGAUAGCAUCGUCAAGCUUCCCGGAGUUACACAUGCCUUAUAUUAGAAUAGUGUAUGACACAAUAUCUGGUGUGAAUUUGGAGUCUUUCAUCUUUCGAAGCAAUAUCAGCCCAGCAUACUCGGUCAAUGGGUCAAGCAAGCAUCUUCACCAAUAGUCAUUGCAUGAGCAUGUUCCAUCCAUAAAAUGGUGGAACCUGUUUGCAUCCCUUACGACUAUAGGUCUUCCAGUUGCCAUGGAGAUAUAUUUGAUCGCAGAAUGACAAUCUCCACAAAUGCGAAGAUUCUUAAAUACCCUAAUAGAUUUCGGACUGGAGGUGCUUAUAAGGCCAAAAACAACAGCAAUUUUCUCACUGUGUUGGAGCAAAUAUUGUUCCUUUUGUCCCUCCUCCACAUCAUGAAGAACAAAUUGAGUAUUCGGAACAUAACCCAGUUUCUUUAUUCGACUAGCCAAUCGGUCCAGUUCCUCAUAGAUCUCCCGUGCCUUCGGAUGUGAAGCAUCACCCACAUAGAACUUGUGAACUGUAUUUUUCACUUCAAUCCAGCUACAACCAGCUUCUUUUGUAAGAUUUUUCAGUUUCAUCUUCUUUCUGAUUGCUGCAGCAUCUUCCCAUAGACCAGCCAAGGCAUAAAUAUUUGAUAGCAAAAUAUAAGUCGCAGGGUCAUCUGGUUCUUGCUCAAAAAUCAUUGCUGCAGCUUGUUUUGCAAGUUCAACAUUGCCAUGAACUCGGCAAGCUCCGAGAAAUGUACGCCAGACAAGUGUAUCAGCCCGGAAAGGCAUUGAAUUUAUAAACUGAAGGGCUUCGACAAGGGAUCCUGAUCUGCCCAAUAAGUCCACCAUACAUGCAUAGUGUUCGGUUCUAGGCACGAUUCCAUGUUCUGGGUACAUUGACCUAAAGUGUUUCCAUCCAUCAGAUAUCAAACCCACAUGACUACAAGAGGAUAAAACAGCAACAUAGGUGAUCUCAUUUGGCCUCACACCAGCAUCAAGCAUUUGAUGGAAUGUGUCUAGAGCUCUCGUCCCAAAUCCAUGCUUUGCAAAACCAGUAAUCAUUGAAGUCCAAGUUAUGACAUUUUUCUCUCUUGUCUCACUGAAAACUCGAAAAGCAGCUUCUAUGUUUCCACACCUGGAAUACAUAGAGAUCAAAGCAUUAGAAAUGCACUGAUUUGAAUCAAGCCCUGAUUUUACCAUCCUCGCAUGGAUUUGCUCCCCCUUACCAAUAGCGCCAACACUGGCAACUCCACUCAAAAGGCUGGCAAAUGUAAAAGCACUUGUUCCGAUCCCUCUCUCCUCAAUCUCAUGUAGUAGUUCAAAGGCUUCAUCGGACUCCAAACUUUUGGCAUAGGCAUCUACAAGGGUAUUAUAAGAAACCAGAUUCUUUUCAAAUAGCGCAUCAAAAGCUCUCUGAGCAUCUUCCAUGUGGCCCGACCGGGAAUACAUGCUGACAAGAGAAUUACCCACGCAAGUAUCACAGGCAAAGCCCAAUUUUAUAGCUAGUGCGUAUAUUUGUAUCCCCAUAUCUACAUCACGAAUAUUUCCACAUGCCUUGAGAACACCAGCAAAUGUGAAAUGGUUUGGCCUCACAGGACCUUUUGUCAUUUCCCAAAAGAGCUUGAUAGCCUCCUCAUUCUCUUCAGCCCGUGCAUAUCCUGUGAUUAUCGCUGUCCAAGACAUCACAUUGUGAUCUUGCAUCCGAUCAAACACCUUUCUCGAAUCAUGAAGCGAUCCACCAUCUACAGACUUGACAUACAUGUCCACCAAACUGCAUCCAACACAGACAUCCGAAGCCAAUCCAGACCGUAUAACCCAGGAAUGCAAUUGUACCCCGAGCGAUAGUAACUCCAACUCUGAACAUACAGACAAAACAGCCGUGAGUGUAAAUCUAUCUGGCACAGGCCCACUCACCAGCAUAUCCAAAAACAAAUCAACAGCUUUCUUUGGACUACCCAACUGAGUACAUCUCGUCAUCAUCAAAGUCCAAGCAACCACAUUCCUCUCGGGCAUUUUCUCAAACACCUUACGAGCUGAAACCAAAUCAGCACUACCCUUUGCAAACAUGUCAAUCAAUGCACACCCAACACACACAUCAGAAUCAAGAUAGCCGCUUUUGAUAAUAAACCCAAAAACCGUAUCGCCAAUAGAUGCACUCUCCGGGACCGAGCAAGCCCGAGCAACCGCCGCGAAACAAUAAUCAUUAGGGAAAAACCCAUCCUCGAGCAUAUGAACGAACGUAUCCACCGCUUCAAACUCCAUGUGAUUAUUGGCAUAGCAGGAGAUCAUGGAACUCCAAGAAACCAAGUCCCUCUUAUCGCCCAUGUCCCCAAAAACCCUCUCCGCCUCAGCCCAGUCGUUGGAUUUCGAGUAGAGACUGAUGAGCGAGUUGAGGAUCACCGAGUCGGGCUCGAGCCCGGACCGGGCGAGCGCGCGGUGGACGCGCCUCCCCAGCGCGAACGCGCGGGAGCGGAUGCAUGACUUGAGGAGGAGAGAGAAGGUGAGGACGUCGGGGUGGGACCCGUCGCGGGACGCGAGCUCGAGGCGCGUGAUUGCUCCGCGGAGGUCGCCGCCGUCGAGGCGGGCGACGAGGCGGCGGCCGUCGAGGGGCGAGGGGGGAAGGUUUUGGCGGGAAGGAGAGAGCUUGACGGUGGACGGUGGAGGGAAGAGAGAGAGAUUCAUUGCUCCAUGCAUGACCAGCAUGGCCUGCCACAUCAAGAAAUGUAAAUAGAUAGGUUCAUGAAUUACGUGGUCAAUUAUGCUUAUGAUUGAACUACUUUUCUUUUGCAUUACGUUCUUACCUAGAGGAAAGAUAAUCAAACGGUGGACGAUCUCGUAAUUUUAUUGUUAUACCUAAGUUGUUGGGACACUUGAUGUAGUUGAGAACGAUUCAAAUUCUGUUUGGGUAUCCACAUCAUCAACUCGCUUCUCGAAUGAAUACAAAAGAAGGCAGAGGGAGACACUUUAUCAAUAUCUCCUUCAAACAUGUCUAAGGACUCUUUUUUAAGGUGAUCAACUCCUGAUUCAGUUCGAUUCCAAUGUGGAAUUGGAAAUCGGAAAUCAGACCAGGACUAGGGACUAAACCGGUUGGUCCUACCACAGGGGAUUGGUCAUUAUUUCUUUUUUCAUGCUUCCAUUUGAAUAUCUUAUUAUCUAAAGCAUGAUCAAGAACAAAUUCAAGUCUUAAGACAAAUCUUAUGCAGACAGCGUGGCUUGUGUCCUCGCUGACAUGGCGAUUGUCACACCAAAUCAUGCAAAUUACGACUACUACACCACGUCUCUUUAUCCCACAACAGCUGCCUAUGGUCAUGCCACCUGGGUUACAGCACUUUCUUUCGGCGAUUGCGGCAUAUGUGUUAGCGCUGCUAAGACUCGAAUACUGGCAGACUGUCCAAACAGUCUUGGCGUCGAUAUGGUGUGAAGAUUGCAAUAUGAGGUAUGAAAACUAUUUAUUUACUGAUUAAAUAGUUCGCCGCCAAACCAGAGAGCCGUGUUCUAUUGUAUCGGUUGUUUCUGCCGCACAUGUUGCCAUGUUUGUUUUUGCAAUAAAUGAUAUCCUAGAAGAUAUGCUUUCUUUGUCAUUUUCAAGUUCUCAAAACAAUACUUAUUUAUUAUGAUGAAAAAACCUAACAAAAUAGCCAUAAGCUAAUGACUAGUGCGAAAAUGUGCUGUGUAUCUGAUCCAUUCUUACGUUCAUUAGAUUUGUUAUUACGAUCCUCAAGUGAGCCUUUAAGAGACAGUAGUUGGAGACCCACAAAUAAGAUGACGUGCUAGAUAGUGCAAAACCAAAAAAAAAAUCCUAAAUCAAUAAAAGGAAACGCUGCUUAUAGGCUAAAAGAAAUGGUUAUAACCUUGCUAAGGCCGCUUAUGAAUUUUUCCAUAUAAUUUAUAUGUUGAACUCGAAGCAUGACACCAUGCCAAAAUGCAGCAAGAAAUAACCAGGACUUUGGCCUCAAUAUUUGCGUAAGGGUCAUGCUUUAAAAUCAUUAAGGUGGUUGAGAACAUAUUACACCGUGCGAAGAAGGUACACAUGGAUAAGCUCAUUUCAAUGCCAAGAAACCAUUUCAUAGAUACCAAAUCCCCGAAGCAAAAUUUGUGAAAUCGAAACUGUUUCACAUCUCAAAUCAGUUAUUGGUAAUUUCCAAUCAUAUCUGUGUCAUCAACAUAAAGCAAAAUGAAUAAAUAGGAUGAGCUAAUGCAUAAAACACAACGGAAUUAUCAGCAUUAGAUUGAACUAAACCAACGCAGUAGAGAAUAGUUCAGAAACCAACUUUCUGUGACUAGGCAAGGAUGAUAUAUAUAAUCCCUCAAACAAUGCAAGAAGGCAUCUGCAAUGCAUAUGCAAGUCAAGUUAAUAAAGAUCGCCAUGUCGUGUUGCAGCAAAUAACAACUAUCAGCAAAACACGUACAAUGGCCAGCCACAUGAUGGCACAAAAAGUGUGGUGAUAAUCAAACUUAACCGUCAACCUUAAUUGCUCAGGAGGACAUUAAAGAGCAACUCUAUAAAGUGAAACUCUGGAGAUAUAAAUAAGGGAAAAAGACCCUUCUAUAUACAAGUAUAAGGCUAAUCAUAAUCAUAGAUCAACAGUAAAAAUUACAUCUUCCCCUUAUUCCAACUACCUACAUUUAUCACAAGAGUAUGCAAUUAUUAUAUGCCUCUUCCAAAAGUUCUAUAGAAUAAUCGAGAAAGCCCUUGUCUCUGGAGAUAAUCAAGGAUUGCUCGUUCAUGGACAGAAACCUUUUAGAUCGUAUCACUUCCUUGGACCACGACACAUGUGCCUUACUUCACUUUACACCAUCUGAUAAUCUUAUUAUUUCUUAAUUUUGCACACCCAUCUUAUUCAGAAGAAAAGAUGCAAGAGACCACAUUUUGGUAUUAUAAAAAACACGCGAUGUACCUGACUAGCUUUCCACGUAGUCGAAUAUUCCAGCUUGAUUGCAAUUAUUAGGAUCAAUAGUGGAAGAUAAAGCACUAUCUACAAAAAUGGGAAGAAAAAUGUUUUGGGCAAAAUUUUGUGCUCUGGAGGAGAAGAAGCACCACCAAAUUGUGAAGGUAAUUGAAAAAAACUCUAAACCUAUUGCAUUUUAAGCAAUUCAGUCAUAAAUCUUUUAAUUUUACCAAUUGACUCCUAAAUUUUUUCACUUCUCACCAGUUGAUUCUAUUGGCCGAAAAUUACUGACAGUGAAGGCCGGGUUGACGUGACAUUUUUUAAAUAAUAUUUUAAUAAUAUUUUGAAGGUUUUUUUCUUCUUCUUCUUUUUUUUUUUUUGCUUUUUUUUGGGGGGUUGGAUAUAGGGUCGGUCAACCAUCGCCAGCCAUAGGUGAGGGCCGCUGACCCCCCCCCCCCCCUUUGCCAACCAUACGGGAGGGCCGGCUGACCCUCGCCGAUGAAAGUGAGGGCAUGCAAGCCCUUGAGCAAAAAUGGCGAGGGCAGUGACCUUGUGUCCUCAGAUCUUACUCAUGAUUUGCCUAGAAAAACAUCUUCUCAACAAAGAUGAAGGUUUUUGAUUUAGAGAUAAGAAGCUUUGGAACCCUCCAGAGCGAAAGUAUAGCGAAAGUAUAGCGAAUAAAUUUAAACAUUUGCUUGUUUGACUUGAUUGAGCUAGAUAACAAUCUAAUCAAGCUCAUCUCUUUUAUUCAAGUCAAAGCAACUGCAAAUUCUUAAUUCUUAGACUAACUUAAACCAGCUAUGCAACUCAUCAUGAUUCAACCACAAAGCAAAGACAUUCUCUAUCCACCCCAUGGUCCAAUGAUUAUGCAAAUCAGGUAAUACCAUACCAUUAAACUUUAUUUACACGACCUCGCAAAUGCAAGUACGGCCCUUCUAACAAGCAAAAACUGAACUAGGAAGAAGGGUCAAGAUACAAUGAUGACUCAAAAGUCAAAGCGACACAUCUUUGUGUGUGCUUUCUGCAUUUACAAUACGCCUACCAGCAACGAGUCAUGGAUGUCCAGGUUUUGAAGCAGUGUCAUUGUUCUGUCCAUUUCUUGCCGCACUUUUGUGAACCAAGUUGUGUAGAAAAAUUGCUUAUUUGGACCAACACGGUUGCACAGGAGCCGCACCUUUUGUCUCUCUCUCAUCCAUCCCAACACUAAUUUCAUGUGCCUUUUGCUAGUCAGUCCUCUUAAACCAACUUCCUCAAUUGUCUUGAGACGAUGAUCAGCAAAUUAAGCACACCAAGAUAACAAUAAAAAUGAUGAUACCUAGGAGAUGCCAAGGUGUUGAUGCAUUAUGCAGCAGAGAGGCAAAGAAUAAGGGAUGAGAAUCAGCAAGCACUGAAAACGUUUAAAAACAAAAAAGACAUUACUUGAACGCGUUCCCAGGUGUCUGCAAUCGUGAGAGGACCAUGCUCCUUCAACAGGCCAAAGAUGAUCCUCGUGAUGGUUUGUUUCUGCUCUGGAGGCAUCUUGAGCUCAAUCAGUUUCAUCUUCGGUUUCGGCUUCCUAACCGAAUCAGCAAAAGAGUCAGCUUGGAAGACAGUCACAGAGUCAGCAAAAGAGCUUCUUAUAACUUAAAAACUAGCAAGCAAUUCCAGGUAUUGCCAUAUGACAAAAUUGAACCAUCAGUAAUUUUAACCCACGACGAAAUCAGGUUUGUGUUUUUCUUAUUCGAAGAAGUGAGAAUUCAUGUGUGCAUUUUUAUCUCUUGCAAGUUGUUGGGACUUGCAGGAUUAUGGAUGGCCUGGUAAAUAAUGUGAUGAUAAGGAACAUCUAACAGGGCACGCGAUGCAUAAAAGGACUAUAGCAUUUGGCAUCGAAUUUAACUCACUGUACUUCUAAGUUAACAACUGAAAUUUGAUCUGACAACAUAAACAGAGAGAUUUUGCAGAGUAUAAAUAGAUAUGUUCCUUAUAAUUCCGUGGUUGUUAUAAACAAUGAUCAAUGCCUUCAUCAAGUGUACAAAUUCCAUAUGAAUCAUAGCCAAGUGUUGCAGAUCUAAACUUACUUUGACAGCAUAGAAUAAAACAUAACUUACACUUAAUUUGAUCAAAGGCCGUCAUCAUGCUUGCCUUCGAAAAGGAAGAAGUUUCAUUUGUCACGACAUAUUUAACCCACAACUCCGUAGUCACUACAUCUGCAGAAAAACCCCUUUCAACCAUUUCAUUGACAAGUUCUGCUGCUCUGGUAUUUUCAUUAUUUCUUAAUAGUCCUUGGAUGAUUGUGUUAUAAGUGACGUCAUUUGGAAGGCAUCCAUUUCCUUCCAUCUCCCUUAACAGCUGAUAUGCUUCCUCCAUGCAUCCUCCUUUGCACAAUCCAUGAAUAAUGACAUUGUAUGUCCACACAUUAGGUUGCAAGCCACGAGCAUUCAAACAAUUAAAUAGCCCCUGAGCAUCGUUGAGCUUUCCAGCAUUACACAUGCCAUUUAUUAAGAUAGUGUAAGUCACAAUAUCUGGGACAAAUUUGGAAUCUUCCAUCUUUCGAAGUAAUAUCAUGGCCUUGUCAAUCUGCUGCACUUUACACAAGCCAUCCAGGAAAGCAUUCAAGGUAUAAUGAUUUGGAGAUAGAUCGCGAGACUGCAUCUCCUUAAUUAGCUCCUCCGCAGCUCCAAGGUUCCCAACCUGGCAAAAUCCAUAUACUAGAGUGCUGUAUGUGAUGUCGUUAGGAUUCAGGCCCCUUUGAAGCAUUUCUUGGAAAAGCAUCUUUGAUUUGUCAACUCUUUUCCCUUUGCAGUAUCCGUUGAUCAACGUGUUAUAACAAACAACAUUAGGUGAGCAGCCUCUUUUAACCAUCAAAUUAAGCACUUCCAUAGCAUUGUCCAUUCUAUUUUGCAAACAAUAACCAUUCAUCAAUGUAUUAUAAAUGAAACUAGAAGGCAUUUGACCUAAUUGUAUCAUCUGGUCGACUAUGGCCUCAGCCUCUACAAGCAUUCCCUCUUUACAAUAUGCAUCCACCAGGAGAGUGAAGGUUCGAACAUUCGGCAUUACUCUGCUUUGCACCAUAUGACUCAGCAGUCUUCGAGCCUCUUUCAAUUGGCCAGAAUUGCGCGCUCCUUGAAUGACCAAGGUAUAAGUAAUGACGUCCGGUUCAAUUCCUGCCUUCGUCAUCUUCUCCAACAAGACCGUAGCAUCUUUCCAUUGGCCUAGGUUGCAUAAGCAAUGAACCAAGGAGUUAUAAGUGGGUAAAUCGGGUUGGAUUGCUCUGCUUGUCAUCUCUUUCAACAAUGUGAGAGCAUCUUUUAGCUGGCCUACAUUGCACAGACCAUGAAUCAAGGAGUUGUAAGUAACAACAUCUGGUUUGAUCACUUUCCCACUCAUACUUUCAUGGAGUCUCAACGCUUCUGCAAUCAAUCCCUCCUUGCAAAGACUAUCGAUCACUAUGUUGUAUGUGAAGGAACCAAGCCUGCAGCUUCUCUCUUCCCAGUCCCUUAGCAAUUCAAUAACCAGUCUGGUGUUACCCGCCCUGCAUAACCCCUUUGCGACUAUCGCAUACGUGGUCUCAUUAGGUUCGAGGCCGUUUCGUUGCAUAUCAUCGAGGAACCUCAGUGCUUGAUCAGUUUUGCCCUGAAUAAAGAGACCAUCAAUUAGGGUGCUCGAUGUCACGACAUUGAUGGGAAACCCAAGCUUGAAGAUUCUGCCCAGGAUAGACAAACCCAAAUCAACCCGCUUUAACCGGCAGAAGCAAUUCAUCCAAAUAUUGAGCGAGGCAACAUCACCCUCGAUCCCCAAAGAAGGCAGCCGCUCAAUCAACCGGAUCGCAGUCGAGUAGUGCUUCAACCUCACUAAAGCACCCAGCAGUAGAUUAAAAUCCCUGGCGGAAGGCAAAGGGUUCGUCUGUAUCAUUUUACCGAAGCAACACAAGGCAUCGCCGAUACUCGUAAACCCACCACCACCGGCUCUGCAAUUUUUCCUCACGUAACUCAAGAGCCGGUUCGGGUCGUGGAGAAUAGGGUUAGGGAUCGAACAGAACCUCCGACGAACGCUGGAGAUCGCAGCUGGAGCACGAAGAAGAAGGAAGACGGGAGCACCACAGAGGCUCGCGCGCUUCAUCGGCAGCUUGAUGAUGAAUCUGAAAACUGGAAGCUCUGCUUUUGCUCGGCGGUCUCUCUCUCUCUCUCUCUCUCUCUCUCUCAAAGUCGGACAGUCUCUAUACUUCAAUCCUCUAUUUAGGGCGCGUUUGUUUAAACGUGUUUCUGUCCCGGAACACAAAUAUUUAUUAUUUUGUUUCGGAAAAUUAAACAAAAAAAAGUAGAAACGCAUUUAUUUACAUUUUUUAUUCUCGAGAAUAAAUUUGGAACAAAAAUAAAAAAGUAGAAAAAACUUAUUUCUUGCAAGGCCGAGCCACGGCGAGGCUCCCGGAAAGGCCAAGCCACAGCAAGGCUAGUCGAGGCUCCCGAAGAGGCCGAGCCAUAGAUUUGGCACAACACACUCUAGACACUAGGGUGGGUAAACCUCAUCGAAGUGUCGUCGGCCCCCGAAGAGGCUGAGCCACAGUAAAACUUGUCAGCCCGAGCCUCGCCGUGGCUCACGAUGGCCACGUGAGGCUCGGCCUCAUCAGGCCACCUCCAGCAUGGUGUCACCUGGCGGUGGAAAAUGCUGAAUUUGGUUCAAUUUUGAAAACGCUCUUAGGAAAAUGCACAUAUCUUUAAGCUAAUUUUUUUUUUCUUUUUUUUAUCUAAAACCCUUUUAGGUUUUAGAGGUCAAGGGUUUUGAAGAAAUACAAAAGUUGGUUAAAUUUUCUUUGCAAAGCUAUUUUGGAGUAAUGAAUGUUUGGUAAAUUUUUUUAUAAAGGGCUUUUGGAUUUCAUUUUUCUUUUUUAUUAAAAAAUGUUAAACUCUUUACCAUCCCUAAUAAAGGUAAAUGUAAUUUUGGAACAAUGAGAAAUAAAAUUGAAAAACCAAAAAAAAUUAUGAUAAUAGUUUGAGGAAAAAAAAUGUAAUUUCAGUAUUUAAUCGAAUGCUAAAAGCCCAAAACUGAUCUCUAUCGGCAUUGGGCUUUUAACUUUUCCAAAGCCAACAUUUGACUAAAAGCUCAUUAGAUAGGCUUGCCAAACACUACAGCAUUUUUCCAACGGAGCUCAUUACGAAAACUGAACCAAAUGCACCAAAGUCUUAUUACUGCCUUGGUGUCACGGAUGCCUUCAACGUCCAAGCUGGCUGCUACCAUGGCGUCUUUCAUAAUGCACAAGCAGCAGGAAAGAUCGGCUUUUACCAAGGCGGCACUAUAAACUGUACUCUCAAUAUUGAAAUAAAUAUGAUCGCUAUUGCUGAUUCGUUUCACAUAAUGUAGCUCUGAGGCUCUAAUGCUGAUACUAUAGCACACAAACAGGGAGUGGUGAGGCAAUUCUAUCUUUUAUGCAUCUUAUGGCAGUAUAAUCUUAUGACCAUGCAUAGUUUUUUAAGGAAACUAAUUGGCCACUUACUCUUUAUUUAGAUCAAAACAUAUAAUAUUGAUUUAGUGAGGCUGGAGAUGCUUUAGGUCUUUAGAUUCCGUAGAAAGGACAUAAGUUUGUUGUUAUAUUUUAUGAGAUGUUUCAUGGUUGAGCCUCUGUAUGGGUGUUGGAGACUGAUGUUUAAAUAAGAUACUACAGCUAGGAAGAAUUCUCUCCUAGCACAGAUAUAUUUUUCACCACUUUCCUUUUCUUUUCUUUUUUUUAAAAAGAAAGUGGGGGGACUUUUGCAUUGCAGUAGAAUAAUAUUGAGGUCCGCAUGUGUGGUGCUGAUUUUGAUGAAUCAUUCUGCGUGGAAAGGAGUCCAUUCUUUCUUGUUGUAACAUGUCUAAUGCCAUAAGGUUGCUGGUAUUUUUCUCUGUUUUGGCAUGAAUUUCAUAUGCUUGGUCAGAGGAAUUUGCUUUUUCUGGUUUUCCAUGCACGCGCGUGCGUGAGAGAGAGAGAGAGAGAGAGAUAGAGACCGCAGCCCCCGAGGGGGGGACGACUUCUAAUCUCUGUUUUCUUGUCAGAUUUUACCAGGAUAUUGUGGUUUACACUUUGGUUUCUGUGGCAUGGGACAUGAAUUGACUGGCGGAUUAAUUUGCUGUUAAUUACUCUCUUGUACUGUAGGUAUUGAUCUUAAGUGAGAAGCUUCGUUCUGUCACUACACAGUUUGAUCAGCUAAGAGCCAUAAGCUUCCAGGAUGCUAUUAAUACGGUGAGACCUAGAAGAAAACUUAAUCAGUCUGCCAGUUCUAUUCCUGCAGAUAACUCACAUGGUAAUGUAGAAUUCAAAGAGUCUAACGAAGUUCCAGGUGAGCUUCUAAGAGUCCAGCAAGAACACUUGGAUGUGAGACAGAAGCCCUUCCGGUAAUCACACAAUCCACUUUUUUCCUUGGGAAAACUGAUUAUUGAUGAUGCUGAUCGGUUAUUUUACUCUAGCAUUCAAGUCACUCAGACUUUUGUUCUGGCAUAUGUAUUGCUCAGGUAGAGUUGACGAGCCUUCUAGAUGCAGUCCAACAAACGGAAACGAAGAUGGUGGAAAUGUCUGCAUUGAAUCACCUCAUUUCUACACGUGCUGCAGCAAGCUCAGCAGAUAGAGCAUCUAUAUGAGCAGGUGACAACUUUUCUUUCAUUCCUUGUUUUAUGUGUGGUUUUAUUUUUUGGUUAAAAUUCUUGUGUGGUUUAGAUGGAUUAAAGUAUGCAUCAUUUUCUGCCCCAUCUUAUCUGUAUCUCCUGUUUCGCACAUUUUUCUUUGCAUGGUUUACCCACCCUAGUGUCUAGAGUGUGUUGUGCCUGCACAUAUAUUUUUCCAUUUGAUUUGGGUUUUUCAGCUUAACCUGGGCAGCUACUAGGCAUUGUUUUAAUGAAAUCUUUAGAUUUGAUUGCAAUUAUAUCUCUCUUAAUCAGAAAUUUCGAGUAGGAGUCAAAAGUUGUAAAACUCGUGUUCAAAUUGGAGAAGUUGACUUUUGGACCAACUAGGUUUUCGAACGCCCCCCUUUCCCUCUUCAAAGGGAAAAAUUAUUAGGUGGAUGUAUCCAACUGAACAUUGGAUUAGGUGUUUCAAUGUGGAAAGUGGUGGACCCACGAGAUUGAAUGAUCCAGAUUGAUGAGGUGCUUGUUUUGGCUAUUGAUAUGUUGAAUGGUUGGAGAGGGUCAGCACGAUGGAAAAAGGGGAUUUUAUGACGUGGUUGGAGGUGGUGUUUUUUAUUUCUAUCAACGUUGCUGAUGUUGCUGAAGCAGGGAAAACAUUGAACUUAAUUUCUUGUUGAAUGUUGUGCUGCUUUCAUGAGUUAGAAGAGGAAGAUUGGAGGCAAAAAGGGUGAAGUUCCAAUCUGUGGAGUAGAUGUAAAUUGUCCCUGGGCAUUCAGUUGUUCUGCAAGAGAAACACCGCUCUUCCAUGACCUUUUUUUUUUUUUUUUGUACGGCUGCACCUGCGGGGUAUUCUGUUUGGAUUUGAGGGAAGAGCUGAGGAGGAAGGAAUGAUGAAUUCGCCACUCCCUGAAUUUUAACCAAUCAACAGUUUUAGAAGAAGCGAGGGCAUGCUUGUCCUUGUAUCAUCUAUUUCGUGAGCUCCAACAAGGGAUCUCAUGGGAUGCAUGUGAAUGCAAUGGUCUAUGUAAAUUUGUGAGUUCUAGUCAAGCUAAGAUAGAAUAGGUUAAAUGCUAUCCAAUAUAGGAUAUAAAAAGAAGAAACAAGCAUUCAAGGAAUAAGCAAAGGAAUCAAGAAUCUUCUUGAUUAAUUUGUCUAGAAUCGUUGUGGUUAAUGAAAGAUUAUUCCAGAGAAAUAGACGACCCUUAAAUGAGAGUACCAGAUGAAAAAGACAGGAGCAACAUCGGCAACAUACACAUGAAUAUUGAGGGACAAUUGAAACAAGGCUAGGCCCUCAAUAAUUCCAAAAAAGAAAACUCAGGAUUAGCAAUGAUUCGUGGGAGAGAGCGACAAAUUUGUGUAUGCUUAAAUUGUACAAUUAUGUGCAACUGUUGCUCAAAUAGUAAAAAGGACACGUGAGCCAAAGAAAAAAGGACAAAUGCAAACUAAAGAAAUACUUUGAAUUACUUAAACAGAUCAAAUUGCAUAUCUAGCCCUCAGCAAAAUAUGAAAUUGCAUUGUUUCCAUUCUAUAAACAAAUAGUUAGAAGCUUUUAAGAUUGUUUAUGCAUUGGUACCAUGGAAGAAAGCUUGAGAUGCUAAUCAUAGGAGAAAACCUAUUGGGUACAACUGCUAUAAAUAGUCAAGACUUGAGCCUAUCAAGGUACAAAGUUGGGUUGAGAGAAAAAUUAAGGUAUAUCACGUUAUGGAUACUAAUAAUGCUACUGUUGUCCCUCUUGAUGUUCAAUAUUGUUAAAGGUGCUCCAAAAAAUGGCAUAGUUUAUUGGGCUUACAAUACUGGUUCCCAUUGAAGUGGCGAUCAUUAUGCAAACGGCAUGGCUUAUGUCCUCGAGGACAUGACGACCGUGAUGCCAAAUCACGUGGACUACAACUACUCCACUGCAUCUCCUUAUCCCGCAACAACCACCUAUGGUCACACUUCCUGUUGCCAAGCACUUUCUUAUAGUGACUGUGGCAUAUGCAUAAUCUCUGUUAAAUCCCAAAUACUGGCCAUCUGUCCAAAUAGUUAGGGCGCUCAAGUCGAGCUUGAAGAUUGUAGAAUGAGGUAUGAAAACUACUCGUUCACUGUAAUUUGGCGCCGAACAUAGAGAACCUUGUUUGAAUUGUAAUGGCACUGGGAUGUGCAUUGCUUAAGUGUGUUGAAGAAUAAAUGCUCUAGUCAUGUAUCCUAACUUAUAUUUUGUGUAGUUGUUUCUGCCAUUCAUGUUGUCAUGUUUAUUGUUGGAAAUGAUAUGAUAUGUUUCUCCUAUACCUUUUUUGUUAGUUUAAAGUUCUCAAAAUUGCCUUUUUAUUACCGAGAAAACCUAAGAAAGCAGCUAAAAGCUAAUGACUCGUAUGAAAAAUCAAAUUUGCAUUGUCUAAUUUGCACGUCAUUGGGUUUGUUCCUAUGAUACUUAAGCGAGCCUUCAAGAGACGGCGGUACGCAAAUAAGAGGACGUGCAGGAUGGUGCAAAACCAAAAGCCGGAAUCAAUAGAAGGAAACGCUGCAUAAAGGCUAAAAGAAAUGGUAACGACCUUGCUAAAGUCGCUUGUGAAUUUGACAUAUACGUUGAACUCGAAGCACAACUCCCUGUUGAAAUUCCAAAAGAAAUAACAACGACUUUGUCCCUAGUAUUUGCAUACGGAUCACCACUUGAAAAUCAUUAAGGAGGUUGAGAACAUAUUUACAGCAUACAAGACAGAUGUCACGUGAGGAUUCAGUCUUUUCGUUGCCAAGAGAAUAUUUCCAAGAAGCCAAAUCAGCAAAACAGAAACUAUGUCAAAUCAAAUACUGCUCAUACCACAUGAGUGUCAUCAGCAUAAACCAAAAUAAGUACAGAGGAUGAGCUAAUGCAUGAAAAAGAAAAUGGACUUAUCAACAUAAGAUUGAACCAAACCAGCAUCUACUAACGCAGUAGGGGAUACUUAAGAAACCAAUUUUCUCUGAAGAUUUUACUUUUCAUCGUAAAAGUGGCCUUGCUUCAGUUGAUAAGCCAAUGAACCUGCGUUGUCAAAUCAGGAAACGGGCAAAAGAGACAGCCAAGGAGUUGAUCCUCUUGUGAUAUAUGCACAACUUCAAUUUGAACCUUUUGCUUGACGAGUUCUUUUUUCUGAGUUCAAUUGAUCAUGUCUGUCAUGGUAUCCACACGUCAACUUAGCUCAAAGACUUGUCUCCAAAACGCUUGCAUGCUACUACGAUUGGGUCAGCAAACAAAGAGUAGAGGGCAUGCCGAGAGGCAGAUUGUCCAGGGAAAUCCUCCUGUCAUAAGUGAGACACUUAAAAACAAACAGAAAAAUGUGCUCCCGAGUCAGUAAUUAAGACAGACACAAAUGGCAAGGAAUUCACCUCUAUCGAUCAGGAAAGUAAUUCAAUUGAUGCAGUGGAAAAGACGAUGGAAUUUACAUAAUCUGGGCCUGACCACGAUGAAGUUGAUUGUUGCUCGCUCAAGACGGCUAGCAUUGUUUGUCAACAGCAUUCUUGUUCACCCAUCAUCAGAUGCUUUUCGGAAAAUCCCUUGCAGUGCAAAGGGGAAGAUACUUCAAGUAGCUUUCAUACACUUGCAGCCACGUUUCUUAGUCAGCAAGCCGUCCCCCAAACUUUGCUUUUAAUUUGCACGUAAGAAGAAGAGCAAAUAGACCAAAUAUGUAAUCGACCUGUGGUGAUAAUCUGAUACACAGCUUGACCCAAAUAUACUCCACUGGCGAUUCAAACACCAUCCACUUCAAGGUAUGCCUCUUCUUUGAAGUAUCUGUGGUAAAUAGGACAUCAAAAGGAUCAGAUUGUGAAAAAAGAAAGUGUAUAACAGAAAACUAGAAUCUCUCUCUCAAAGCACAUACACAAUAGGCUGAUCAGGAUUUAUGACAUAAUAUACUUCAUUACAUAGUAAAGUUAUCGCUAUUAACAUCUAUUUAAUACAAUAUCAUCCUCAGACUGCUUGAUCAUUUGUAUGAAUUUCCCCUGUUUGAAAAACAUUAGGCACCAAAAGCACUAACAGAUGAGUACACAUAAUAGUUCAAUACAGAGAUUUCGUACCGAACCUAGAUAUACGAGGAUAAAAAUCCACCUUAUACCCCUCCAAAUAUUUGCCGUCUUGGGCAGUUCAAUUCAGUGAAUUGUCUCUGAGAUUUGAAACAACUUCAUCAAUGGGACAUGGGACACAAUGAGAAGAUGUUUGGAAGAAAACUUGGCGUUAAUCUAAUUUACUCUUCAUCACAUUUCAGAUGAAAACUUGGACAGAUCUCAGAGACAAUGGACAGUUCUCCUAGUAAAGGAAGAAGUUCCAUUUGUCAUGAGGUAUUUGAUCCACAACUCCGUUGUCGCUACAUCUGCAGAAAAACCCCUUUCAACCAUUUCAUCAACAAGUUGCGCUGCUCUAGUAUUUUCGUUAUUUCUUAGUAGUCCUUGGAUCAUUGUGUUGUAAGCGACACCAUCUGGAAAGCAUCCAUUUCCUUCCAUCUCCUUUAGAAGUAGAUAUGCUUCCUCCGUACGUCCUCCUUUGCACAACUCACGCAUGAGAAUGUUAUAUGUGCACACAUUAGGUUGCAAGCCUCGAGCAUGCAAACAAUUAAACAGCCCCUUUGCAUUGUCGAGUUUUCCAGCAUUACACAUGCCAUUUAUUAGGAUAUUGUAAGCCACAAUGUUAGGGACAAAUUUGGAACCUUCCAUCUUUCGAAGCAAUAUCAUAGCCUUGUCAAUCUGUCGGGUUUUACACAAGCCAUCCAGGAAAGCACUCAAGGUGUAACGAUCUAGAGAGACAUUGCGAGAUUGCAUCUCGUUGAUUAGCUCCCCUGCGGCUUGAAGGUUCCCAACCUGGCAAUAUCCAUUUACAAGAGUGUUGUAUGUGAUGACAUCAGGAUACAAGCCCCUUUGCAGCAUUUCUUGGAAAAGCAUCUUUGAUUUGUCAACUCUUUUCCCUUUGCAGUAUCCAUUAAUCAACGUGUUAUAACAAACAACAUUAGGCGAGCAGCCUCUUUUAACCAUCCAAUUAAGCACUUCUAUAGCUUCGUCCAUUCUAUUUUGCAAACAAUAACCAUUCAUCAAUGUAUUAUAAGUGAAAAUAUCAGGCACAAUACCAAAUUGAAUCAUCUGGUCAACUACGGCCUUUGCCUCUGCAAGCAUUCCUUCUUUACAAUGUGCAUCCACCAGAAUAGUGAAGGUUUGAACAUCUGGCAUUACUCUGCUUCGCACCAUAUGACUCAGCAGUCUUCGGGCCUCUUUCAAUUGGCCGGAAUUGCACACUCCUUGAAUGACAGAGGUAUAAGUAACGACGUUCGGUUCAAUUCCUGCCUCCAUCAUCUUCUCUAACAAGACCAUAGCAUCUUUCCAUUGGCCUAGGUUGCAUAAGCAGUGAACCAACGAGCCAUAAGUGAAUAUGUCAGGUUGGAUGCCUGCGCUUGUCAUUUCUUUCGACAAUCCCAGAGCAUCUUCCAGCUGGCCUACAUUGCACAGACUGUGAAUCAAGGAGGUAUAAGUAACAACAUCUGGUUUGAUACCUUUCUUACUCAUGCUUUCGUGGAGUCUCAAGGCCUCUGUGAUCAAUCCCUCCUUGCAAAGACCAUCGAUUACUAUGUUGUAUGUGAAGGAAUUGAUCCUGCAGCUUCUCUCUUCCCAGUCCCUUAGCAAUUCGAUGGCCAAUCUGGUGUUACCCGCCCUGCAUAGCCCCUUGGCAACUAUCGCAUACGUAGUCUCAUUAGGUUCGGGGCCAUUUCGUCCCAUAUAAUCGAGGAACCUCAACGCUUGAUCAGUUUUGCCCUGAAUAAAGAGCCCAUCAAUCAGGGUGCUCGACGUCACCACAGUGAUGGGAAACCCAAGCUUGAAGAUUCUGCCCAGGAUACACAAACCCAUAUCGACCUGCCUUAACCGGCAGAAGCAAUUCAUCCAAAUGGUCAGCAAGGCAACAUCAUCCUCAAUCCCCAAAGAAGGUAGCUGCUCAAUCAAGCGGAUGGCAGUCGAGUAGUGCUUCAUCCUCACUAUAGCACCCAACAGUAGACGGAAAUCCCCGGAGGAAGGCAAAGGGCUCGCCUUUAUCAUUUUACCGAAGCAACACAGGGCAUCACCGAGACUCGUAAACCCACCACCACCAGCUCUGCAAUUUCUCCUCACGUAACUCAAGACCUGGUUGGGGUCGUCUAAAUUAGGGUUAGGGGUCGAGGAAAACCUCCGACGACGGCGAGACGAGAAAGGGAGAUGAGAAGGAUGAAGGAGAUGGAGGAUGGAAUGGGAUGACGACUCGCUGGAGAUCGCAGCUGGAGCAUGCAGAAGGAGGAAGAUGGAAGAAGCAGGGCAGAACUUCGUUGGCUUCAUCAGUUGAUGAUGAAUCUGAAAACUGAAAAGCUUCAGCUUACGGCUCCCUCUCUCCGUCUCUCCCUAUCAAGCUUUCAUAUUCGGGCUUGGUUUUUUGGUGGCAAAAGAUAGUGUUAAAAAUUGGUACAAAUAGACACUUAUAAAGCGCUAAAAGUUACCAAAGUGAAGUACUAAAAUCGGAGCAAAAUAAAUUAUUUAAGUCUGACUAAAAUGUUAACUUGCGCAAUUUCCAGCGAAGUAAAUGCAAAACGGCGUCGUCUUGCGUUGAUGUGGAUGGACAAUGCAAAAACGAGGUCGUUUUAAUAUUAACAUGGUAAAAAAUUAAUAUAAAAAUUAAAACAUUUAAAAAUAAAAAGGGAGGGAGGCGGCUGAGAAUUGAGCCCUUGCCGCCACUACCGCCGAGAAGGGCCGGCGACCCCGGCCGGCCUACGGCAAGGGCUCGCGAGCCCUUGCCCCAAUCUAGGCGAGGGCUACCACCCAUCCUCGCCCGGCCGGGCCAAGGGCCGCCACCCUUGCCCCAGAUCGGGGUGAGGGCUUGUGGGCCCUAGCCAUCAGUUGUCGAGGUCACCGACCCCUGGCCAGGGCCUGGCGACCUCAGCCGACCCUCCCCCCGUAACGGCCCUUCCCGGCAGGGACGAGAACUUAGCCCUCAGCUGCCUCCCUCCUUUUUUCUUUUAAUUUUGUUAAUUUUUUUAAAUAGUAUUUUUAUUUUUAAAUAUUUUAAAUAAAUUUAGUUUUAUAUUUCAUUUAAUUAAUUUUUAUAUUAAUUUUUUAUCACGUCAGCAUCAAAACGACGCUAUUUUGCACUAAAUUCACCUGAAAAUCGACACAUCAGCAUUUUGACUGAAUUUUUGUCGAAUUGGCACUUAAGUGAUCUAUUUUGCUCCAAUUUUGGCACUUAAAUGUCAUUUUCGUAACGUUUGGCACUUAAAUAUCCUUUGUGCCAACUUUUGACACUCUAGGGGUCCUGGUGUCGUUUCUUGGUUAUAAUAUCGAACAAAAAGAUGUAGAUAUGGUUAGGACAUGAUUUCAAAUGAUUUCACAUCAUCAUUCACUAACAAUACAAAUAUUUUUUUAUCAAAAAAUUUUCGCAAGCUAAAUAGUAAGAAAGAACAUGAGCAGUGACGAGCUAUGGUAUAAGGAUUCGAUGCACAAUUACAACGAAAACAGAAUAAAAGCGAAGAAAUUGAAACACAAGAUUUAUCUUAUAUCACCAGUUAAGGGGUCACGCACAACAAUAAAUGCUGCUUGGGGGUCGCUUGAGGUCGCACAACUCAAGUGAGGCUGUUUAGGCUGCGUUUGGUUGUGUUCUUUUUUUUUUUUUAAACACUUUUUCUGUUUUUUUGUUCCUGGGAACAAAAAAGGAACAGAAAUGCGUUUGGGUGCGUUUCUGUUCCUUUUUUGUUCUUUUGUUCCCAGGAACAAAAAAGAAAUAGAAACNNNNNNNNNNNNNNNNNNNNNNNNNNNNNNNNNNNNNNNNNNNNNNNNNNNNNNNNNNNNNNNNNNNNNNNNNNNNNNNNNNNNNNNNNNNNNNNNNNNNCCUCGGCCUCGCCUGGCGGUGGCCCCGGCGAGGCCGCGCCUCGCCCGCCGCUGGGCGAGCUCGGCCUCGCCGGAUCAAGGCGAGGCCGACCUCGCGCCGGCCUGGGCGAGCUCGAUCUCGCCCAGAUCCGGUGAGGCCGAGCUCACCCAGCGGCCGGCGAGCCUCGGCCUCGCCGGAUCUGGGCGAGUCGGCGUCGCCUGGCGGUGGCCUGGCGAGGCCGCGCCUCGCCCGCCGCUGGGCGAGCUCGGCCUCGCCGGCCGGUCGCCGGCCAAGGCCUUGGCCGGCGACCGGCCAAAAGAAGAAAAAAAAAUGAAAAAGAAAAAAAGAAAAAAAGGAAAAAAAAGAAAAAAAAAUAGAAAAAAUAAAAGAAAUAAAAAAAUUAUCCAAAUUUACCAAACAUGUUUCUGUUUAUUUUUUAUUUCCGGAACAAGUUUACCAAACGCGUUGUUUUGUUCAAAAAUUGUUCCCCGGAACAGAAACACAUUUUUCUAUUUCUGUUCCCUAGAACAAUUUUUAAACAGAAACACAACCAAACGCGCCCUUAGCAGCCAUAUUCGAUCAUUGGCCGCCGAUGGCUAAACUUAAAGAAAAAAAAUGUAAAAAAAUUUUUUAACAAAAAUUUAUUAAAAGUCCAUUACAAAUGCAAUUUUUAUUGAACAGCAUUUAAACCAAAGUUGUUUUUUGCUGCACUUUAAAAUUAAAAUUCGCCAAACACUAUUUACAUUUCGAAAAAUCCCUUUAAUCCAAAGGUAUUUGCAUUUUCCCAAUAACAUUUUCCAAAAUUAAAUGAAAAGGGAUCUAUAUAUACCCAAUGGCUAUUUAUGGGUAUAAACCCAUGUUUUUAAUAAAAUGCGAGCUCAAACUAUAAAAGCUCCCGAAUUGAGAUUAUGAAUCACGUCCCAAUAUAUAGUAUAUUACGGAGACUGUUGUUGGAGAGGCAAAACUAGCAAAAAAAAUAGGGAUGGAUUUGAGUGGGGCAUAGAGCGGGAGAGAAGUAGUGGCGGAUGGCAACGAAUACUCCGAAUACUCCAGUGGUGGAUGGCGAUGCUUGGGCUAGUCAUUGGUGGCUGCGAUCAGCGAGAGAAGCAAACAAGAAUUAGAGGCGAGAAAGGCAUCUAAAAUGCGAUUCACUCACCCAAAAUGAAAAACAAAAUGAGUUUACUUUCGUUAACAAACUCUAAUUGGUAGCGCCUUAAACAUUUAUCCCAAAGCUUUAGUCUUUUGAAAAAAAAGAUCCCAAAUUAAUACCUCAUGAUAUAUUUAUCCAAACUAAUUUCAUCUCACAAAACAUCCCAAAUUGAUAGCCCUCGCCGAAAUAUAUGCUCUAUUAAAAUGCAUAUAUGUCAACAUAUGUGAAUUUUCCACAUUGGAUCAAUCAUUCUUCACCUCUCAUUCGUCUUAUAGUCAUCUACCAUUUGUGUUGACAAGUAUGCAUUACAAGUAGAUUUUGGUUUGGAAUACCAAUUUGGGGGUUUUUUUUUUCGUUAGAUGAAAUUAAUUUGCAAUAAAUAUGUCAUGUGUUUACUAAUUUGAGAUUUUCUAGUUUUAUUAACCCAAAAAAAAUCAGAAAAAAAGCCAAAAUACCAUGUUAGACGCUUUUUCUUGAAGGACCCUUAAAAUGGGCUUUUCUCAAAUUCUCCAAGAAGUGAGCUAUACCCCAUGCUCAUCAAUGAUGCUAAAAUAUCUAUCCAAUGAGCAUGCGACGGUCACAUGGCCAUCUCCACCAUCAGUUAGGGUUUAAUUCGUCCCAAAACUUCCAUUACCCUCAAAAUUACUCACGUGAAGUCCCAUAAAUUGCACAAAAUAAGCCCCCAAAUCCCGGUAAUGUGUCAUUUAAAAGCUUGUUUUGUAUAAUUUAUGAUGGUAUAAAUUUUGUUCCACACACAGUGCACCCAAAAUCAACCAAGCUUUUCCGAUUCGAUGAACAACAUAUUGGCUAAAAUUGAUAUAAAAAUUGGACGAAAGAGAAGAUCGCAUUCGGAAGGCGCCAUAUCUGCACUCACUAGGUCUAAAUUAUGAUAUUUCACUAAAAGGUACUAUGCCACCCAAAUUAUCAAAUACACUGAAUAGAAAACAAUCAAUGCUUUAAUAUAGAUGUGGCAUAUUGUUCUUCGGAAAGAGAAAAACGAAUAUUGUCUUCUUCCUCUCUUGCUCUUUUCUCAAGUUGAAUAAUAACAUGUCGUAUUCAAAUACAAGAUAAUUAUCUCUUUUAUCCGACCAAUCUCCUUUUUUGAAGCCAUGAUAGCUUGUUUUGAGGAGAGUGGUCCCUUAUACAUAAGGGUGAGCGAUUCUGGAUUUUUUAUAGGUUCCACCUGGAACAUCGAACAUACCUACUAAAAUAAGUUUAUUAUUUUUUGGAACCUAAAACCUAUCCCACAUACCUUAAAACCUAGAAUCUACCUUGUUGUAUGUUCCAAGGUCGGUUCCAAGUUCUUCCCAGGUUUCACUUGUAUUAUUAAUUGAAUGAUUACAAUGCAUCAUUUUUAAAGACCACUACUCAUUGUUACAAUUCACUGACCACAACUUAUAUUUGGAUACAUGAAUAAUAUGAAACAUUAACAAAAUAAAAAAUUUCAGUCAUAAAAUGAAAACUCAUACUAGUGAUUCAAUAGACACCGUGGAAUACUAUAGAAUUAUAAGAAGACAUAAACAAACAAAAAUACACAUUUGUUCUAGCUUGUACCUACCUGGAAACUGGAAUCUAUUAUCUAAAUAAAUUCAUCAAUUUUUGAAACUUGAAACCUACCCUAUAUACCUUGAAACUUAGAACUAGACAAGUUCCCACUAAUUUGGUUCUUCAGUUCUAGGAUCUACCUUGAAACCAUGCUCACCCCUACUUAUACACACUACAUAUUCUCUUAGAAAGAACUUCAAAGAACAUGGGUUGGGUUUAUUGAGUCGAUCCAUUUUGGGUAGACUUGAUCUAAUAUCCAAUAGGCCCGGAUUUGAAAAUGCUAUUGCAUAGAGCAAACGGUACCACCACAGUGAUUAGUAGUGAUGGUACUAGUGAGCUGUUUCUUUUGGCUGUUUCUUUAGAUAUCUCAUGUAUUUUGUGAGCACCAAUGAGUGAUCUCAUGUGAUGCAUGUGAAUGCAACGGUUUACGUAAAUUUGGGAGUACUAAUCAAGCUAAAAAUUGAAUAAUUCAAUGUUAUGCAAGAUAGAAUGUAAAAAGAGAAAAACAAAAACAAGGAUUCAACGAAUGAGCAAGGGAAUCAAGAAUCUCCUUUGAUUAAGUUUGUCUAGAGUUGUUGGAGUCAACGAAAGAUAACUCCGGAGAAAUAGACGAGACAUAAAUGAGAGUACAAGAUGAAAAAGAACGAGCAACAUAAAUGACAUACAAAUGAACAUUGAGAGGCAAUUGAAACGUGAUAAAACUCUCGUUAAUUCCAAAAAAUGAAAAAUCGGAAUUACCGAUGAUCUGUGAAAGAUGGACAAAUUUGUGUGUGUUCAAAUUGUACAAUUGUGUGCGACGGUUGUCCAAGUAGUAGAAACAACACGUUAGCCAAAGAAAAAGGACAAAUUGCAAACUAAAGAAAUAUUUUGAAUUACUUAAACAGGUCAAAUUGCAUUUGCGUUGUUUUCAUUCUGUAUACAAACAGCUAGAAGCUUUUAAGAUUAUUUAUGCAUUGGAACCAUGGAAGAACAACAAAAUAUCAAAUUGCGUUCUUCUUCUUUUUUUCAUUCUAUAUACAAACAGCUAUAAGCUUUUGUUUAUGCAUUGGUGCCAUGGAAGAAAGGUUGAUAUGCUAAUCGUAGGGGAAAACCUAUUGCGCACAAUUGCUAUAAAUAGUCAGGACUAGGGCGAAAAAAAAUUAAGGUAUAUCACAUUAUGGAUACUCCUUCAAGAGUUGGAAUUAUGCUAAUGUUGUCCCUCUUGAUAUUCAAUGUUGUCAAAGGUGCCCCGCGCACCGGUAUAGUUAAUAGGGCUUGCAAUACCGGCUCCUAUUCGAGCGACAAUCCUUAUGCAAACAACAUGACUUACAUUCUCGAGGACAUGGUGACCGUGACACCAAAUCACGCGGACUACGACUACUCUACCACAUCUCCUUAUACCGUGGCAGCCGCCUACGGUCUCGCAACUUGUAGCCAAGCACUUUCUUACAGCAAUUGUGGCAAAUGCACGGGCUCCGUUAAAUCCCCAAUACUGGCGAUAUGUCCAAACAGUGGACAUGUCUUGGCACUCAAGUGAAGCUUGAACAUUGUAGAAUGAGGUAUGAAAACUACUUAUUCAACGGUUACGUAGUUUGGCGCCAAACAUAGAGAACCUUGUUUGAAUGGCAACAAACCCAGAACAUGCGUUGCUUAAGUUUGUUGAAGAAUAAGUCCUUUAGUCACGUAUCUUGAUUUCUGUUGUGCGUGGUUGUUUCUACUAUACAUGUUGUCAUAUUUAUUGUGGGAAAUGAUAUUGUUUCCUAUACUUUCUUUGUUAUUUUAAAGUUUUCAAAUUGUUUUUUUUUUUUUUUCAUGACGAGAAGACCUAAGCAAGCAGCUAAAAGUUAACGACUAUUAUGAAAAAUCAAACUUGCAUUGUGCAUCUAAGCUACACCCACAUCAUUGGGUUUGUUCCUAUGAUACUUAAGAGAGAGUCUUCAAGAGACGGCAGUUGGAGACACGCACAAAAGAGGACGUGCAAGAUAGUGCAAAACCAGAAGUCUAAAUCAAUAGAAGGAAACGCUACCUAAUGGCUAACAGAAAUGGCCACGACCUUGCUAAAACCGCUUGUGAAUUUACCAUAUAUGUUGAACUCUUAGCACAAUCCUCGAUGAAAUUCAGAAAGAAACAACCAUGACUUUGCCCCCAGUUUUUGCAUAAGAAUCACUACCCGAAAUCACUAAGGAGGUCAAGAACGUGUUUACAGCAUACAGUAUAGAUGCCGCACAAGGAUUCAGUCAUUUCAAUGCCAAGAAAAUAUCUCAAGGAAGCCAAAUCAGCCAAAUAGAAACUAUGUUAAAUCAGUUACUGAUCAUAAGAUAUAAGUGUAUUCAACAAAAACCAAGAUAAGUACAGAGGAUGAGCUAAUGCAUGAAAUGCAAAAUGGACUUAUCAGCAUAAGAUUGAAGCAAACCAGCAUCCACUAAUGCAGUAGGAGAUGCUUAAUAAACCAACUUUCUUUGAAGAUUUUACGAGUCAUCAUAAAAGUGGAAUUGCUUCAGUUGCUAAGCCCAUGAGCCUGCUUUUUUAAAUCAGGAAAUAGACAAAAGAGACAGCCAAAGAGUUGAUCCUCUUGUGACAUACGCACAACUUCAAAUUAUUUUUUCUGGCUUCGAUUGAUCAUGUCUCCCACAGUAUCCAAUCGUGAACUUAGCUCAAAGACUGGUCUCCAAAAUGCUUGUGCGCUACUAUGAUUGGGUCAGCAAACAAAGAGUAGAGGGCAUGAAGAGAGGCAGAUGGUCCAGGCAAGUCCCCCUGUUGUAAGUGAGAAACUUAAAAAACAAACAGAAAAAUGUGUUCCCGAGUGAGUAAUUAAAACAGAUAAAAAUGCCAAGGAAUGUACCUCCAUUGAGAGCCAACCCUAUUGAUCGGCAAAGUAAUUCAAUUAAUGCAGUGGAAAAGACAAUGGAAUUUAAAUCAUCUGGGCCUGACUGCGAUGAAGUUGAUUGUUGUUCUCAAGACCUCUAGCAUUGGGAAUGUUUGUCGAUGGUGUUCAUGUUCACCCAUCAUCAAAUGCUUUUUGGAAAAUCCCUUGCAGUGCAAAGGGGAAGAUACUUCAAGUAGCUUUCAUACACUUGCAGCCACGUUCCUCACUCAGCAAGCCAUCCCUAUGUUAUUUGCACGUAAGAAGCUGAGCAAAUAAACCAAAUAUGUAAUCGACCUGUGGUGAUAAUCUGAGUACACAGCUAGACCCAAAUAUUCUCCACUACCGAUUCAAAUACCAUCCACUUCACGGUAUGCCUCUUCUUUGAACUAUCUAUGGUGAAUAGGACAUUGUAAGGAUCAGAUUGUGAAAAAAGAAAGUUUAUAACAGAAAACUAGGAUCUCUCUCUCAAAGCACAUACACAAUAGGCUAAUCAGGAUUUAUGACAGAAUAUACUUCAUUACAAAGUAAAGUUGUUGCAAUUAACAUCUAUUUAAUUCAAUAUCAUCCUUAGACUGCUUAAUCAUUUGUAUGAAUUUCACCCGUUUGAAUAACAUUAGGCACCAAAAGCACUAACAGACGAGUAAACAUACCAGUUAAAUACAGAGAUUUUGUACUGAACCUAGAUAUACAAGGAUCAAAAUCCACCUUCCACCCCUCCAAAUAUUUGCCAUCUUGGCGGGUUCGAUAUAGUGAACUGUCUCCCAGAUUUAAAACAACUUCAUUAAUGGGACAUGAGACUCAGUGAGAUGACGAUUGGAAGAAAAAUUGGCGGUAAUCUGAUUUACUCUGCAUCACAUUUCAGACGAAAAAGUGGACAGAUCUCAGAGACAAUGGAGAGUUCUACUAGAAAAGGAAGAAGUUCCAUCUUUCACGAGAUAUUUGACCCACAACUCCAUCGUUGCUACAUCUGCAGAAAAACCCCUGUCAACCAUUUCACUGACAAGUUGCACGGCUCUAGUACUUUUGUUAUUUCUUAGUAGUCCUUGGAUUAUUGUGUUAUAAUUGACCCCAUCUGGAAAUCAUCCAUUUCCUUCCAUCUCCUUUAGGAGCUGAUAUGCUUCCUCUGUACGUCCUCCUUUGCACAACCCAUGCAUGAGAAUGUUACAUGUCGACAUGUUAGGUUGCAAGCCUCGAGCAUGCAAAGAAUCAAACAGCCCCUUAGCAUCGUCGAGCUUUCCGGCAUUACACAUGCUAUUCAUUAUAAUAUUGUAAGUCACAAUGUUUGGGACGAAUUUGGAACCUUCCAUCUUUUGAAGCAAUGUCAUGGCCUUGUCAAUCUGUCAUGUUUUACACAAGCCAUCCAGGAAAGAAUUCAAGGUAUAAUGAUUUAGAUACAGAUCAUGAGAUCGCAUCUCGUUAAUUAGCUCCCCCGCGGCUUCUAGGUUCCCAACCUGGCAAUAUCCACUUAUGAGAGUGUUGUACGUGAUGACAUCAGGAUUCAAGCCCCUUUCAAGCAUUUCUUGGAACAGUAUUUUUUAUUUGUCAAUUCUUUUCACUUUGCAGUAUCCGUUAAUCAACAUGUUAUAGGUAACAACAUUAGGUGAGCAGCCUCUUUCAACCAUCAAAUUAAGAACCACCAGAGCAUCAUCCAUCCUAUUUUGCAAACAAUAACCGUUCAACAAUGCAUUGUAAGUGACACUAUCAGGCAUUUUACCUAAUUGAAUCAUCCGGUUGAUUAUGGCCUCUGCCUCUACAAGCAUUCCCUCUUUACAAUGUGCAUCCACCAGAAUAUUGAAGGUUUGAACAUUCGGCAUGACUCUGCUUUGCACCAUAUGACUCAGCAGUCUUUGGGACUCUUUCAAUUGGCCGGAAUUGCACACUCCUUGAAUGACAGAGGUAUAAGUAACGACAUCCGGUUCAAUUCCUGCCUCCAUCAUCUUCUCCAUCCAGACCGUCGCAUCUUUCCAUUGGCCUAGCUUGCACAAGUAAUGAACCA
rnacentral:lncRNA from 1 species